UUUUUUUUUUUUUUUUUUGUAAAGUUUUCCAUGUAUUUGGAGAGUUUGAGUUACGUGUCGGAUAUGAGUGUCCAGCAUGGAUAUUUCAAGCAAAACGAAGAGUCAAAGCAACAUAGUCAAGCCAUAUCCGACUCUAUCCCCGAAUCUGAGUAGCAUCAGCACAGAUAAGUGAAUAAAGACCUCGCAAGCACUAGUACUUCAGCUUUAACAGCAUGGAGACGUGAAUUAGUAUAAGCAGAAGCUGAUUUAAUCAACUUCAACUUCCAAAUGAGAGUCUCCGUUGGUAAAAUAUCAGCCAAACCCUGAAAAUAAAGCAAGGAAAAGUAGCAUUACAUGCAAUGCAACAAAUGUCAGGAAAAAUAAAUGAUAAAUCCAAUAAUUCUUACAGAAUAAAACGGAAGCAAAGCAGUGAGGUUGCUAGAAAUUCGCUCAAUUUUCUGUGUGGGAAGAAGCCUACCUUCAACACCUACUUCUGCCAUUUUCAAUGGUUCCCCUGAUCUCAUUAAAACAAAAGCUGUAAUCUGAAUCAAGUGAUUUCAAACUAGCUAAAAUUGCCAAUGUUGGUGAUACAUUCAGACUUUGUGUAACAGUCGAACCUGAAUGGAACAAAACUGAGCUUUUUGUAAUAGGACAGUGGUUAUAUAUGAUGUCAGUAGGGAGUCAUGGUCUUAGGGCCAUGGAUUUCCUAUUGCCUAUGUAUUAGUGUUCUACUCGAUAUAAGUAUCCACUCCAUUUAUAAAGCUUUUGUAGAACACUGGAACCUAAAUUGAACAAAUCUAAGCGUGCUGUAACUGACCAAUGGUUAUCUUACAUAUGAUGCGUGCAGGGAGCCGUGGUCUUGGAGCCAUGAAUUUCACAUCUGCUAUGUAUUAGAGUUCGACUCGAUAUAUAAGUAUCCAUUCUAUUUUUAAUAUGUGAGACAUCUUUUCUAUACAAAAUCAUGAGGUCUAAUGGGUCCAAAUGGAACCUUACAGGUUGUUAUAGAUGGUGAUUUAAUAUAGCAUGCCACUGCAAGCACUUACCAAUCACAAGGCUCAAAAGAAAGGGGAUAGUUCUAACGUGUAGUCCAUCAGGGAAAGCUUCCAGUAUAGGGAGAAAUGGUUGCAGCCGAGACCUGCCUAGUGAUGUAGCUAAAAUGAAAUGAAAAACAAAAGAAUCCAUCAGGUUCACCUCGGCAUUUCAGCAACAGAGUUCAGUUCACAACGAUUUUAAGAAUACUUGAUGAAAAAAGAGCAGAAAAAAGGACACUUCUGUAUGAAAACUGACCUGGAUUUACUAAUAUUAUCACAAAGUCAAUACUGGGAUUACGAGCAGCAACAGCAAGGGCUAAGCAUCCUCCAAUGGAAUCUCCCACUAAAUAGAUUGGACAAUUCAGACGUGAAGCAUGCUCAAGUCUAACGGUUUCUUCAACUAGUUUCACCAGUCCUUCAUAUUCAAAAGAAUAAUGUUGAUUUUUUGUUUACAAAAGAUGCAUAGCGAUUAAAAAUAAUGCACUAAAUAUGGGGAUUUGCCAACACGGGUAUAUUUAAAUUUUUUAAGAAAAAUGAACCGGACCAACAUAGUUAUAAACAAAGUGAAUAAGCACUCAUGCAACUCAAAAAAACCUUCAAGCUUAGGGCAUCAUUCAAAUGCACCUUCAACUUGGAUAAAACUUAUAAAUAAGUCAAGAAAGAUCUUGAAAGACAAAAACCUUCAAAUGGUGUUCGAUCAUGGACUGGAAUAUGAAGGCAUUGAACUUCAAAAACCCUGCAGUACUCAACCAAAAUCUUCAGUAGAAAUUGUUACAUUUCCAAUAGAACAACUAUUAACAUAAUGCCAGAGGUGAAUAUGAGUCAGUAUAAUGUGACAGGAAAGAACUGAAAACAAUGAAAACAAUUUCAAGACAGUAUUUUUUCAGGAAAAUGAGUAAGUUAACCCCAUUUAAAUUAAAUUUUCAGCAAGGAAGCUAUGAACUGAUUUGCCUCUGCUGUAAUUCCUGAAAAAUUAGUUUGAACUAACCUUGAUUGCUACCAUUGGAAGGAAAUAUAUAGAAUUUGUCAGCCAAAAAAAUUAAGGGAAAAUUGGUCAUAAGUAUUUAAGGGAGAUAAAACAACUUACUUUCCAAGAGGUUUAUGGUGCAAAAUGAGGCCCAUCCCAACACCAUCAAGCCCUACAUGCAUCAGAAUUCAGAAACAAAAGAAGGAAAAAUACUAGUUUAAAUCAGUAAACUUAAAGUAUUCAUGGAUCUUGGUAUAAAAUUUUGAAGGGCCAAUUAUAAGUCGUAAAUCUAUAUAUUUUAAUUAAAAUAUUUUAUUAUGUUUUUAUCAAUGUGAAAACAUAUAUGUUAGUACUAUACUAAGAAAUCAUAAAACUUUAGGAAUCUAACUUGUGAUUUUGAAAACCAAAUUAUCCAAAAAAAAAAAUUCAUAUUUAAAAUUUGUUGCACAUUUUUUAACAAUAAUUUAAUAAAUAUCAAUUUCAUAAUAGUAGCAAAAGCAUCUUAACUUGCAGAAGCAUAAACUAUAAAAAGCAUACAGGGACAUCAAAGGUAUUAAAAUUCAUUUAUGACAAACCAAACCAAGUAAUUUGAAGAGUUUAUAAAUAAUGAUUGGUGAUAAAAUGAAAAGGUAAAUAAUUAAUCUUUUCUAAUUAGUCAACUCCAUUCACCCAUCAACCGGGAAAUAUUAAAUUUUUGAAAAACUAAGAAAAAGUAAUAAACACUGAACUUACCAGGUAAAAACAGAAGAAGAGGAGAAUCUUUAAUAGGACGGCCACAUUCAACAGGGCAAAACCACCUUGGUGGUCCACCAUCAGGCUUGAUCAUGUCCUUUGCAGCAUCCACAUAAUCUUUCACAGUAUUAGUUCCAUAACCAUCAUCCCACAAUAGUUCCAACUCUUCACAACCCAUUCUUUUCUCAGUUCUAGACUUUAAACUCCCAUUCCCACCAUCAACCAAAUACCCUUUUCCAACUACUACAGGAACUGUUGUUUCCUUGACGGAGACCCCAUCAGUUGACACUACUGACAACUCGUUACCAUCUAAUCUCUCAGCUCUCACUCUAAAACGAGGCUUCUUAUUUAUCCCAAAACGGUGCCAUACCGGGCAAGUAACAGCACCAGCCAUCACUCUCCUACUAAAACUGCAAUAUACUUUAUAACCUUUAAACACAAAUAUCUACAGUUCUACACUUGAUAAACUUAUUGCAGCCUUUCUUCAAACACCAAAAAUGCCAGGUUGUCCAUAAAAUCGAGCAACUUCAAACUCAAUGGGAACAACUUGCCAAAAGAACUUGUUGGAACCCUUUUUCAAGCAGAAGAAACAACAAGUAUAAUGUUGCCUAAAACCCUCUAACUGAAACAUGUCACACUUUUUAUACCAAAUAUGUAUUUUAAUAUAAAUAUAAGAAGAAAGUAGAGUACAAGAAUGAAAUUUGGUGCAAACACCCAUAUAACAAAACAUGGUUAAUUUUACACUUUACUGUUUCAUAUAUUUCUAUAGUUUAUUGUCAAAAAAUCAUGGAAUGACAGCAAAAAUGUUUUAAGUUCAUAGAAUUUUUAUCUUCUUUUUACAGGAUGUAAAGAUAUUGUUCUUUUUUUAAUAAAAAAAUCCCCCAAAUUUCCAUUAACUUCCACUGGUUUAGCCAUGAAUAAUUACUGUAUCAAUACACUCAUUUGGAUGGUGUGUUUAACAGUUAUAUUUUCAUAAAGAUGUACAAAAGAAAAAGGGAAGAAAUGGCGGGUUUUGGUAGUUGUUGGUAACGGUAAAUUAAGAUGGGAGUUUCUAGACAAAAUCUAUAGGAAUCAAAUCUUUAAAUUUGUAUAUUGAUAAUCAACAUGAUUUACAUUAUUACUGCUCAAGAAAUUAAUUCCGAAACAUAUUAUGUGAAUUAUCAGUAUCUAUUAAAAUAUUAAUAAUAAAAAUUAUACUUUUUAUGAAUAACAAGAAAUUUUUCUAAUAUUUUUAUUCCUAACAAAUAUUACUCAUUCGAUUUGUUUUUUGGUAAAUUCCAAGAAGAAGGAAAAAUCAUAACAGUAAUGCCUUUAACAAAUUAUAUAUGAACUCUAACAAAUUUUUUAAUUCUUAGAUUCGAGUUCUCCAUUUACUUGUGCCUAAAUUAGCGUGAUAUAUUUGAUUGCUAACAGUUUUUCUUAAAAUUAUUUUACAAAUAUUUCUUAAUUAUUAAUGCUAAAUUUUAAGCACAUAUUUUUUAAUUUAUAUUUAAUUUAAUUAUUCUCAUAACAUAAUUAUAAAUUAAUAAUCAAUGUUAACUUGGUUACAUAGAUAUAAUAUUUUUUUUUGAUAGAAGAUAUAAUAAACUUAAAUAUCUUUAAUAUAUACAAUUAUUAUCAUUAUUUUAUAAAUAAUACAACUAAAAUAAAAAAUUAAUCGUAUCGUAUGGCUUUCUAUAUUUAUUAAAUAUUUUCAAUUAAAAGAUGAAAAUGAUUAUAAUAUUUUCUUUUAAAUAUUCUUGUGCUUAAUGAAUGAAUAGUUUAUACUAUAAAUGCUUCUACAAAUAAUCCUUCACCAAAUAUGCACAAUAAUUAAAAAAAUUAAUAUAAGUAAGAAAUAUACACAUUCCCACAUGUUUUUAAAUCUCAUAAUAAUGAGAAAACAAAAAAAAAAAAAAUUCUUCUCUCACACUAUUAAAUUUUUUUUCCAUCUUUAUAUACAUUUAUAGAAACAACACCAUGAAUUUCAUUUUUUUCUCCGGCUUGCAUACAUUUGAAAAUUUAAUUUUUUUUAUAAAUAGAUUAUUUUAGUUUAUUAAACUUUCAAAGCACAAAUAUAAAUUGAUAAAAAAUUGUAGUCCAUAAUCUAAGCGCUUCAAAAUAUCUUAAUUCUCUCACGCUAGAAAAGACCAUUACUUUCUCACUAAUGAAAAUUAAAGGAUAACAUGGUAAUAAACAUUUUGUAGAUUUUUUGCUACCAAUAAAUUUUUUUAUAAGUUUUAGGUAUUUAAAAAGAUUUUAUUUUAAAAAAUUAUGAUUUUUAGCAACUUAAAAGUGGAGGUUUAAGCUUAAUAAUAAUAAGUGUUAUGUAAUAACUGAUUUAAAAAAAAUGUUUUAUGGUUAAAAAUUAGUUUUCACAUGAAUCUUAAUAUAUUUUAUUUACACAAAUUAUAUUGAAUUUUUAAUAUAAAAUAUUACAUGUACACAAUCAACCUAUGCAUCGCAUGAAAAUACAAAUUAAUUAAUAUUUUGUUAAUUAUUUUUAAACAUCAAUCUUAAUUUUUCAUUUAAUCAAUUUAUAUAAUAACUUUUUAAAUAAGAUAUUUAAUCGUCUUAAAUCCUCGAAACUUAUUCCAUUGUUCCAUGCUCAGACUUUGAUCAAUAUGACUUUUUUCAACUCAUAGAUAAAGUACGUGGACAUGCAUACACGGAUAUAUUAUACAUGAAUAUUUAUACUAGAUAUAAACUUGCAAACUUGAUCCCAUAUUCAAAAUGCUUUGCGCUGCUUCACUCGUGAACCAUCAGAGAGAGUGGUGUUGCACACCAAACACCAGUUUCCAGCUACACUAACACUUCGUUAAAUGGGAAGAAUUUUCUUUUGUGAUUCAAGCCGGUAAAAGUAUUAUAGAAGUCCAGAUUGCAUUUUGAAUCUACUCAAAAUAUAGGUAAAUUAAUUCAUUUGCAUUAAAUCAAAAAGUAAAUUGAUGAAACAUUCCCACAGUUAAAAACUGAUCUUUGUAUGCCGGUAUGAGAUACCCGUACUAUACCACACGUCACUGUCUGAUUAUUCUGUCAACCACUUCAUUUUUUAACAAUAAAAAAUGAUGUAUUUUUUUUUAUAGAAAUUACCAAUUUACUUUUAUUUAUUUAUUUAACAUAUAAGGACUAAUUUGACGAAUUUUUUAGUGAAAGAGACAAAAUACAAUCUUACUUUUAAUACAGAGACCUCCAUGAUAUUUUUGCCCAUUCAAACUCAAACUCCCAAGUGAAUAUUAGAUAUGGGUAUAUGUAAGCAAAGAGUAUAAUAUUUCUUUUUCAAGUCGUUUCUUGUAUUUGAAUAUACAAAAGUGAAGUGCUGGAAAUGAAUACUUCCGCCUUGGUCCAUAAGAAAAACAUCAGCUCCAAAACUUCAUCUAAAUUUCACAAUUAAACACAAGGACCCAGAAUUUAUAAACAAUGCAAAAACCAGAAAGUACAGACCAAAUCAUAGAUGGCACCUCCUAAAGGCAACAUAAUGAACAAACUAAACUAAGAUGUGAGUUCAGAAUACUCUUAAAAUCACUUAAAAGCAGCAAACAACUCCUUAAAUAAACAUAGUAUCAAUUUCCCAAAGUAUCAACUCGUAGAUAAGCAUGAAAUACGACUCAAAAAUCUAACCGGCUACUGUAACUAACCCGGUGCAGCAAUUAUGAUUUCGUUUCUUGCCUCCGGAAACUACUGAAAGAUUGACAAGGUGUUAAAGCGAUAUUUUCCAGAAACAAGACUGAUUAUGCAAUUUGUCUUAUUUCUGGGAAUUAAAAAGUAAAAGAUAAAAAACUUCAAAAUAGUUUCUAUGGAUAAAAAACUUCAUAAUAGGUGCCUGAUCUUUUGUCCUAGAAAGCACCUUUUUUUUGGCUAAUUGUCCCCGGAGUUAUGAACACUUCUGCCGCUUGCAUUUCAAUCCUAGAGCUUCUUUCUCUCUUUCACCUGAUGAAUGGCAAGAACAUCUUGACUAGACAAAGACGAAAGGUUUAUGUACCUCGAUCCACUUGACUAUGUAUGGAGAAAUGCUCCAAUAUAAGAAAAAAAAUCAUCUUUCGAUAUAUACAUGUGUAUAAAUAAGGAUCCCAUACACUUCUGGCCAUGAUAGGCAACCUCAGAUGAAUAAUAUGAUUCUCAACACUUUACAAAAGGCAUGAGCUUUCCACUUGAAAUACUGAGACCAACCUGCAGCCUGAUAGAUAUACGAUAGAAUACAGUUCAAACACUAGUUAAACAGAGAGCCUGCCAUGGAUAAUGGGCAAAUAUUCUCAAAGAGAAACUAUAUGAUGUUAAUCCACGGAUCAAAAUGAAGAUACAAUGAUUCCAUUUUAAAUUGACAGAAUUAACAGGGAAGAAUUGAAUUAUCAGCAGGCUUCCUCUCAAAAAAUCGAAUUACCCUCCCCCUUUUUCUUUCCAAAACCAAAAUGAAAUAAAACAUAAAACAAAGUGAUACAAGUUUCCCGCUUUUAUCAUAUGACAAAUAGUGUUCCCUGAAGAAUAUACAUCAAUGUGUGUUAUUCUGUAAAGAGUAAUAUAGGUCACUUAACUAACAUGUAUAAGUCGCAGCUGACUCUCAGAAUCAACAAAUCACCUGCCUUGAAUAACUCUAUAAUUAAGUACCAAAUCCUCGGGUUUCUUCCAUAUAUAAGCCCGUACAGUAGGUAAGCUCAUAUCAGGAGAUAAUACCUGGAACAGAUAGUAAACAGAUAAAAAAAAGGGGCCAGCAUACUGUGAUUGAACUUGAACUAACAAGUUGGUCUAAAAUUAUUUUUCUAUGUUUAUUUCAAAUUCCACAGAUUGAAAUAUUGGUAAGAGAAAAUGAGGAAAAAGUCACACAACUUUGACAGAUAUGCUCUUAGCCAAUGGCAUUUUAGCAUUCAACAAGCAAUUGACUUGCCUGAUUAUUGCAUAAAAUCUCAACAGAAGGCCGAAGCUUUUGCCGUGGCUUCAAUCCAGACCGAAAAGAUCCAUCUCCAACUGCCGAAUGCUGCAAUUGUCCUCCAAUUCCAGGAGCAAAUGUUCCGACGGUAUUUAAAUUAUCAAUUGGUUUGUCAAGCACCAUCUUUUCUUUGACAUAAUUAAUAACCUACAAAACCACAACAGAGUGAAUGUAGUCUCAUCAAUAUACUGUAUAUGCGCCCUAAAAUAACAUUUUUAAUAACCUAACAGUGUUCGGACCCUUAUUCCUUCUGUGCUCCGAAAUAUGAAUUUAUUCUAGAGUAUUUACCCGAGUGAUCUAAAUCAGUAUAAUAACGGCAUUUGCUACCUUGCACAAUCAAUUUCCAUGCAAAAGAAAUUGUCUUUUGCAAGUACUACAGAAAACCAAAUAGACCUACCUUUUGUGUUCUCAAUAUACGCGGUGCACUCAACUUCCCCUGUGUGAGGAUCUGAACAGCUGAACCUUCACAUGGAUGAAGGUAGAAGCUGCACCUGAAAAAAUGAAAAGGGAAUUCAUCAAGAGAGAGAAAGGACUGAAAGACACCCUAGUGAACACCGGAAAAAUAAAAUAUGGGGAAACGAAGGGAUAUUGACUUGUAUUUAGUAAAAAUACUAUCAAUAAUGCUCAUUAUUAGGGUCUGAUAUCAUGCUUUGUGAUAGUUUCUUGUUUUUACGAUUUUAGCAAGAUUAAAUAGAGGCUAUUAUAACUAAUAAAAAGUAUGGAAAAGAAUAAAGUUUUUUUCUCAAAAAUUCUCUCCCUUCCUUGGCAAAUUCUUUUUCUGCCAAAAUUUCUCUUUCUCUGCAAAGCAUAAGAUCUUAUUCUAAACCAUUCCUAAAAAAGGGGGGGGGGAUGAAGCCUCUCAAAUCAGCCAUGGCAAGAAGAAGAGGUACCAUCCUACUUGAGAACCUCCACAACAUAAAAAUAUACUUAUAUGAGUGCUCCCAAUGCUUGACACGAGAAAACCAGUGUGUGGAUUCUGGAUUCAGGGGCAUCAGAUCAUGUGAGAUGUGACAGUGUUUCAUAAAUAUAAUCCAUGUCGUGAUAAUGGUGGAAAGUGCUGAUGGGUCUCUUUAAGGUGGCUGGUACAAGUUCAGUUAUUAACUCAAGGAUAUAACCCUUGAUUCAAUAGCAUUUGGGCCAAAUUUUGAUUGCAUUAUGCUAGCCAUACAUAAGAUUACAAGAGACCCUAAUUGUGUUGCUAAAUUACUCCCAAAAUGUGUGAAUUUCGAGUCUUGGACUCGAGGAAGACAAUAGGCUAUGCUAGGAUGUGGAUGGGCCUCUACCUUCUCAAAGUUGAUGUGCCAAAAAGGCAAUCUCAAAAACCAACUUGUGCGGCUUCAUCAGCUUAUAUCAACAAGGGAUGGAGCAAUAAUUUUGUGGCAUUACCGAUUAGGUUAUUUGAAUUUCAAGUAUCUAGAAAAAAGGUAUCUCAAUCACUCAACAAAAAUAUGCUCCAGAUCUAUUGAAAGAAACAUGGAGGCUUAGGUGCAAACCAACAGACACCUUCAUGGAUCUUGCUAACAAGAUGGAAAUAGAGUAUGGAUCAUAUUUGAUCCAAUUGAGAAGCUUCUAGAACCUAUGGAUCAUAUCCUUAAAUAUCUAAAUGGAAGUCCUAGCAAAAGAACAUACUCAAGAAAAUAUCAAACAGAGAUGUCAAACAUACACAGAUGCUGAUUGGGCUAGUUCCAUGAUAGACUGAAGAUCAACCACCUAUUGUGACACUUUUUCUAUAGGGAGCCUGACUACAUAAAAAAACCAAGAAGUAAUCUGUCACAGCCACAAACAAUAGAAAAGCUGAAUUUAAAACAUUGUCACAUGGCAUUUGUGAGUGAAUGUGGUUAGAACAAAUGUUGAAUGUAUUAAAUAUAUCUACAGGAAAUUCCAUGAAACUUUAAAAUGAUAAUAAGCCAAUAAUAAGCAUUGCCAAAAACCCCAUUCACCAUGAUCGAACUGAACACGUGAAGAUCGAACGCCACUUCAUCAAAGAGAAGAUUAAAAAAAAAAAGAAGAAUUCUUAGACUAGUUGAUAUUGAACCUUUUGAGAAUCACACCCCAAAAGCUAGCUAUUAAGGUUGGAGAGCCUACAUACAUAUAAACCCCAUAAGGAAUUCUCAUACAUCCCUAUGUGGGAUCCAAAUUCAAACCUUACAAUUCCGUACAUAUCAAUCCACCAAGCUCCGCAAUUCCAAUCCCUACAUGGAUUAGCUUUGUGCUAGCUUAUUCUAGCCUCAGGCCUACACUACACUACCAAUGUCACCAUCUAUCACAUUAUUGCAAUUAAAAGGCGUGAGGACUAGCUAAGUCUCAUACCAAUUAGUAUGAGCCUUUGGAGAACCACACCCAAAAGCUAGUGAUUGAAAUUAGAGAGCCUAUGUCCAUUUAAACCCUACUAGAAAAUCCCACACUUUGCCCCACAGCUUGCAGUUGAGUACAUAUCACUAGUCUAUAUAUUUCCGUGCCACCAAACUGGAAAUGGCAUUAUGUUGAAAUAUUUUUGAGAACUUUAAGUCCAAGCUGGACGUGAUAAAUAUUUUUGAGAACAGGCUUUUUCUAUUCCGUCUUAUUCAUAAGAAAUUACAUAAAUAUUUAUACACAUAGUAAGCCUAACUUAGGAAACUCUAUACUAGGAAAUAGACUAACUCUAGGGAUGCUGUCUAAAAAAAACAGCCUUAAAGUUAGGGAUAGUAAUCAGUAAAAUAUUUACAGAAUCCUAUCUGAUAUACUUAAAUAUUCCUUAAUUAGUAAACUGUAAUCUGACACUCCCCCUCAAGCUGGGAAGUGGAUAUCAUCCAUUCUCAGCUUGCUUACUAGUUUUUGAAACAACUUUCCAGACAACCCUUUGGUAAGUAUGUCUGCUAGUUGACCAUCAGUGGACACAAAUGGAGUGCAAAUUAAGCCACUGUCCAGUUUUUCCUUUAUAAAAUGUCUGUCAACCUCAACGUGCUUCGUACGAUCAUGUUGAACUGGAUUAUGUGCAAUAUUGAUAGCAGACUUAUUAUCACAAUACAACUUCAUUGGACCUUCCCACUUGAACUUCAAAUCUUCCAAAAUAAUUUUUAGCCAUAAUAGCUCACAAAUUCCAAGAGCCAUCGCCCUAAAUUCAGCUUCUGCACUAGAUCUAGCCACAACAUUCUGUUUUUUACUCCUCCAAGUCACAAGAUUGCCUCCUAGGAAAGUGCAAUAGCCCGAGGUUGAUCUUCUAUCAACCAUAGACCUUGCAUAAUCUGUAUCAGUAUAAGCUUCAAGGGUUAAAUUCUCCCCCUUUUUAAAUAGGAUUCCUUUACCUGGCGUGCCCUUUAAGUACUGUAGAAUUUGAUACACAGCUCUAAGAUGUGAUUCUUUGGGGUUGUGCAUAAACUGACUUACAACACCGACUGCAUAGGCAAUAUCCGGUCUGGUAUGAGACAAGUAAAUGAGCUUCCCCACAAGUCUUUGAUAUGAACUUUUAUCAACUGCUGCAUCUUCUAGUGCAUCUCCAAGUCUGUGAUUCACCUUUAUGGGUGUGUCUGCUGGUUUACAUCCCAACUUGUCUGUCUUUGUCAACAAAUCAACUAUGUAUUUUUGCUGAGAUAUGAAGAUUCCUUCCAGAGAGUGUGCCACUUCAAUACCAAGGAAAUAUUUUAACUUUCCGAGUUCUUUGACUUCAAAUUCUUUUACUAGGCAUUUCUUUAAAUUCUCCAUUCCUUCCAGGUCAUCACCAGUCACUAUAAUGUCAUCUACAUAGACUAAUAAAGCAGUCACUCCCCCUGAAGAUGAGUGUUUUACAAACAGAGUGUGAUCUCCUUAACUCUGUUUAUACCCCAACUUGAGCAUUACUGAUACGGGGUUGCGCGCGGACCAAGAUCGAGUUGCCAAGUCACGAGAAACUCCUACGAAAACCCUAAACAAUUAGAUCUAAAACGAAACAGAAAAUUAAAAUAUUAGAUUUUUGAAUUUUCAGAUCUGAAAUAAAAUCCCCAAAUCAGUAAAGAAUCAAAUUGAGAAUAGAAAUAAGUGUUAGGGUUCUUGAAACCAUCAAGGAGAUUGUGAUUCUGCCCAAUUGAACACCAAGAUAGUUUUCCCCAAAUUUCGACAAUCUAAUUUCACCAAAAAAGAGUAUGGAAAAACCCUAGAAAUUGGGGAUUUUUGGGCUGAUUCUUUAAGAUAGAAAAAGGCUGAAAACACAAUAAGAACAGAAAAUAGAUUAGAUAAUGAUUCAGCACAAGUAGAAAUAAAGAAAGAAUUGACAGUAAGAAAUUAAAAGAUAAGUCCUAAGAAGCCUUGAAAUCUCGAAAGGUCUCACAACUCCCUUCAAACGGCUCUAAUCUCCCCUCCAAAGAAUAUCAAUGGCAAGAAGAAGGUUGAAGAUGGCUCCCACAAUCACAAGAUUGUUAAAACAGCUUCUAAAGAAAACUCAAGAGAAAAAUCUUGGAGAAAACUCAAAAAAAUUCUACUCUCAACAAAUCUGAAAUUUUAAUAAUAAUGAUAAGUGUUUAACAAGGUGGACAGCCAUGCCUUUAAAUAGGCAUUAUAACUAGUCCUAAUCUAAUUAGAAAACUAAAAUAAAAAAAACUCCUAAUUAUUUUAAUAUGGAAAUUCGGUCAAAUGUUAUUUUAUCUAGGACUCUUGGACUGAAUAUUGACAUAAAAAUUUAAACUAAGUAAAUAAAUAAAUAAAUAAAUAAAAAUAAAACUUUACAACUUGGGCCACUUUGACAAUUUGGCCUGAUUUUCAACUAAGUAUGGAUGGAUUUCUUGAUUGGGCUUGGAAUCUUCUUAUUGGGCUCGCCUUCAAGAAUUUGGGCUUUUGUGACUCGUAUCAUUCCCCCUUCCUCAAAAAGAUUCGUCCUCGAAUCUGAAAAAUCAAAUGAACUCGACUUUCCUCUAUCGAACGGGACUAAUGGCAAUUGAGUCCACUGAGAAGAAUAGCCAUGAGAUAGUAAAUAGCAACGGAAACAAGCUUGUAGUCCAAUCAUAAGCAUAACAGAACACGUAUAACGCAUGUGAAUGGACAGAUUCAGAUUACCAUGCAAACAAUCUAAUUUACUCACCACUGCCUCGUCAAAUAUUUGAAACAAAGAUGGACAUGUUUUAAGGCAUUCAGUCGUCUCACAUUGUUCCCACAAACCAUGAAUAAAUUGCGAGUAAUAAAUCAAAUGGUAAACAUAAUCGUCACAAGUAGGUAUUUGAAAAGAUUCACAUGGUUCACAGAGUUGCAUAAUCAUACCAUGCAUUAAUCGACGGUCUAUAGAUUCACUCACACAUGCAUUAUCAAAAACAAGAAUCUUUUUAUCAACCAUCAAAACAGAUAGAUCAUCAAUAAAUAAAAUAGGACAGUCAAGCACGUUUCGAUCUAAGUGUUCAUCAACACGAUCUUUAUCAUUAUCCGAGGAGUACAAAAGUGUUUCAAAGGUGUCAAGCAUCUUACCUCGAUAAGCAGAAGAAUAAGGGUCGAUUUUACCUUUUUCAUUUAAAACAAACCUUCGCUCAUUGGGGGUAUAGUGUACUCGAAUCUUCGUUGUUGAGUUAACGUUUGUCAAAUGGAACUCAAACUUCAUGUACAACCACAUAAACUGUUUAAGGCACGAAUAUAAAUUGAAAACAAAUUUGGAAAAUUUCGUUACCUUAUUCUCCAAAACAGAUUUGGACAAAUUCAAGGAUUUUACAUAAGGUAAAUCAAGAGAAUAACAAAUCACGCUUCUUUUCGUAAUGACUUUAUCAACCACAAUCGAAGAGUAACAAUUAAUCAGAUCAAAAUGAGGAGAUCUUUUAAGAACUAAGUCACCAAAAGUUUUAUCAAUAAUUUUCAAAUCUGCACUGGACUCGGUUUCUAAAAUUUCCUUACCUCGCUUACCUUCGGGAUCAUGUAGUGUGAUUUCAUCUUUGCUUAAGUUGAUCGUAUGAAAGCGUCUUUCAUUUGAGAGGUAUUGAAGUUGAAAGUUAUCUUUCGAUCUUUCGGGAACCUGAAAAGUAGCAACACAAGAAAAAUUCAUAUCUUGGUUAGUGGAAACAUUCCUCACUACCCUUUCCACGUCUUUUUCUUUUGUUUCUUUUUCUAAUUCAUUUUCUCUUCUUUCUUCAAUUUCUUUUUCACUCUCAAUCUCUUUUUGCUCUUUUUCAUUCUCUUUUUCUUUUUUCUCACUUGUUUUAACAGAAUUUUUCAGUUUGAUUUGGUCCUCAUGGACUUGUUCCAGAGUGAGCGGCACUAAGGUGAGUUUCUUUCCUUGAUGCUUGAAAGAAUACCUAUUGGUACGACCAUCGUGAGUGACUUUUCGAUCCAGUUGCCACGGUUCUCCUAGCAACAAAUGGCAGGCUUGAAUAGGCAUUACGUCGCACACAACUUCGUCUUGAUACUUACCGAUAGAAAAGGCGAUGCGCACUUGUUGAGUGACCCUAAAUUGGCCUUCGUUGCUAAGCCCUUGUAGUUGAUAAGGUUGUGGAUGCUUGGUAGUGGUUAAGCAAAGCUUUUCCACCAUCGUCGUGCUGGCUAUGUUCGAGCAACUUUCACCAUCAAUAAUAACUCUACAAAGCUUACCUUGUACGUGGCAGCGAGUAUGAAAGAGAUGUUCUCGUUGCUGCUCGCUCUUUGGUUUUGCCAAAGAUGAUUCUCCAUGAUCAUGACAAUCAUCAUCCAUUCUAGGGACACGUUGAGGGUUGCACCUAUGGGGCUGGUUAUCCCUAUCUUCCUUAAUUGGAUCUCGAUAUUGAUGUUUUUGAUUCACUCGUACCUCAUUCAAAGUAGUAUUCAAUGCUUGAAGUGUAGCAUUUAUUUGUGUGAUUGCAGCAGUAUGUCUGUCUAACUGUUGUUGGACUUUCAUAAGUGCAUCAUUAUUAUCACCUUUAGACAUCUUCAAAACCUGUAAAAAAUAAACACUCAACACUCAAAAAUAAAAGUUAGCAAACCUCACCAUUAAUCACUCAAAAAGAAAAAUCAAAUUCUCAAUGAGGUCAAAUUCAAUCUUGUGAGUUCUUUAUCAGAGUUUAUAUCAACCAAUUAGAGAGUGUGAACCAAACUAUCAAAGAAUCCUAAUUUGCACUAGGAUGCCAAAAACUGACGAGACACCAAGUGAUUCGUGUUGCACCGAGGAAGGAUUGUGCACACGUUUAAAUCCUACUAACACAAGAAACAAGAAGGUGUUAGAUAUUUUAAAAGGAUAAUAAAAAGCAAACAAAUGAAAACCUACAGCUAAGAAUCAAUAAAAAUUGCUGAAAACAGAAAACCCGAAAAACUGUGGAGUAACUUGACAACUUCGUUCGAGGUGUUCCCGAUCUCAAAAAAUCACAAAAUUAAAUCUCGAAUGUCCUUAAAUAUUUAAUUUUUGAUCUGGAAAGUUUGGGCACCAAACUCAACCCGCUGAAUUUUUUUUAAAUUUUUAUUGGAUUUCGUCUUUUUUUCGAUUUUUUGACUUUUUUGACUGAUUUUUUUGCAGGAAUAAAUUUUUUAUAUUCAAUCACAGUGCCACAAAUAUGUAUGUAAAAUUUCAGAUCAAUUUGACAACGUUUACCCACUCAAAUAAAAUUUUUUUGAAAGAUUUUUCUGGGUAAAACUGCUGUUUUUGCUUUAAAAUAUUGAGAUCAGUUUAGAAAUCAACCAAGAACACCCAAAACGCCCAAAAUCUGAUACCAAAUGAUACGGGGUUGCGCACGGACCAAGAUCGAGUUGCCAAGUCACGGGAAACUCCUACGAAAACCCUAAACAAUUAGAUCUGAAACGAAACAGAAAAUUAAAAGAUUAGAUUUUUGAAUUUUCAGAUCUGAAAUAAAAUCCCCAAAUCAGUAAAGAAUCAAAUUGAGAAUAGAAAUAAGUGUUAGGGGUCUUGAAACCCUCAAGGAGAUUGUGAUUCUGCCCAAUUGAACACCAAGAUAGUUUUCCCCAAAUUUCGACAAUCUAAUUUCACCAAAAAAGAGUAUGGAAAAAUCCUAGAAAUUGAGGAUUUUUGGGCUGAUUCCUUAAGAUAGAAAAAGGCUGAAAACACAAUAAGAACAGAAAAUAGAUUAGAUAAUGAUUCAGCACAAGUAGAAAUAAAGAAAGAAUUGACAGUAAGAAAUUAAAAGAUAAGUCCUAAGAAGCCUUGAAAUCUCGAAAGGUCUCACAACUCCCUUCAAACGGCUCUAAUCUCCCCUCCAAAGAAUAUCAAUGGCAAGAAGAAGGUUGAAGAUGGCUCCCACAAUCACAAGAUUGUUAAAACAACUUCUAAAGAAAACUCAAGAGAAAAAUCUUGGAGAAAACUCAAAGAAAAUUCUGCUCUCAACAAAUCUGAAAUUUUAAUAAUAAUGAUAAGUGUUUAACAAGGUGGACAGCCAUGCCUUUAAAUAGGCAUUAUAACUAGUCCUAAUCUAAUUAGAAAACUAAAAUAAAAAAACUCCUAAUUAUUUUAAUAUGAAAAUUCGGUCAAAGGUCAUUUUAUCUGAAACUAUUGGACUGAAUAUUGACAUAAAAAUUUAAACUAACUAAAUAAAUAAAUAAAUAAAUAAAAAUAAAAAUAAAACUUUACAACUUGGGCCACUUUGACAAUUUGGCCUGAUUUUCAACUAAGUAUGGAUGGAUUUCUUGAUUGGGCUUGGAAUCUUCUUAUUGGGCCUCGCCUUCAAGAAUUUGGGCUUUUGUGACUCGUAUCAAUUACUUUGGUAAAUCUUCCAAACCAAGCCCUCGGGGACUGUUUUAGUCCGUACAAAGCCUUUUUUAGUCUGCAAACUACCUGUCCUGUAUUUGGACCGAAUCCUGGUGGAACAUCCAUAUAUACUUCCUCCUCAAGAUCACCAUGUAAAAAGGCGUUUAUGUCAAAUUGCUGUAAUUUCCAGCCUCGGUUGGCAGCUAGUGACAACAACACUCUCACAGUGUUCAUCCUCCUCGUAUUCUGUUCCUGAAAAAGACAUCGAUUGUGAUAGAAAACCACACUACAGUUAGAGUCUUUGGUAAUUCUUUGGAUGGAUAGAAGAUUGGUAAAUAGUUUUGGAACAUGAAGGACAUUUUUAAGAGUAAGGGUUUUGUUUAUAACAAUAUCACCCUGACCAACCACUGUGAUCACAGAACCAUCGACUACUGUUAUCUUUCUACUACUAGGACAAGGUGUAUAUGAAACAAAUUUUUGUGAGGAGUGGGUCAUGUGGUCUAUAGCUCCUGAGUCAAUGACCCAAGAACUUUUUGUGGGUAUAUCCGAGAUUUUAGAAUUUUGAGAAGAGAAUAUACCUGAAAAAACCAAACCACUAGUAGAUUCUUCAACUUCUCAAUUUCUUCUUUACUGAACUCAACAGAUGAUUCUUGAGAAUUCCCUUCUCCAAUGUUGCUGGUUUUGACAGUUUCAGCCAUGUUUCUUUUGAACAAAUUCUACAGGCUUGAGGGUUGAUCGGGAAUGAGAAGAAGUUGCCAGACAAAGAAAAAAAUCCCAGAAUUUGAGCUAAAAAAACGGCUCUAAUACCAUGUUAAGAACAGGCUUUUUCUAUUCCAUCUUAUUCAUAAGAAAUUACAUAAAUAUUUAUACACAUAGUAAGCCUAACUUAGGAAACUCUAUACUAGGAAACAGACUAACUCUAGGGAUGCUGUUUAAAAAAAACAGCCUUAAAGUUAGGGAUAGUAAUCAGUAAAAUAUUUACAGAAUCCUAUCUGAUACACUUAAAUAUUCCUUAAUUUGUAAACUGUAAUCUGACAAUAACCCAACGUGAGGGGAAGCGUGGGAAUCAAGGGACAUUGACUAGUAUUUAUAAAAAUCUUUUAGGAGCACUUAUGUUGAUUGAGGUUUGGUAAAGAUGUUUUUGUAAUAAUUUAUUUACUAGUGGUUGGUAAAGAUAAUUUAAGAGUAAUUGCUGCAUUUUAUAAUAAUCCCCAUUAUUAGAGCCAUAUCAAGCUUUGGAAUAGUUUUGGGUUUUUAGGGUUCAAUCAAAUAUAAAUAUAGGCUAUUGUAACUAAGAAAAAGUAAAAAUAAAAAUAAAAAUAUUUCUCUCUCAUAAUUUUUCAUUCUCUCCCUCGAGAAACUCUUUUUCUCCAAAAUUCUCUUUCUCAACAAAAUUCAUAUUAUCCACAUGGUUCUUGAUGUCGAGCGACAAUGUAUGGGAAGCACAUUUCCUUUUUCUAAAUCAAGAGAAAAGCAGAUGUCCACAAGAAAAGUAUCAAUAAAGGCUAUAACAAAACAAAAACAUAGAAAGCUAACACUUCCAAUUAAGUUCAUCUCUGUGUAGCAAGCCUAUUGACAAAAAGAAGUCGACCAAUAAGCAAAGGAAAGUUUAAUGAGGUUACAGAAGUUACUUGGUGUUCUCUCGUGAUGGGAGCUGAUUAUUCAAUACACAGUCCAAAACCCACCAUGGGAAGUCCUUCUCAUCCUCAAUACCAUCCAAUUCAGUAAUUUUCUUUCUCCAAGGACCUCCUUGAGAACCUUCAGUGAUAAUUGAAGGAGGGGAAACUGUAGACAACUCAAAAGGAGGAUAGACUGUGGAGUCAUUAAGAGCAUUUCCAUCCACCUCAAUUCUUGAAUGAGCAAGACUUCUUGGAGUAGUAUCUUUUCUUGAUAAAGCAUUUCCAUUAGCUGGAGUCUGCAAGCCAAGUCUUUGCCUUCUUUUGGUCAUCCAAUGAGCCAACAGACCUUUAAGGGUUUCCCGGCCUAGAUUAACCUGCCAAAGACAGUCAAAACCAGAUGAAUGCAAUAAUCACAGAUUUCUCACAUAUACUACAUCAAAAGAUUGCCACAAUCAAUGGAAAAACCUAAUACCUUAUCAUCCUCAGACUUGCCAGUUAUAUUCAGAUCAGCAGAAUACAUCUCUGCAGAAAAACAUUGGGGUGUGUCCAAAUGAACAGAGAAGCUUCCAAGUCGGGCAUCCAGAGUGAACCAUGAAGGGAUGCUUACCUAGAAUGGUUUUAAACAAAAAUCAAGAGUAAAUUCCAAAAAUAAAAUUGAAUUAUAUUGAAAUGACUUAACUUCAAAUAAAUAGUUACCGCACCAUCUCAAACAACUGCUCCUUUUUCUCAUCAAAUGAGACCUGGGCAUUGAAAUUAAAGAAAUAUAUAAAUGCAUACAACUAAAAACAUAACGGUGCAUGUACAAGUGCGUUUAUGUGCACCCAACCUGAAAGUGAAAGCAAAGGGCAAUCCACUUCUCUCAAGAAAGAAAGAUGGAAAAUGAGGAAGAAUCUAGUUCACCUGUCCAUAGUCCUCGAUCACAAUACCCUUGAUUAUAUCCCAGAGCUUUACUGAACCAGCAGUAUCCUGUUAAGGAAGCAUAAAUAUAAAAAAAUGGAACUAAAACCCAACAAAUAUAGGUACUGCUAAAUUUACCUUAGUCAACACAUCCCUUCUGUUAUUUAAAAUUUCAUGCUGAACUAUUGCUGGAGUUCCAGGAAUAGUAAAGAUUGGCUCUUUAUAAACAGGAGCCUGCCAAUACCCAAUAAUGUCUGAACAUCAGUAAAGGGAAAGGGAUAGACAAUCACUGCUACAACAAAUUCCACAGACAGCCAAACUUCAAAGAGAUAUCCAUUAAAAAAAUUAAUAAUAAACCAAAACAUUUCAUGGUUCAUGAAAGAAAGUCUAUUACUUGUUCUGUGUUUUCUAGAGGUUGGUUGAACAAGAAACAUAUGAAACAGAACCAUUAACAGCUCAGUGAGAAGCAUCAAAUUCACUAAAAUGCAAGUGUAUAAGCAGAGAUUUUUUAUGAUAAGUGAAGUGAUUUGCUGUAAUUUCAAACACAUAAACAUGAGUACAUACACAGACACUACACUUACUGGGGCUGUCCCUUCUAAACAAACUCUUGCCCUCGAGAAAGACAAGUUUCCAGCCAAGAAUGAACCACCUCUUUGAAAGACCUUCUGAGGAUUUUGUCCUUCAGCAGGCCAUCUAUGAAAUGAAGAAUCUGUUGUUGCAACCCAUAUACUAUCAUCAUCCAAUGCCAACUGCAAAAUUGGGUGUUCCUUUUUGCAAAGCAAUAUACUUUCUCUUGUUGUCAAGUCUGUCAAAUAUAACUGAUGUAGGUAGAAAAGUAAGCACAAGUCGUGAGUUGAAGCUAAAUGUUAGAGGUAGAAGACACGGAUGAGAGGAAUUGUCAAGAUCAAUAACCAAAAAGAUUUAGAUGUUUGGCCAUUAUUUGACAUCAUAAUGAUUUAGAAGUUAUUUAAGCUAAAACAGACAUUAUCAAGUCUUAACAUUAAAUUUCAUCCAGUUAAAGUUAAAAAGUUUUAUUUCGUUUGUUGGUUCAUUAAUUUGGUAAUUUUAACUUUUACAGGAAUUGAAAAUUUUGAUGGUAGGAAUCAUAUUUACUUGAGUUUUCCUUAUUAGGUUUUUAUUCAUUGUUUAGAUGAUGUAAUUUUACCAAGUCAAACUUGAAAGUCUCCUACUUUGCAUCACAUGUCUUUGUAUGAAUAUUAUUACUUGAACUCCAUAAAUUAGCAUGAUUAACUUCAUUCACUAAAAAACAAUUGUAUGAGAACUGCAGCAGCUGUUGUGCCAAUCCUUUCCCUAGUGCAAAGCUUAAGAAAUUCUAGAUGCGAAACCUAUACCUUAAUUCUUCUUCUUACUAUAUUACUUCAGGCAAUGGCUUCAAUCUUACACCAACCUUAAAUCCUUCUAACUCCACUCACGCAAAUUCAUUAUCAAAUUAAACCCUUAACCAUUAAAUUAACACCUGUGAGUACUGUUAACAGUAGCAGCAUAUCCCAAUCUAAAUCCCAUUACCAAAACUCGAAAGCAUCCCAAUCUAAAUCCCAUUACCAAAACUCGAAACCCCUAAUUAUUAUUGUAAUUUCCAAUCCUUUAGUCUAAAUCAAGCCUGAAAUAGUAAUCAGCCAUAACCCUACAUCAGCACAAAGUACUAGUCAAUUUUCAUAUCAAAACAUUAGCAAAAAAGAUAUACAUGUCCAUCAAAUAGGUUUGGCAUGAAUAUGUACUUACAGAAAGAUCUCUACCACCACUGUAAACAUGACCAAAUGUUGGGGUGCUUGCAAGUGCCCAAACAGAAUCUGUAUGCAGCGCAUAAGAGUGCACGCAACGUUGCUGACCAAGAUCCCAUAGCCUACAAAAUAGAAUUAGCCAUUUAAAAGGCAAUGCCUUAGAUUCUAUAUGGUCAAAAAUGGCAUGUGGUUAUAUAACAGCUAAACCAACAAAUUGUGUACCUGAUCAUAGAAUCAGAGGACCCAGAUAAACAAUAUCUGAAAGAAAACAAAAUAUCUGUCAAAAACAUCACUGGUUAAAUAAAUAGAGCAGAAGAGCAUGCAAUCAAAUAACAGAAUUCACCAGAAGAAAAUCAAGGGAAUGACCCAUCAUACAACAAUAAACUUCUAGAUAUGUCCAAAGAAAAUUAUUCAUUCCAAUUUCACUAGAAAGCCAUAUUGCAGUUGAAAACAAAUGCAGACAAGUACAUCUGAUCUGCAUAGAGGCAUAAGCCCAUAACAAGGUUCAGUUUCCUCAGUUCACCCACCCUCAUUGUUCUCGAAAUAGCAUCCAGGGACAAUUGGAAAUGCACCAAAAUUUUCCAAUCAACCAACCAGUUUAGGCCAGUACUAACUGUUCCGCAGUUGCAAGAUGAAUUAUCAGACAAAAAAAAUGCUUCUUGUAAUGCAUAAUAAAGCUCCAAAACUGUAAGGCCUCCAACUAACAUCAAGCAAUUUCUACUUCAAAUCAUAACUAAGGGCUGCAGAGCUGAAUGUAUUGCACCCACCUGCCAGUAGAAUCCAGAAGGAGAGCCCUGGUGUUAUCUAUAUGCCCUCUUAGCUUCAUAGUCUUUGAACCAGUUCUUGGAUCCCAAACUCGCAAAACCUAUAUGUAAGUGAGGUAAAGAUAAGACAAUCUCUUCCAAAAUGUCAUAGGUGGAGAGAAACAUGAUAUUGUCAGAAAACUUGAAUUCAGUAAGAAGCGCAAACUACCUUCUCAGUUCCACCAGACACAAGAAGGGUUCCAUUAUCAUUCAUUGCCAAUGCAUAGACCGACUCUUUGUGGCCUUUGGCAGUGAUGGGGACAUAUCCAUGACACUGCGUUGUGCUUGCAUUAAUGCUGUUAUUCGAGCUAACUGUUCGCAAACUUGAUAUUGUUAAUGGAUUAGCAGAACCAUUGAUACCAAUGGAACAAUCAUCUUCCAUUACAUCACUUGACUUUGAAAGUGGAGUAACCGCAGCUUCAAUAUCCCAUAUGAAAACCUCCCCACCAAGACCACCAGAAGCAACCCAAUUGGUCUAAAAAGUAUGACACUAAAAGAGAAUCAGAAUGUGACUUCUAUAAUCAUAAACACCAUACCUUGAGCACAACCUAUGCUGCCAAAUUAAACACAGAACACUAACAAUAUAGCACUCAGAACCUUUCAUCCAUGCAGCUAACAAAUUCAAAGAAAAUAUUGCAUAGAAAUUACAUUUUUUUCAGCUGCAGCUAAACAUGUAACAUAGUCAGAGUGUUGGCGGAGAGUCCUGGUACAAGUUCCAUCAGACAAGCAGUUCCAUGUCUGGGUAUAACCCAAGGACAGAGCAUAUCAGUACUUGAUGCUUAGUCAAAAAAAAAAAAAACAGCCAGAGGUACAGCAUUAAUUAAUAGAAAACCUUCAGUGUGGUGUCUGAAGAGCAGGAAACAAGUGUAUUGCCACCAGCUAUUACAGUAUCGUUUACCUGUAUAACAAGAAAAUUGUUUUAUGCUCAUUCAUAACUUAGGCAGUAACAGAGAUAUGUUAUAUAUGUGUAAGAUGAUUGGAUGGUACUGAAGGAAACAAAAGAUAAAAGAGCACUCAACAUUUAAAUUGACUAUUGAUGUAAGUGAAGUGCAAUUUGAUUAUAAAUCAAGAUAUAGUUCUACUAGAUCAAAAAUUGAACAUAAAUUAAAUCUUUACAACUUCUAACAGAAAGUUAUCAGCUAAAGUAUGUUGGUUAUGCACAAAUCCAAAAGUAAACUGUCAUAGGCAAAAUAGAAGGUACCCAAUCAACAUGUGACUCAAAUGUGGCAGAGCAAGUGGCAGCAUCUUUACCCAGUGCCCAUCUCUUAAGUGUGCCAUCACGGCUUCCAGUGAAGAGAUAGUUACAUCCAUCAGAGGCAGACGACUGUAGGACAGCUAAACAAUUUAAGCCAGCACAAUGCUGCUAGACAACAUACCAAAGUGCAGAAACAUCAGUACCAAGUGACUAUACCCAAUAUAAACCAAUAAAAUGGUUGAAUACAAUCCAGAUAAUGGCUUUUUGCUGAGAAUAUAAACUGAAUUAAUAGCAGAAUAAUUUGAUUUGAUUGUACAAAAGAUCCUAAGUUAAUUAUGGACAUUUAAUUAAUAUAAAUAAUUAAUAACUGAGAACACAGGCAUCAUUUUCAUUUAAUAUAACAUGCUUCCUAAGUGUAAAAAGCAUCCAAUUUUGACACUGGGCAGUACUAACUCAGAGAAGGAAGUUGUCAAGUUUGACCCAGAUAGAUUUUAAAAUUAAAAGUUUAUAGGCAUAGCAAAUAUACAAUAAGCAUUGCUUACUCAAUACACAAGCUUUCUAGAAUUUUAUAUAUUCAUUUAUAGUUAAAGUUACCAGGAAACAAAUUAAAAAUGCAGACUAAGAAUCCUGAUAAAAUCUAAAAAAUGCAGACAGCAUUAUAGUGAAAUAUAAAGAUAAACAAACUAGAAACAUAAUAAAAUCUAAAUAAGCAAGUUCCUUGAGAUUUCCAAAAACACAUCAAGCAAGACUACUUGUCUACUUCAAAAGAAGGGGGGGGGGGAGGAAAAAUAUGAAGGGAUUUUUAAACCAUAAAAAGAAAUAACCUUUCUGUCAUUGGCAUCGCUCAAUACAUAGGUCAGUCGCUUUUCCUUACGCGGGCGGUUAGAAUUGCCAUUGUUCGCUGCACUGCCCACUCGAUGCAUUGCAGUGAACUCUACAUAAUCAGUCAAGUGAAAAUUUAAAACUUUACCACCUUCAAUGUGGCUAAAUACUAGAAUCUUUGAAUACAAUAGAUUAAGUAGAUAACCUAUCUUGUACAACCCUAAACUCAAUUAAACAAGGACAAAAGUACCUCAAAUUUACCAAAAUAGACCACAGUUAUCUACCUUUAACUGGUAAUUAAUAUUUCUUUAAAAUAAAAUAGUAGCAACCCUUCCACAUGAUUCUGCCAGAAAAGAUUCGAUCAUUCAAUGAACACACAAUUAAACUCUAAAUUAAAGCCAAAUUUCGUCUCAAAAUGCCAAUUAAAUAUACUAAAUAUCGUAGCAGCUUAAAAGUUACUACAACCUUAACCAUUUCAACUAAGAACUAACAUUUAGAUUCUCAUCGAAAAUUCAAACAAAAUAGACCUACAUGAUCAAACUAACCAAUUAACGCCAAAAAAUGAUCAAAGAAAUACUACAGAUUCAACAAUCUUCCCUUAAAACUAAAAAUUAAAAAAAAAGUCAACUAAAAUAAAUUCAUAAAGAAACAAACUAAAAAAGAUCGGUGAGAACGUGAGAAAUCAAUGAUCGGAGAGAGAUUAUUAAAAAAUAAAAUGAGAAAAGAAGUGAAGCUUUGAACUUACCGAAGGAAAAAGAAAUCAAACACGUCGAUGAAAAUCAAAUGGUCAACAGAAAGAUAUUAAAUUAAACCCUAAAAGGAAAAGAAUUGAUACGUAAUUCGACAGCGUUUUCUUGAUAUUAAUUUUGAUCUUUUUUCCUUUAUUGCUAAAAAAUGAGGGAAGAAAUCUUUAUAGAAAAACUAAACGGGAAAACUGCAGACUUAAAAAGAAGUCUAAAAGGAGUAGAAGUCUACAAGAGGAGUGGGACUGUGGGCUGUAGGUUUUUUUAUAAAAAGAUCCAAAACUUUUAAUUAUUUAUGAAAAUGACCCAUGCUGAGUAAAUAACCCGUUUUGAACAUAAAACUGCGGUGUUGCUGUUGCCAUUGGCGGCACCAUCUAUCACAAUGACCCAAUAAUUGGCCCAUACAAUUAUGAUUUCUUUGGAUGUCGUCAAGAGCAGCGAUGACACCAAAAGAAAUCAAAUUUUAAUUUCACGAGCCAAUCAUUGAGUGAUUGUGAUACGUGGUGUUGCCAAUGGUAAUAGCGGCACCAAGAUUUACUAUUCAAAACGAGUUAUUUAGGUAUAUGAUUUUCAGGGCGAGUUAUUUUUAUAAAUAAUUAAAAGUUUUAGGUCAUUUUUAUAAAAAACCUAUAAGCUGUAGGGACCAUGAAAAAUCUAAGUAAUUCAAACAAUUUUUUAAAAAAAAGUGAUUAUCCAAUCUAAUUUAUUUAUUUUUAUUUAAUUCAUAGUUACUUCUAAUCUAUAUCUAUUUUUCUAUUUAAAUUUUUUAUUUAAUUGUUAAAUUAACAAAAGCUUAGUAUUUUUAUUAAAAACUCUAUCACAUGUCGGUGAAUCCAUAACUUUUUUAGGGACUGUAAUUUAAUUAUUGUUUUUUGUAGAUUAAAAUAUAAGUUUAUAUGUAUUAAUGUAUAUUAUUUUUGAAGAGAUUAAAUAAAAAAAUCAAUUUUAGGCGACUAAAAGUGCAGUUUUACUAUACAUUGAUUUAUAAUUUCUUUAUUUAUAAGGGGAUUGAAUUGGAAAUUUUUCAUUUGGGGGAAAAAUGCAAUUUCACUAUGUACUAAUUUAUAGUUUCUCCAUUUAUAAGACGACUAAAUUAAAUUUUUUUCUUUUUUGGGAGAGCCAAGGCCUCUACAGACCCCUUUAGAUUCGCCCUUUGAAAACUAAAUAUUUAAAGCACAAAUGUUAAUUUAAAAAUAACAUACAAUAAAUAAUAGAACGUAGUGUUUGAAAUCAAUUAAUAAUAAUAUAUAAAAUAUGUACGAUAUUAAAAUAAAAAAAUAGAUUAAAUCGUGAAUAAAAUAAAAUUUAAACACGUAAAUAUAUCAUAUUAAAAAUACAAAGUAAAUAUAAUUAUUUAUCAUGGUAUUGUCAUCAAUCUUGAGUUAGUAUUAAGUUGACUAAUGAUGCCAACUCAAUGAACAACAUUAUCAAUACGUGUGUGGAAAUUACGUGUUUAGAAUAUAGAAGUGUGUUUAAGAAUAUCAUACAAUAAAUAAUAAAUUAUUUGGUCUGAAACUAAUUAAUAAUAAAAACACAUGAAAUAUCUCUACUAUUAUUUAAGUCUAUAACUAAGUUGGUAUCACGAGUCAAUCAGGCACCAACUCGAUUAAGGAAAUUACAAAAAUAUAUUUUUAUAUUUAAAAUAAAUUAUAUUAUUUGAUGGUGCUUAUAGAAUAAUUUGAACUCAUGCCAAUUAUAUUUCUGACUCCCCAAAAAAAUAUAUAAUUUAAUUUUGACCCCUAAAAUUCUGAUUUCGCCCCUGCUCCCUAAGUCUUAUUUUUGGAUCUGUCACAGAAAAAGAUCCUUUGACCGUUCAAGUUUGUCGCCCCUACUUUUUUUAGUUAAAGUUACCACGUGUCACAACCACGGCGUGAUAUGUGACAAAAAAAUAAUGAAAAUAAAAAUAAAUAAAAGUUAUAAAAAUUAUUAGAUUUUAAUAAAAAAUAUUAAAAAUUAGAAAAAAAUUAGAAAAAAUUGUAAAAUUUUAUAAAAUUCAUAAUUUUUUUUAUAAAACAUAUAGAAUUAUAGAAAAAAAUUAUAAAAUUUUAUAAAGUCGUAAGAAAAUUAUAAAAAAUGUAAAGAAAUAUAAAAUUCGUAAAAAAAAACUAUAAAAAUUAUCGUACCAAUAGAAUCAUUUUAUAACUUUAAUAGUCAACUGUUAAAGAGCCUUUUUCAGUGGCGAAUCUAGAAAUACGGCUAAGGGUAGGCAAGGGCGAAGUGAAAAAAAAAAUUUGGCGGAAUUAAAUUAUAUAUUUUUAUGAUAGUAAAAAAAUUCAAUUUCGUCAUUUUGAUAUUCUAUAUUUUUAUAAUUUUUAGAGGAUUAAAUCAAAAUUUUAUCAUUUUUGGUGGGCUAAAAUAUAAUUUUAGCAUUACUAAUUUAAAAUUUUAAAUAAAUUAUAAAUGAUCUAAAUGAAAAUUUUCCAUUUUAGGGGGUUGGGCCCUUGCCAGCCUCCCUAGAUCCAUCCCUGACUUUUUUUAUGCAUUUUAAUAAUUUAAGUACCGAAUUGAGUGUAAAAAAAAUGCAGGGGCUUAAUUGCUUCUUCUUUUUUUAAUUAUUUAAGUUUGAGAACCUUUUUAAUGCAUUUUGGUAGUUCAAGUAUCUAAUUGAGUAAAAAAAAAAGUCAGGGCUUAAUUUCUUUUUUUGAAAAAGUUCGAAGGUCUUUUUUAUACAAUUUAAAAAUUCAAGUAUCCAAUUGAGUACAAAAAAAGUACAAAUUUAAUUACUUACUUUAAAAAAAUUUGAAGACUUUUUACAUCCUUAAGUUAAAUAAAAACUAAAAAGAUCCAACCCAAGUUAAUCAAAUGCUAUCGAAGAUUACAUAAAUUUCUAUAUAAGUUACGCUUUUAUUUUGCAAUGUUUACUUAACUUAAAUUCAUUGUUUAAAGUAAAUAUAAAUAGAAGAUUAUAAAAAUUAAAUAUUGAAAAUUUUAACAUGAAAACAAAUUAAUUUAACAAACCUAUAGAAAUUAUUAAUAAGAUUAUUUAAAAUAUAAUAAAUUAAUAUUAAUAUUUAAACACUUUUUUAAAUAACAUUCAUAUAAUUAAUUCUAAAUUCAUUAUACGUUUUUAAAUUAUUUUGAAUUAAUUACUUAUUUGAUUUUUUAGAAAAUUCAUCUAAUAUACAUAAUUGAUUCGUGCAUCACAGUUGAAUAGAAACCAAUUAUAUACCACAAGGUUAAUAUUCAAUUCAGUUAUAUACUAUAAUGUUAGUUUUUAAUGCGUUACACAAUAAAAAUUUAUCACGUGGAAAGGAAAAAGAAAAAAAACAUUUGUAGAGGAAAAAUUUGCAACAUAAGCCCCUCUACUUUUUUUAUAUAAUUUUACAUAAACCCCUCUACUUUUUUAUAUAAAUUUAAGUGGUUUUUUGCAAGUUAAAAAUUCUUUUUAUGUUUAUCCUAUUUUUAUAGACACUAUUGAAUUACAUAUUUAGAAAUAUAAAUAAUGUUAAAAUAAAUGUUUAUUUAUUUAUAAUAUUAUUUAUUUAAAUUAAUCUAAUAUCAAUUAUCAUGUUUUAAAAAUUAGACUUAUAUAUUAUUAUGUUUUAGUUUUUUAAACAUAUUAUUAAUGAAAUGUUACAAAAUUCAUGAAAAUUUUUAAGAAAUAAUUAAAUGUAAUUUGAUUUAGAUACAAUUAUCGCAGAGAUGUCCGACAUAUUCUGUAUCUAACAUUUACACUCGAAUUCACACUCGAAUUCAAGUAACAUGUAUAUAUAUAUUCACGAAAUAUAAAUAGAAUACCCUCGUUGAGAACAUUUCUUAUUCACAACUGAAGAACCGAGACAUUUGAUUUCAGGGUGUAGAAUUUACCGGAAUCUGUUGUGACAUAGGCAAGUUUGAUUGGUCUUGAUGGGAAGGGAUAACAAGCCGCUGCAACGAUCUUAAAGCUACAGUUAGCUCUGCGAAUGAAGGUCGCAAACUUGGAUCACUAAAAACAAUGGGGGCAAUAUAUUAGACUGGAUUUUAGUAUUGUAAUAGAAAUAUAGUUGUUAGUUUAAAGUUCAAGUUCCGGGCUACUUACGUUUGCCAGCAUUGCCAGAUUAUCCUUGCAACUAAAGGAUCAAGUUCCUUGGGAAUGUCGAGGCGACGAUUCUGGAAACCAACAGCACCCACAACUUGCAUUGGAUUCAUUCCGCUCCAAGGUAGUCUCAAAGUCGCAAUCUCCCAAAGAAUGACUCCAAAGCUAUAAACAUCACAUCUAUACAUCCAAAAAAACACAAAAGAAUGCAUGUUAGUUUUAAGCUUGCAGAGUUUACUAAUUUCACAGCUUUAAAAUCCAUGAGUUUCUGCGAGAAAAUAGCAGUCACUUUUUAACUUUGAUCACUAAUAUUGAGUCAUAGUAAAAAAACAAUUAACGCAAUUAUAUGUUAUGUUACUUGGACUCAAGUGAGUUUAUGAUACGGUAGGUAACUUGCAUGCAUAUGUUCAAAUUUUCUCUGAAAUUUCUCUUUCAUUUAGAAGACCCUUGGAGGGUCAUAUCUUCAUACUCAUGUCGAACACAAGUGUAGGACUCGUGUAAUUUAGAAAAAAAAUGAAAAUUCGGAACAUUGAUUAUAUGUAACCAAAAGGUGACACUGACAGCUUAGCAUGGUGAAUUUUGAACUGCUAUGGAGAUAUGAAACUUUAAAUUUUAUGAUCUUCACUAUAUUUUCAGAAAUCCAACAGAUAAUUGAGGAACCAGAGGGAAAUGUUCGUGGAUUGAUCAAUCCUAGAAUGAAGGGAUUGAGCAAUCCUAGAACGAAGGAAGGAAGAUCAGGAUUAAACAAUAUCGAUGGAAGAGAAACAACUCACUUCUCAUUGGAGGGCUCAUUGCGAAGUACUUCUGGUGCCAUCCAUUCGGGCUAAAACAUAGAAGGCAACUCUCAGUCAGAGAAAUGAAGAAAGAACAUAAAUAUAACAGAAGUUACUUGUUCUAUCUAUUUAACUUUAUAAUAUAUUGCACAGUAGGCCAAAGAUACCAACCGUUCCUGCAGUUGAUUUGGAUGAUAGGAAGGUAUUAUGCUUCAAGCGUGACAAUCCAAAAUCACAGACCUGAAUUGUUCAGUUUAGCAAUCAGAGGGUGCAGAGCAAGAAUUCCACAGCAGCCAUACUUAAUUUCCUAAUUCUUUUCCUUGAAAAGAAUAAGAAACUUUAAGAAGCACAAAAGGCUUAAACAUACAAACAUCAUUUACCUUAACAGUCCAGUUUUUAUCAACUAAAAGAUUAGGAGACUUCAAAUCGCGGUGAACAAUGGUAGGUAUGCUGGCAUGUAGGCAAUUCAUGCCCCUAGCCUGCAAAAUAAAAACAGAUUUGAAAUUUUACAGGGAUGUGACAUACUAAAUAAAACAAUUGCAGAAGCAAUCAAUUCCAUACCACAUCAAGAGCCAUCUUAAUUCUUUGCUUCUCAUCAAUUCGAGAAUGAGGACGAUGAAGAAUCUUAUAUAAGCUUCCUCUGGAAAACCAAAUAGCAUUUGAAAAUUUUAGAUCUCAAAGUUUAUCGACAUGUCUGUCACAUAAAUGCAUAUGUAUACUGGUAGUUGUAGACUGCCAACCUUGUAUGUACUUUGCAUAUGCAGGCAUAGACUUACCUUGGAAGAAACUCAGUAAUGAUAGACAGGUUUGGAGGGCGAGUAACAGCACCCAUAAAAAGAACGACGUUUGGAUGGCGCAGUCUACGCAUUAUUCGCACCUUAAUUAGAGAGAAACAGAAACCAGGAUCAGUGACUUGGACCUAUUUAACUGCCAUGACCUUAGGCAUGAUGUUUGUCUUAAAAUAAACUAAAAAAACUAAAAUAUCUGAAAACUUAUUUAACUAACUAUCCUUUUAAGAGAGAGACAAAUGCUCAAAAGUUGCUUACUUCUCUUUUGAACUCAGCCAAAGCAUCACCUGAAAAAUCCUGGUCUAGGAACUUCUUCACAGCAACCUCCUUUAGUUCAAUAACCAUUAGUCAUACCAGCCCAAAAUAAUAAACUAAUUGAUCUUUUAAUUUGUAGUGCAUAACAUCAUUUAGAUAAAGUAUAUUUAUGGUUCAGUACUGAGUUCAAAACAAGGAAAAUAGACCUCGUUACUAUGCUUUACGCAAAUAAUUGUUAGACAGCUUGAAACCUGAAUCCUCUAAAAUACUAAUCGGAGACAGCACAGAGUGAAAUACAAGAUGAAAACUGCGUUAGAGUGCAGCAGAGUAUAUACUAACCGUGCCAUUCCAAUCCGCAUGGUAGACCUCUCCAUAAGAACCUAUUCACACGAAAACAAAAUUUAGAAUACCUCCCAAAAAUGGUAAAAGUUCUUGCAAAGCAAGCAUCAGAAUUACUCAAUUUAAACUCUCAAGAUUUUCAUAGGGAAUAACAAUAGCUCUGUUCUUUUUGUUGAAAGCUAAUAACAAUAGCUCUUAAAUAUAAAACAAGGGGAAUAAAUCUUACAUGGCAGACACAAUAUGCAAGUAUGACUGAAUCAACAUUUAGUUUAUAUGCAAAAAUUGACCUAUGCAUAAUGAGAGAAAUUUCCACAUGUAAUGGACCUCAAUAAGCCACAUCCAUUACCUAAUCCAAUUCUUUCACCAAUAUCCAAGUCUUCCCAAGGAAUUUCGCAUUCACCUACAUCCACAUCAUCAAAUAGUUGUUCAACCUUGCCUUUGCCAGAAUCAAGUGAUGAGCUAGGACUUUCCGGAUCCUUCAAUUUAAGGUUAUUCUCCACAUAUCUCUCCUGGGUGUACUUUCUAUGAUUAUAGAAACCAAUCUCAUUAUCUUGCUCUUUAGCUAAAUCCCCUGUUUUAUUCUGUAAAUCAUGUCCAUUCCUGAAAUUCUCUUCCCUAAAAUUAUUGUUUGCGUCCUCAACCAGUUGUGAGCUAUUAAACUGACUGGUAGUGGAUGCCACAGAUGAGCUAGUAACAGACAAAGAAUUCUGGAUUUUAUUCUCUCUAUUCAACAUAUCAAAGCGCCCAGGGGAGUUAAAUCCGUGAGAGUAGACCUUUUCUGGUUUGGUAGAGCUAGUGGAAGCUGAUGAUGACUGAUUAAAAUCAUUAGGUUUGCAACUGAUUUUUGGAAAGAGGCCCUCCAUAUAAUUGUACUCCUUUUUCUGAGGAACCUCAUUAUAUACGGGUCGGUUCUUCCACAUCAAUGGUACUGGGGGUCGCGCCACAGCUACAUUAUUUCUCAGCCUCUGAAACUCGUCAACUUUGGUCUCUGUAGGUUUGUUUUGCUGGUAAGUUUUGCUAGUCCCUUUUCUCUGGAAUGGAUUAAGAUCUGCAAAAGGAUCUUUUGGGUCCUCUUGACUACUCUGACCAUAUGGCACUACAUUAACGUUCAUUCUCAGGCUAUCAACUACAUUGGCACCACGACUCCCUUUAUUGGCAGAAGUUCUAAUGGCAGUCGAAGGAAGAUGGUCCAACUGAUUAGGGGUCACUCUAUUAGAUAAUCCAGAGGAAAUAACACCAGAAUCAGCUCUUGGACCUGAUAAUGAAGGUAACACUUCUGCAGUUCCAGGGGUCACUCUAUAUAAUCCUGAAGAACUAACAGUAGAAUCACCACUUGGACCUGAUAAUGAAGGCAACACUUCUGCAGUUCCAGUACUUGACCCCCAAUUGAUGGGCAGACUACCAUUGACCACAGGGUGCUGACUACUACCCUCAAUGCUAGAUGGCUUUGCUCUUGAAUAACCAUUAUCAGACGACUGAAGAGUUGGGAUAUUGCUAAUAAUUGGAUUGUAUGGCUUAAAAGUAGCAUCGUUCGCACUUAAAAUAUCAGCAGGUAUAAGUGUACCAGGAGCUGCCAUUAGAUCAACCAAAAAUUCCCUGGAGAUUCAAAAACACAAGAUUAGACCUAAAUAGAAGUAAAAGAUUAAGUUAAGAAAGAAGCACAAGCUAUAACCUUUGAUCCUCAAGCUUUAUUAUAUUUACAGCAUCAUCCUCAACACCAGUAUAGUGGCUGCCUUUUACCAGUAUACAAGGUAACCUUAUGCUAUCUGCCAACACCUACAUUAGGACAGAUAGAAAAUAAAUAUAAACUUUGCACAUAGCCCUAUUACAAAAUUAUGAGCAUAGGAGUGGCAACUAAAAGAACAAAGAUAAAUCAAGGCAAUUUUGUUUCCAGAACUUAAUAGCUAAAUAUUAGAACCUGAGGCAAAGGCAUAGCCCUGUUUAUUAUCAUGACCCCUUCAGAGGGUCAGUCCUGCAAAGAAUGAGUUUUAAUCCCAGCCCAUGAAAAAAUUUCAAGGGUUUAUCCUUAGAAAUUGCAUAGAGAAACAGCCAUAAGUCAACAGAAUAGAUAUGAUUAUUUUGAACUCAUUUUUUUUAUACUAGGCAUAACUGGAAUAACCAUAUUAGAACAGGCACUGAAGUAAUUCUCAAAACUUCAAAAAUUAACCUUGAAGAGUAAAGCACGGUGCCGAGACAGGCCUAUAUUUAUGGAGCCAAUGGGGAACACACUUGUAUGAAGAGAUGUUCUAAGCUUUGUGCUUCUUUUCAUCCAUCUAGCCAAUACUAUAUUAGCAUCUUUAACAGGUCCACCCAUAUGUCCCGUUACAAGUUCAGCAAGCCGUUGAACUAACACAUCAAUAUUGGUAGCAGGGCAAUCUAAAGUAAUACAAUGUGCAAUUUGCAACAACUCUUCUAGGGCUGGGUCAAUCGUUCGAUUGACAAUUACAACUUCAAAGCCAGAAUUCCCGAGAUUCUUUUCAAGAUCAACAAGAGAUGGCAUUUUUUCUUGAAGUUUUGAAUCUGGGGAGAGCCCAUAUACAUCAUAAAAACCAUCCACCACUCUUUCCUCAUAAUCAAGCACAUUGUAUUCCUGGUGAAUAAAAGCAAUCCAACCAGUCAAUUCAAAUUGAAUAACUCAAGAAAUAGCAAGACAUGCAAGAACUCUAUGUAAUAGAGAGUUAUUGCAUCACUUCUUCUACACUGAAAGUAGCUAAGUCCUUUUAUUUUUUAUUUAAUUAUAAACCAACGAGAACAUGACAGGAAGAAAAGACUCAUUCAGUCCAAAUUAUCAUAAUAUAAUUCCAAACAGUAAAUUGCUAAAAUUCCCUAGGCAAGUGUCAAUGGAAUACUAGUUAUAGAAGCUGCCAAUGUUUCUGGAUUAAACAAAUUUCAGUGGUCAAAAGAUUGAAAGAAAUAGCAAGACAACCUGUGUAAAGACCAAAACACCAAACAUCAACUAAAGCAAAACAAGCCAGACAAAAAGGUCAUGACUAAGAGCACUAGAAACAUAUUCUCAAAUACACUUCAAAUUUAUUCCCUUCAUCUUAUAAAACGGUUCCUAUUAACAUUAUUAUCCUCAAUCUCCAAGCUAGGUAAUAACUGCUGGAGCUUCAUUCAUAGAGGCCAGAGCUUCAUUCAAAAUUUUCCCACCAGAAUUCACCAUAUAUAAAAAUCUAAAAUUCAAAUUCAAACCAUAGUUUGGCCUAACCAAUCACUAGCAGCAACUAAACAUCCCAAAUUCAAGCAUAUUCACUUUACUAGAUUCAACACAUACAUUUUCAACUCUCAAAAUGGCAAAGCAAACGAAGACAAAUAAAAUCCCUUACUCAAAACCAAAAAUUCCUAAGAAACUAUCAACACCGAAGUGGUAGAUGCCAUUUCCAGCUUCUCCACCUGAAGCUAAGUAAUGUAGCACAUCACUUUUAACUCAACUAACCAAAAAAGAAGCACAUACCCCUCCCCCCCCCCCCCCCCAAAAAAAAAAAAAAAUUGAAGCUAAUUCAAAACAAUUCCCUCUAGUUCAGUAUUGUAACUUGCCCAAACCAAACAGUCCAAAAAUGCAAUCACGAGAGCCAACUAAAACACUCACAACUCAAGCUCAAUCAAUCCAUUCAAUUCACUAAAUUUCCAAUUUAAACUUAGAAAAAUGAUUAAAAACGAAAACGUAAAAAUGCUUACCCAAUACUUCCUGGCCAAAACCUCAGCUGCCACGUCAUCUUUAACCCUCCCGAACCCUAAAUCCAUUCCAUGAUGAUUCCCUAAGCUCAAAAGCGUCGCCGCUCGGAUCUGAUCUUUCUCCGGAUCCUCGGAAUUAGAAGCACUGAUCGCCAAUGCUAACUGUACCUGAAACUCUUCCUCUGACAACAUAUAGUCCGACGCUCGAUUGUUCGGAGCUGAUGGCGUACUCAAACCAAUGCUCGACAGUACCGGCAUCGGCGUCGUGUUCACCGGAGAUGAUGACGUAGUGGUUGUAGAAGUACUCAUCAGAGCAUUUCCGGACAUCGAGUGUUGAUGAUCGGUGGCGCAUGACGGCGAUGGCGACGGAGACGUGUCGGCUGUCGAAGCUCGAUUAUGUUCGUGAUUGCUUCCUAUGUGUAACUUCUUAAAAAUGUGCUUCAUUUUUCCCCCUUUUUUUCUUUUGUUAUUUUUCAGUUUCCUACACUUUCUCGCAUUUUCUCUCAGUUUCUUUUAUUUUUAAUUUAUUUAUUUUUUAUUUUUGGAAAGGGUCAUGUAAUAAAAGGUGUUGUUAAAAGGAGGGAAAACUUAGCAAAUGGUAUAAUAAGCCUUGGCGGGUAAUUAAUAAUAAUAAGGCUUGACUUUCAGAAAUAUCUACGAAACUGCCAUUCGCAAUCAUCACCACACGCGCUUUCGGUUGACGAUGUCCGAAUUAAGCAUCCAAUGCAGCUGGACACGUGGAUAUUAGGUACCAUGUCACUUGUGGGCUCCACUGAUUUUUAAGAUUGUGUUUGACUAAUCAUUUUAUAAUAAUAACAAAAAUUUCCUCUAAAAAAAGAACAAUCUAUAUAACAUAUAUAUCCAUAUAUAUCAAUCUAUAAUAUGUAUAUAUAUAUAUCUAUACAUGUCCUUGUAAAUCACGAAUUUAACUCAUCCUAUUUUAAUUUAGUUAAUUUUAGUAUUUAUAUUUUUUAAAAUUUAAAUUUUUAAUUUUAACCUAAAUAUUAGUUAUUAAGUUCGUUAAAUCAAUUUUAUUAGAUGAUAGUUAUUAAUAAUAUAAUUUUUUAUAUUACAUAAAAAUAAAAAAUUAAUAUGAUAUUACAAAUGUUGUAAUAUAUUUAUAGUAUAAAAUUUUAAAAAUAAUAAAAAUUAAUUUAAAAUUGAUCGUACGAUAAACAUGAAUUAUAAAAUAAAUUAAUUAUACAAAAAGAAUGAAAAUUAAAAUAUAGAAGCUAAAUUUGCAAUUUAUGCAUAAUAUAAAUACUAAUAAAAAUAUUAACAAAAAAUAAUUAAAUACAUAAUCUCUUACUCAAAAACUCAAUUCAAGAUUUAAUUAUUUAUUUUGAAAACAAAACUUAAUUUGAAAUAAAAAUUGUAUUAUUAAACUUGUUCAAUCGGAUGCAUUUAUUAAAUAAAUAGAUAAGGUCGAUUUAUUCUUAACUACGACCUUGAAUAUUUAUACUUAAAUUCAAUUUUUUUAUUCAAAAAAAUUUUCAAUACUAAUUUAAUUUUAUAAAAAAAAGAAUUACCGAAUUAAAAAAAAAAAAAAACUGUGCUCCCUUACUACUCAAAGAAGACAGGAAGGCUUGAACUAAACUUGCUCAAAAACACAAGCUUGAGCUUGAACUAAUCUUAUUUAUUAUUUCAAACAAUCCCACAUUUAUCUGGAAUCAAAUUCAAACAUUGAGCGACUGCACCUCCAUAAACACGAUCAAUAUUUAUUCCAAUGUAAAUAUUUAUUAAUAUGUGUUAAAACUUUGAAAAGAAAUACAGUGAACUGCAACAAACAGGGUUCAACACCAUGUCCAAACACCAAUUUUUUUUUUUUAUAACCCUAGAAGAAAACAAGAACCAUCAAUGGCGAAAGUUGAUAAUGUUGCUUGAUCAAUAGGUUACCUUCUCCAUGUUUCAUCUCAAGGCUCAAACACCAUACUCUCUGCUUCCCGUUUCACGGACUCAAACAGCACGGAAGACAAGUAUCGCUCUCCAAAGCUGGGGAAGACCACCUGGAUUAGAUCAAAUUUAAAAAAGGGGAAAAUAUUAACCAGUGCUUAGUAACAUUGUAAAACUAAAUGCAAAAGUUAUCAUAAAAAUACGAAUCAAUUAGUACUUAACUAGUGCUUAUAAAGACCCAUUAACUAGUUUGGAGUUCGGACCCUUAAAAGAUACAUAGAAUUCCAAAUAAGUAUAUUACAUCAGAAUCCGAGUAACAUAUGCAAGACUCAAGGCGAAAAACACCAUAGAUGACCUAAUAUAAUUUUGUUCAACAAGAAUGCAGGCGUAUAGAAUCUAGAAUCCAUGUGUAUGCCGAUAGUAUUAUCAGUGUAAUUUCACAGAAAUGUCUGAACUCUCAAUAACCCUUUUCAAUGGCGGCAUUUAUCUUCAAACAUAUUACUUCAAUCACAUGUUCAGAAAGAAUGAUGUAGGACUGAAUAAAAAAAACUUACAACAAUGAGUUUCCCGGCAUUUUCUGGCCUCUUGGCUAUCUCAAUCGCGGCGGCGGCGGCAGCACCGGAUGAUAUACCUACCUGUAAUAUAUGUUCCAAACAAUUACAACUAAAGGAAACUGCAGAAAGAAUCCAACAGAAGCUUGAGUGUCAAUUUUCGGUUUAGUUGUGAACAAGCACCAAGGUAUGGAUUUCCAUAUUGAAUUAUAUCAAGAAAACUGAAGAACCUUACCAACAAUCCUUCUUUCAGAGCAAGUUGUUUUGCAGUUUCAAUAGCUACUUCACUUGAUAUCUGCAGCCAUACAGGUAAUCGAUCAUUACAUGGAACAAGAAUAGCAAUACAUGCAUGAAGAAAAAAGCUGCAAUUGAAGAAAGUGUGCUCAUAUGUCGAAUACCACCGAGUUGCCUUCCCUAUAAGCAUCUAUAACAUAUAUUGAUCAUAGGAUAUGAAAUAAUGAAAACCAGCAAUGAAUUAUGAGAUAAAAGCUGUGUGGCUUAAAAAAACAUAGAAAAAUUUGAACAUUACAGUAUUAGGCACAUACUCCUAUUUGACACUUAUGCUCAAUUCUGAGUAAAUAUAGGAUAAUAGCAUAUAGAUCCGAAGUUGAAGAAAACAUUGGUCUUAAUAAAUUAAAUAUCAUCAAGACUUACUUGAACGACUUCAUCGAUUAAAUUGACGUCUAAAACCCCAGGGAUGAAGCCAGCACCAAUUCCUUGGAUCUUAUGUGGACCUUGAACAUUAAAAAAUGCAACCAUCCAUCAAUAGAUAAAACAUUAAUCUUAUUUUAGCAUGAGGAGUACCGGAAAAGAAUUUUCAGAUGAUAAUGGCAAAAAUAUUUAAUAAUCUUCCUAAGAUUUAAGAGACUAAAGCCAUGCUGUUUGCCUGUUGUCAGGGACAAUGUACAAAAGCUUUGUAGGGAAAAUUUUCAAAUUUGAUGUGAAUAAAAUAUUAUGAUUGGAAUUAUAAACCAGAGGUCUGAGUGGUUUGACUUUGACCACCUGUUUGGAUAUAGUUUGUAAAAGAACAACUUACCAGGUUUCCCUCCAGAAAGCACUGCACUCUCAACUGGUUCCACGCCAACGAGCUGAAUCGAAAAAAGCAAGGAGCAAUGGAAACAUAAGAAACACAAAAGCACAAUGACAGACAAACAAAAUUAGUAAUAGUUAGGGAUCAGAAAGUCUAACCUUAAUGCCAGGAUUCUGCUCUUUCAGAUACUUCCCGGCUCCUGUUACAGUACCUCCAGUCCCGAUACCAGAGACAAGGACAUCUACCUUUCCUCCACUGCCUUUCCAUAUCUCCGGUCCGGUUGUCAGAUAAUGGAUCUAAAACAGGAACAAAGAAUCAAAUCACAACACCCUCAACGGCUCGAACUACUAACAUAUGCGUGAAAAGAGUUCUGAAUGAUACCUUUGGGUUGGCAGGGUUUUCAAAUUGCUGAAGAAUGUAAGAAUUAGGAGUCUUUGACAUAAUUUCCUCAGCUUUUUGAACAGCCCCCUUCAUGCCCCGGGCUGGAUCCGUAAGAACUAGCUCAGCUCCAAAAGCUCGGAGGACCAUUCUUCUUUCUAAACUCAUUGAAGAAGGCAUCGUAAUUAUGAGUCUGUAACCCUUAGCAGCUGCCAUGAAUGCCAACCCUAUUCCGGUAUUACCACUAGUUGGCUCGAUCAGCACACUCUUCAUCAUAUAGGAAAAACAGAAACUUUGUCAAGUUAAAACUUCUCUCCUUGAGUUUAUACUUUCAACAUUAAAGCAACAAGAUCGUGACAUGAGCUCAAGGAAAGCUAUACUUUUGCAUAUAAAAAUGAAAGGAGUUUGAAUAUCGAAUUUAAAAGGAACAAAAACUUGAAAGCCAACAAGCUUCUACAUAAAGCUUUCUCUAUGUAAGUUCAAAUGGUUAACUAGAGAUGCUUUACAAGUUGACAACAACACACAAUUUCAGCCUAUGGCAUAGCUAGAAUAGUAUAACUACAAUCCACUUAAAACCCUAAACCUAGCAUAAACUUGAAUUUUAAGAGAGAAAUAUAGCGAGUACCAACCUCGCCUGGUACAAUGAGACCCUUCUCCUCUGCAUCUGCAAUCAUACUAUAUCCAAUCCUGCAUGCAAAGAAGGUUUUCAAAACAAAGAUUAUAGAACUUCAGUCCUACCAUAAGUUAAUGCAGCGUAAUAGAGUUGAUUACAAUAAAAUAUUCUGAUACAACCGGCAAAAGACGUUUAAUAAAUACCUGUCCUUGACACUGGAGCAGGGUUCCAUUGCCUCCAACUUGGCAGCAAUUUUAGCCACACAUCCAUCUACAACAUUGUUGAGAUAUACCAGUGGCGUGUUACCGAUCAACUGUUCAUAUCCAAAACAAACGAUAUUAACAAGGUUGGCAAUACUUUUAUUGAAUUAAAACACAUAAAAAGAUCCUUUAAUAUUGUUAAUGAAGAUGAACAACUGCUUACUUCGGUGACAUCCUUGGCAAUUAAACUCUUUUCCCCCAUUUCUUCUUUAAGUUACUGCACAAACAUUCCAAAGAUUAAAUCAUUUAGCAAAACAAGCCAAACAAAUUGAAUAUGAUUAAGUAGUCAUGAUUGAAACAAAACAAAAAGGAGCGCGAAGACAUUUUGAGCGCUUGAAGAACAAUAACAGUAAUUUAAAAUAACAAUUAGUUUGUCUAAAAAAAAAAAGAUUCAUUACGAAAGAGAAAUUAGUUCCCUAAGAGUUGAGACACUAAAGUGACUAGAAAUGACUCUGAACUUGAUCAAUCCAAAAGCAAAAUCGGAUCCCAUGAAAGUUACAGUAAUGAAGAGGAGGAAAAACCCAGAAUCAAUAAAAUAAAGAAGAACAUAAACAGCCUACGAAAAAAACCCAUAAAUCCAAUCUUAAAAACACAAACAAAACUAUAAUCUGACAGAUAUUUAAAGUACCCAACCUCCAAAAGUUGCAGAAUUCACAAGAAAGAUGGUGUUUUUCAGUACAAUCUGUGAAGCAAAAAUGAUAUAUAAGCCAAAGACCAAAGAGUUCAAAGGCUUAAGUAACCUCGAGAAAGCUGAUAGACAGGAAAGCUACUUUAUAGCUGUUUGUAUAUUAUCAAAAUUUCCUCUCUUUUUUAUUUCCAAUUUUUUUCUUUUGUACUUAAAAGAAAAAGCCAAUUUGGCCAACAAGGCAACUAACGGGGUAAAAUAAAAUAAAGUAAACUACAACAAAAGUCCCUAAAUUAUUAGCAUAUUUACGUUUUGAUCAUUUAGUUUUAAAAAGUUACAAAAUGGUCAUUAAACUAUUUGAAAGUUUUUAUUUAAAUCACUAAACUAUUCGGAAGUUUUCAUUUAAAUUAUAAGUUUUUCUCUUAAGGUCCAGCUAGCGAGCUCCAAGCGACGAUUUGACGAUUGGUACGAUGGAUCCAUCGACGAGUAGAAAAACAUGCCUUAGAUCCAAGUUGAUCUAAUGGUCAAUGUUGGAGAUUGCAGAAAAAAGUUGUUUGGAUUUUGGUUUGCAAUUUCUUGACGUUCAAAGACGUUUCAUGAAAAAAAAAUGAACUAUAAAAGAGAAGGAUAAAAAGAAAUUUAGGUUAGUGCACGCUGUGAGAACAUAAAAGGCCAUAUAACAACGAUUUGAAAAGCUCAAUGACUUAAAUUAAAACUUUUGAAUAGUUCAAUGAUCAUUUUAUCAUUUUUUGAAGUUAAAUGACAAAAACGUAAAUUUAUUAAUAGUUUAAUGACUUGGGUAGAAUUUAUCUACCAUGUAAUUUAAAAAAUAUACAUAAAAAAGACGAAAUCCAUUCAACCUGGUCCCUCUUAAAAAAAUUUUAUUUUCUCAUUUUAAUUUCCGAACAAAAUUAAAAAUGAUAAUAACAAAGACAAAAGGGUAAACUAUCAAAAAGAAAAAAAAUUAAAUUGCUCAAAACUAAAAAAUAUGGGGACCAAUUGUAAAAUUUAAUCUAAAAUUUUUAAUUUUGCCCAAAUUCUUUUUUAUUAUCAUUUUACCCUCCACCUCUCUAGUUUAGUCAAAUUAGUGUUUUUAGACGAAAAAAAUUUGACUCAACUGUUAAAUUUUUAAGGGCACUUACCAUAAUAUCCCUUAUCCAAGUAAACUUAAGCAAUGAGUGUUACAUUUAACACUGAACAUUCACUUGCAAAUUCAAAUACUUUAAAAUUGAAAUUUAACGAAUAAUUUCAAGUCCUUAUUAUGCUUUUAAGAACAUAAUUUGACUAAUAAAAAAAAUCAAUUGCAUGUAAAAUUUGUUUCAGGUCUCACAUAAAAUUUAAAUUUAUUAUAUGUUUUUGAAAUAUCUAUGUGCUUUUUUUAUAUCUUUUUAACGUUUUUAAAUUAGGAUCAAAUUAAGAUCAUUUAUAAAUUUUAAGAGUUAUUUUAAAAAAAAUUAUGAAUAAAUUAAUAUAAUAUGUCAUCCAUGCAAUUAAUGGAAAUGUACCCAAAAAAAACAAUACUGAUUUGGUAGGUGAUUAAUUUAAAAAAUUUCAUAGUUGAUGACAAAAAAAAUAAAUUUAUAAUUAAAUAGAAAUUUAAUAAAAUUCAUAGUUAAAUGACAAAAAUAAAAUAACCCAUAAUUGGGUGAUGUGUGUUGUACUUUACCCUUAGUCAUAUCUCCCUUUGAAAAAGAAAGUUUGUCUUCAGCGUAAACAAGGAAAGGAGAGAGAGAGCUGAUGUCAACUGGCACUUGGUGACAUGGAAAAGUCCAAACGAAUAUAAUCACAGGUUGAGAAAGAAAAAAUGAUUUAUGGGUUUUUUUUCUUUAAAUAAAAUAUAUUUUAUUUUCUGUUUUGUAACUUUGGUUUGGAUUUGUUGAUAUUCGGCCUUUUGUUCUGUCAUGCCCCAUCCGUCCAUAAAUUGAUUUUUGCAAUGACUGGACAUCUCUAUUAAGGCAAUAUGGUAACAUUUUACUGAAUUUAAAUCAGGUUAAAUUGAAUUUUAUAUUUUUAAUAGCAUAUCAUUAGGUAUAUACAAAAGUUUCUAAAAAAUAUACCAAUAAUUUUAAGAAUAUUUGUUAAAAUUUUGGUAUUUAUAAUAAAAAUUUUAAUAUACCAAAAUUGUGUUACAUAAAGAUAUAUUCCUAAUGAAAUAUCAAAAUAUCUAGAAGCUAUUGAGUCAAGUGAACCGCCUUCCAAUUAACAGUUUUAAUACAAACAAUCUGUGUAUACUUUGCAUAUAUUCCUAACAUAUGGUUAUUUUAUUUGAUUAAACAAUUAUUCCAAAAUUAUCUUUAUAGGGGCAAUUCUGUACAAAAUUUAGUAUAAUAAAUUGAAUAAUACUUAAAUUAAAAAAGUAAUAAAUUUAAUUAAUUAGUUUUUUAUUAUUAUUUGUUUUGAUUUAAGUAGGAUGAAUCAAAGUCAUUAAUGUUAUAAAAAAUAUCAAAAGUAAUGUUUAAAAUCCAAUCAUGAAAAUCUCAUUUUACCCCGAAAAUGUUACAUUCCUUGAACCAAAAGUAACCUAAAAGCCUAGUAUUUCAAUGUCUUUUUCUAAUAUUUUAGAAGGAAAAAAAAGAAGCUAAAUGGCAAAAUAAAGGAAGGGAACAUUAAUGGAAAUAACAAAGUAUUACACUCAAUAAAUAUAUCAAAAUCUGCUAAGAUUAAACAUCAGUUGAACACCAAAAUCCAGUUUUUUCUUUUUUAAAAAAACAAACAAAACAGAUUGAAGAACACCUAAACACUUGUGUUGGAAAACAUUGGCUCUAAGUUACAGCAUCAACUUCACCUCUUCUUUUUCAAAUCCUUGUAUCUCACUUCUUCUUUGCUGCUUCACUGGCCUUGGUCUGUUCAACAAAGCAAAAACAUUCAUAUAAUCAGCCUCAACAACCAUCAAUCGUAGAUUGAUAGCAGUUUGAGUAGAGUUAUAUGGUGAAAAUCAUCGAGUGAUAUUUACCUUUUUUACUCCUCGGAUCUUCUUAGCCCGAUUCUUCCUUUCCUUCAUUUGCUUUCUCGAUUUCUCUACCUUGGAAUCGAGUCCGUUCUGAAAAAGUCAUGCAAAAAAUAAUCAGCAUCUAGAAUCAUAUCUAGUCAAUUCAAAGAAACGGUGAAAGAAAUGCAACUCAUGACUAAUGAUGGAAAGACGAGGAAUAUGCAAUGGCAAGCCAGAAGAUUUAGAACCCAUUUUCGAUAUCAAAUAUCAAAUAACUUAAAUUCACGGAAACUUAUAAACUAUGGAUCAAUGCAUUACAUAUUUACAUUCUAUCUCAAGUUUUCUUCAAAACAAGGCAUUUAUAAAGCACAAAAUAGAUGAAAACUCUAGUUCCAUAUCCAACUUGUCAUUUUUUACAAUGAAAGCUGAUUUCAGAUUCUAUAACAUCACCAUUACGAGUUGUUUUCAGUAAACAGAUCGAAUGCAGUGUUUAGAGUAUGAAAAGAGAAUUCCACAAAUAAACUACAUCGAGAAAUAAACAUCAACAUACUAGACAUGAAGCAAAAGCAGUUUAAAAUACAAACAAAUUCCAGAGAAAAAGUACAGAAAAUACAUCAGAAAUUACCCUGAUUAGCCUAUACUUGGGCUCGUACUUCUUUGCGUUCUCAACAGAAUCAUAUAUCAAACCAAAUCCGGUAGAUUUACCACCUCCAAAAUGGGUUCUGAACUUGAACACAAAAAUUGAAUUGGGGUCCUUAACCUCGUACAUUCUAGCAAGCUUCUCCUUUAGUUCAGCCUAAAAACCCAAACCAACAUCUCAAAAACAGGAUAACACAACCAUGAAACCAAUCCAAAUUUUCGAACAUUUAUGAUUGGUGUAGUUCCGAAUCUUCAUUUUAUUUGAAGCUGACAUGUCCGACACAUAUUCGGGUAUAUGAUAAGACUAUAAUAUUAUUAGGAAAUGUCAAAGAUUUACCUUGGAAACAUUGGGCCUCCCAGGAUGCAAAACAUCAAUGAUCUAAACAAAAAAGAAGCAGCAAAUAACAAGCUUUAGCUACCAACAAUGAACUCAAACAGAUACAAGCUAAUAUUUCAUUUCUCAGUUCCCCCACCCCCAAGAAAACAAAUUAAGCAAAGUCCUAAAUUAAGCAUCUUAUUAUCAAAGUAAUAAAAUCAGCAUUAAAUUUUUUCACUUAAGUUCUUAUAUUCCUUUAAUGAGAUCUCUCAAAGAAUGUAAUAGAAAAAAUAAUGGAAGUCAAGUGAAAAACCCCAAGACUAAAAUUUAACAAUGACCCAUGUUUGACUAUCAACAAAGUAGAUGGAAAAUGAGAGUGAGAAAGAAAAAGAAAAGCUUACUCACAAAUUGUUUCCUGGAAAGUAGCCUGUUGGUCAUGAACUUCCUGGUCCUAAUAGUCACUGCCUUGUCCGCCAUGGUUAAGCAAGAAUCUUUCUCUUUUUUUUUUCUUUUUUUUUUCGGAGCAGUUAUACAGUGAAAGCUUUCACCAGCAGCACCAACUCUCAAGGAAAAGGAUUGUAUAUGGCAAAAAAAAAAAAACUAUCUUAUAUGAUUAGGGUUUCAGUUGAUUCUCGAAAAUAGAGAGUUAGGGUUUCAGUGGAGAGGGUUUUAGCCUUGAAUUGGGCUGUAAAUUUGGGGAUUUUGGUUUUCCAGGCCUGCUAUGUAAAGCCCAGUAUUUUUUAAUGCUGGUUAGAGGCAUAAUAAUAAAAUAAUUUAUUUUUUGAAAAUAUAAAAUUACAUAGAUUUGACAAAUAUAUAAAAUUGACUUUACGUGGAUGACCAUCUGUAAAUUUAUCACCAUAACCAUAGAUUUUCAUUAUUAAAAUAAAUAAAUAAUUCAAUUAUUAUUUUAAAAAUCAAUAGUGGAAAAUUCUUUAUAUUCUUAUUUAUUUUUCCCUUUAAUUUUAUAAAAAAAUUAUUUUAACAAUAAUUUAAUUUUUUGUUUUUUAGUCCUUAAACUUAUAUUAUUUAUCAAAUUAUCUCAAAAUAGAUGAAAAAAUUAACAUAUGUUAACUUUAUUGAUGUGGCAUCCAUGUGUAUGCUUUUAAAAAUUAAAAAUAUUAAAUAAAUAUAUUUUUUAAUUUUUAUACUUUUUUGAAUGUUUUAUAUUUUAAAAAAUAAUUAAUUGCUAAUAUGGUAUUACAUGGCAAUUCAUUUUGUAUCAAAAAUUAAAUAAAAGACUAAAAUGAAUUUUUUGUACAGUUGAAAGGUCAAAUAAAUCAUUAUGCCUUAUUAUUAUUAUUAUUAUCCAAACAUGGCAAUAGAGAAACAUUAUUAUGCCAUUAGAGCAGCUAGGAAAAUUCUUAUGAAAUGUCAAACUGAAAUUUUCAUCUUCGAAUAUAUAUCAAUCAACGUACACAAUACCAGAGUUUCUUAUAUUUAUAAUGACAAUAUUUAUUGAUUUAAUUCUUCAGAAAAAAAAAGAGUAACUUUCAACAUUUUCUCAGGAAAAUCCUCUGCAAUUUAUGCCUAGAGUGCUCACUAGGAGGCUCUGGAAGUAGCAUUCAAGAACAGCUCAACAUUGCAGUAGAUUAUAAAAGUAUUGUAGUAACUGCGUUGAGGAUUGUCCAACAAAUUAUUUAUCAAUGAUAGAAGAAUAUGAAUUUUUUACUUACGACCGUUAUGAAUUGAAUUAUAAUCAAAUUGUUUUGAGUCGUUCAUCAAUGUCAGUAAUUGUCGAUUAUAUAAUUCGACCGUACUCUAAAAAUCUGUAUGUAGCUAUGUGAGCCUUCCUGUGUUGGAACAGCUCGGAUAAGUAUUAGAUUAUAUGACUGCACAGAUAAGAAUUAAGAUAAAUGUAAGUGCAGCUAAUCCGAGUAUUGCACCGAAGAACCAGCAAAUCUUCUGGAGAAAACUCAGUGGAGUCGAAGUACUGCCUUGUUUCGUCUGCAACGCAAAAAGAGAUCAACAAAGCGAUUUGGAGCUUAAUUUGUGAACAAAUCUGUUUGAAAUAAGAAACGAAUACCUGCACUUGGCUCGUCAUCGAUACAUCGUUAGCCUGCACGAACAUAGCAACAAACAAGGCCUUUUCAGAAUGCAGAAGCUCAGGGAACAAUGAUUUUAAAUCUCAUGGAAAUACUAUGAACAUACAAUAAGUGGUCGGAAAAGCUCUCGAUCCUCUUCGGACAAGAAUGAUUUUGUUCGAUCUGCAAUCACAAGAUGAUUAACUCAAACAAAGUUGGUGAACGUUUGUUUGAAGGCAUUGAAAAGAGACCUUCCUAAGCAUCAGUUUCCAUGAUACGUGUAUGGUAAUGGCAUGCAAUGUAACGAUAGGAGAGAACUAGUUAAUUCCGGAGAGCAAACCGGUCCAUCCAUUCAUGCAGAUUACGACGUAACGCAGAGAAAUCGAAAUCAUAAUUGGAAAUCAUAUGCAUACUAAGAUGGUGAUGAUAGGAUCUUCUAGAUCACUAUAUUAGCUCAUUUUGUUCUAUUAGAAGUUGCAAAUCCUAUCCUUUACCCACUCCAAGCAUUCGGAAUAUAGAUCCGUUCUACCUUGUAUGUUGUCGGUGAUGAUUUUGUUCAUGUCGUUGUGAUUUCCAUGAAUCGAGUUUCCAGGCCUGCAAAGAAGAAGAAAAUUGCAAAGCUAAAUAAGUUCAAACCCUGCAGUUUCCAUAACAAUCUCUGUAUGCUCUCCCGUUAUCAUCAUAUUGACAUUGCUCCUUCUCGACCGGGAAGGUCAGGGGUUCGGGACAUGGUAACAGCCAGCCUCUCUGCAAAAUGCAGGGGAAAGGCUGCAUAUGACAAACAUCCGACCAUGUGCACCGGGAGACCACCCUAUUUAUCAACUAUAGACUUUCCGAAGUCAAUGGCCCGAAAUGAAAGAACCCCGACAUGAGAACCACAAUACCUGCUCGAAGUUGGUAAUGCAUACAGUCUAAGAGCCAAAGCUUUGAUUCUUAGCUGCAUAUCCGAUAGCAUCUUCCAUCUAUAGUCGAUAUCUUCAUUCGUUCUGCAAAUGUACUGCAGCAACAGGUUACUUAUGUAACAGAAUAAGAACAAAUCUAACACAUAGUUCAUCACUUCAGUUGAGAGUCUGAUACGUAUACAUAAAUACAUACAUUAUAUAUAUACAACAUUCAAGCAAUCCAUUUAUAGAUUUCGAUAAGGGGAGAAACAUUCUUCGAUGCUUAAGUCAAUAUAUUUCGAGUUAGGUUACCAUAAAAACAGAUUAAGAGCAGGAAAUUAAACAAACAAUCUAAGAUGCAACUUAGAGAGAAAUAUCAAACAUACAAAAUGGGUUUUGAAGGAGGGUUUCUAAGAAGUGAUUCAAGUCGAUCAAUUUUGAUCCCAACAUCUAAAAGCUUGGAACGAGCGGCAAUGUCUAUAACGCAAUUUCCAUGGUUUUGAAGUGAUGGGUUCUUGUUGUUUACUCUAUUUUCUAUGUCUUCCACCAACUUCAAUGCUUCUUCAGCUUCCCUUAGCCAUGCAUCCGCCAUUAAAGCUUGGUUGUACAUCUUCAAAAAAGUAAUUGUUGUGAUUCAAAAGGAAAAACAACAGCAAUGUCUGGUCUAAUGACUCAAAAAUAUGAACAACUCAACCAAUGGUAUUGUGUCAGAUCAGAGGAAACUUAUAUGGAAACUUUGUUGAAUUAAUUAUUUUUCCAUUUAAGUUACUUUUUGGGUGUUAAAAUGAUUGGAGUUUCACCUAUUGUGGUUAGCCAGCUAAGAUCAUCUGCAACGGGCAAGGUUUUUUGUCCAUGAAAAUCAUAUGGUCUGCAAUUUUUCUCUUUAUUUUUUUUAUUUUUCACGCGAGGACAAUUAUUACAAGCAGUUCCAUGAAAAGGACAUGAUUUGACAGAUUGUCAAUGUUCGAUCCAAGACAAAGGUUUGUGAAAACUGAAAUGGAAUAAUUUUUUUUAGUAAUUAAAUCCGGACAUCUGUGUAUUUUAGUAAUAUUAGCUUUAACAUGUAAAUAAUUUAUUUAAUUAUUUAUAUUUAUAUUUUUUUUAAUUAUUUGUCAUUUGUAUUAUGCGAUGUAUUAUCCUAUCUAAAUAAAAGUACAGGAAAAAAAAUAUCAAGGAAUUCAAACUGUUUUCUUUUAAUUAUUUGAUACUAUGAUCUAGAUUCCACAAUGGUUGUUUGAUUAUAUCAAAAAAAAAUGAAUGAACCAAAUUUGAUUUGGUAUUGGAACAAAACAAUGGUUUCUUUUCUUCCAAGUAAAGUUUUCUCAACUCUUACUCAAACCCCUAACCUAGCCAAUUCAAGUUUUUCAAACCUCCAAUUCUUUUUCCCCAUCUUCAAGCUCUUCACAGCUUUGUUUUAUGGAAUCUUUACUCCAAACUCGGCUUUUCUUACCGGAUUUCGAGCUCCACACGAUUUUGUUGAUGACUUCUUAAAUGAAACAAAGUUUGCUUGGAAUUUUUAUCAAUGGAGUUUUCAACGGAACUAUUACGAUUUUCCACUUGUCUCAAUUGAUGGAUAAGUAUGGAUAAGUGAUUAAAUAGAAACUUGUUUAGGCUCCUAUAACCUCAAUUUCUCUUCUGCCAUUGUCACAUCGGCUGGCCUCUCCAACUUCAUACCAACAUCCUCUGAAUGCAGUCCUACUCAUGACAUCCUAGAUUAAAAACCGAAUUGCACAACAUGAUACGAUUCUUGAAUCAAAGUUUAAAGAGAACCAAUAUGUACCUCCAUCAACUUGCCAAGAUCGAACUUGGGAGCCUUUCAGGAUCUUGACUUUACGAAUGAAAACAUUUAGUAAGGGAUAAAUACUUUAUGCUACUUCUCAAUCUCUCUACCAAUGACCUCAGGGAUGAACCUUGCGAACAAGUUCUUUCAGAUCAUAUGAAGAGGCCUGGUUAAUCAUAAUUUUUCUCAUUUUCCGACGAAUCUGACAAAAUAACAGUUAGUAUGAAACAUUGAAUAUAAGUCAAAAUAUGUCUUAAGAAAUCGAGUCAGGAACAAAAUUUUUGAACCAGACAAAUCUGGCUGGAUAGAGCAUAAUAGGUUCGCUUAACCUCGUUCGAUAGUCUUAACAUUGACAUAGGAUUCCAUCAAAAUAUGUCUUAAGAAACGCAUUUUAACCGGCACGGCUCAUAUUUUAGCUUCAAAAUACUUGGUUUAAACAUAUUGUCUCUCAAAUUGACAUAUGCAAUGUGCUCUACAAACUAAUUAAUUUAUCAAAACAAAAAGGAUCACAAGGAUUAAAGCUAUAAGCCUGUAACUAUUAAUCCAUGCUAAGAAUCCCCUUAGCAUUGUAGCUUCAAUUCCUAAACAAUAAUUGCUUCAAUCAGAUCGUUUUGAAUACCAUUUAAGAACAUUCGAACUGUGAAAUAAAACAUAGAAAGGAGCAUUAAAAGAAUAAAAAAGAAAAGGGUUUUGCCAAUGUUCCUUUCAUUGAACAAUGAAGGUGCCUAAAAAAAAAAAAAAGAAGAUAGUCGAAAAUAUUCGAAUCCAUAAUAUUUGAUUAAGAAAAGACAAUAUGACCUCUAAAAAAGCUCGAAUCAACACUAUCCAUUACGAUCUUGAUCGAAAACACAGAAAUGACAACAAUGUAACUUAAAAUUUAGCAAAGAUUGAAACAUUUUUAAGAUAUUAAAACAUUCCUGAAAAUUAUCUUUGGACCCCUUAUGGGGCAAUAAUCAAAAAGCUUUGAUUCAAUGUCGUUAGGGUUUAACACUAAAUUUUCAAACUUCUUAAAGCAGAAGUAAGCAAGCCUAGUUUAUCAUCAGCUUUCUGCCUGUAUUCUUUCUCCAAGGCUUUUGCUGCCAAAGACUGCAGCUCUGGACUCUCCUUGUCUUCCUUGUUCCUUCCUUUUGAAACCUGUCCGAUGGCUGAUGUGCACUGAACAAGAGGAUUCAAACUUUGGGUCAGAAAGAUAAAAUACGAGGACAUUGAAAAGAGUGAGUGUGAAACCCUUCUUUUUCCAGUAAGAUUUCAGUUAGUAUAAAGAUGAAGGCCAGUGCAUGAGUUCUCAAAAGAGAAGGAGCUUACCAAGCAAACUCCAAGAAGUGCUCUGGUAUUCUUGCCUCCAGUCAAGUCAAUAGUCGAUGCAUAGUAUUUCUUCGAGGUCUGAAGGUUUUCCAGUCCACCGAGUGUGUAAAGUACCUGUUGAUGAAAAAGCAUAGUGCGUAAUCAAUGAAAACAAGAAUUCAGAGGAGAAUCAGAAGAGUUCGAGCUAGAAAUCUUUUGCUGAACCAAUGCAAGGUGAAAAGCAUUAUCCUGUGAAACUGUAAAGACUCGAAACUCGUGCUUGUGAAUUUCCUUUUGUGGGACAAAACAGUAAGGUUUUCGAGUAAAAACAAACAGUAUCUCCACACAAUGGUAUCAAUGCCAGUUUGGGUGCAGGGCUCCACAGAGGAAGACAGAUCCAACGUCUACCUGGGAGUUUCCUUCUUGGUUGGGAAUCAUUGGUCAUUUGCAUUUUUGCAUAACCACAAUCACUAAGGAAUUGGUUCUUUGUUUUAGGAUCAUCCUAGCAGAAUCAUAAUUACUACCGAACCAUUUCUUUGUUCAUUGAGCUCAUUAAGAGCCGAGAAUAUACUUAAAGAUGAGCGUUUACAAAGGGAAUGCUAUUCUCUAGGAAAAUUGGAAUGUGAGAAACUGCUAAUGAAAUUGCAUACCAGUUUCUAACUAUGAUAGUUUGAGUUUUCAUUUUCCUUGAAGUAUCCUUAUCCAACAUAUACUGGACAUGGGUAAGGAGGUACGUUCCUCUUAAAAAAACUGAGCAUACACAUGCCAGAUACAUACUCAUAUUUCGAUAAUCAACCCCCCCCCCCCAAAAAAAAAUUCCGAGUAAAAGAAGUUUUUAACUACAAUAAAGAAGAAACUUACAUCAGCAUAGGCCAGAUGAUACAAGGGAACUGUUGGUUGAGAUAAAAUAAGCUCCUCAUAGCAGAAAGCGGCUUGUUUGUACCUGAUUUAUCAACCAAAAAAACAAAAAAAAAAAAGAAGCUUAAAUCACUGCUAUUUUAUGAUUGGCAACAUAGUUAAGCUGUAAUAGAUUAAAACUCACAUUUGUAGGGAGACAUAUAUCUCUGCAAGUUCUCUCCAAGCAUCAUGAUCUGCCAUAAAUCUAUCAAAAGAAAAAUGGGGAAAUUGAGUGACAUUUGCUCUGUUGUAUAGUAUCGAAUUAGGAAAAUGUGUGACAGCAGAAAGGGGGAAAGAGAGACAGAGUUUUCUGAGAUAUCUCACAUUUCAAGAUAUUUAUUAAGCGACUCAAUAGCCCCUGAAAUAUUUCCUUGAGCCUUUGCCAUGGCUACUUUCCUCUUAUGUAUUACCUGCCCAAGAUAGGGUUUAUUGUCAUUGGUUUCUUUUUUGUUUUUUAUAAAAGAAAUAACCAAUUAUAUUUCUCUUUUAUCCAUUACAACUGAUUCUUUUUCAAGAAAGGCAGAGAGAAGGAGGGGAAGCGAGGGUCGGAAAGUGGUCACAGAAUUUACUUGAUCAAGUGGAUUGUCCUCUAAAAGACUAGAGUAAACUUUUUCAGCCUCAGCCCACAAUCCCUUUGCUUCAAGCAACAUGCCCUCCAGCCUCCCUGUAGACCAUGACAAAACAAAACCACUAGGUCAUCAAAUGUUCGGGGACAAUGAAUACCUUCGCCAGCAUCCUAUGGAAUCCAAAAUUAUACAAGAACUGUUUAUGUUUAUCCAUCCUUAUUCAAGCCAUAAUAUAGUAACAUAAAAGCCCAAUAAGGUUUGGAGUAGAAUAUUGACUGAGAUGUUUGGAAGAAGCUUAAUUCAAGUGUGUUAAUGAUGAAAAGGUAAGCCAUGAGUUUAUGAUUCACAAAUCACUGAAACUACGGCAUAAAUUAGUGUCAACAUAUAUAUACCCUUUUCGUAACACAAACGGAAAAUGUAGAACAUAUUUAACAGUCAUAUAUACUUACCAACCCUUUUGCUCUCUGGAAAUUUUUUCAGUAGAGCCUUUAUACAAUCCUGCAACAAUAAAUUGUACCAAUUUAAGACAGGUAACUUCACAAAUCUACUACCAAAGCAUCUAUGCUAAACAGCACUGUGAUUCAAGAAACAACGUAAUAUGCAGAUAAGCAUACAAACUGUUUCACUGGAGCCCAAACCAACAACAUUCAAUAAGAGUUACACCAUUUUGCAUAUAAAACAGGCAAAAGUCAUAUCUUCCUAACUAAUGGCUUCAUAAGUGAUGAGAAAACUGUAAGAACAAGCAAGACCUUAAAGAAUUCUUUCCAUCAAAAAAGAAAAUUACUCUUAACAUGUUCGAAAGAGAAAUCAUAUAAACAAUGAGAGUGGUCAAUCCAGAGGCGUGAUCAAUAUUUAAAUAGGAAACAGUAGAAUUAGUUUUACACAUAUAUGCAAGUCCAAAAUGCGAAAAUCAAUUUAACAUAAUAUGAAAACGGAAAAGCUUAAAAGAAAUCUAAAAUUGAAAAACUCAUAGACAAGAUUUGUACCUUUGCAACGUUGAGACAUUGGCAAUCCAUAGCAGCAAUAGCUACCUGCUCAUACAAAGUCCAUUCUGUAUCAAGAUAUAAGUACUUGUUAGUAAUUAUUACUGUUUACCGCUAUAAAUCAACUGAAGUAAAUCGCAAUAUAAAAUGAGAACUCAUAAAUCACAUUCCUAUAGAUAAAAUAACACUGAUUCACUGAUGCUUAUUGCCCUUCGAGGUGUAUAAAACUCAAUACAAAGAGAAGCACUGGAUGAUGUCACGGCACAUGAGAAAAAUGUACAAAACUAAGAUGAGUUCUUGUAUCUAAAUGCAGGUAUAAAAUUAACCAAAAGUCUCAGAGGUAUAAAGCAUUACAAAUUGUGCUUCAUCAAGCUUACCUAACUAUUUUUGUUUACUUCUCAAAACCUCAGCUGGGAAAUGAAUAUAAUGAAAACUCAACCCGACUUUCUUACAAAGCUAAUUCUUAUUUUAAUGCCUACCAAUUCAAAUCAAGCUUAUUUCACUUUCAAUUUUACACACAAAUAUAAAAUAUCUAAUUUAUAUAACUCAAAUUAAAUCAAAAUGUCAAUCUUUUUCUUAAAAAAAUCAUUAAGCUUCAAGUUUUAAAUUCAAGCAAAUCAACAACAGGGGCAACAAUUCAUAAAGCUUUGAAUUCAAGCAAAACCAAUAGAAAGAACUAAAAGACUAAACUCUAAAACCCCAAAAAACCCCAAUCACAAAAACUCAAAAUUCAAGCGAAACACUUUAGAAUCAUUGAAUUCAAGCAAAACCCAAAUCCACAAGUCACCCAAAGAAGCUAAAAGGAAGACUAACCUUCAGGGCCAAGAGCAGAUCUUUUCUUGGGAUCAUUUAAGAUGGAUAAACCAUAUUUCAAGACUUUCUCUGAACGCCUAACUUUGAGCUUUCUCACAAGGCAAAGGUACUCCCAAGCACCUCCUCCUCCAUUAUCUACCUGGUUUUCAAGCCUGUUCAAUUGGGUCUCCUCUGUUUUGCUCACCAUCUCUCAAUGUAAACGUUUUUUUUCCCUUUUUUGGGGGGUAUUUUUUAGAUUUUUCUUUUAUCAAAUUUGCUCUGCCUUUGGUUUUUCUCUAGUCUAUCGCCACUGGCCUGUAGAUUGGAUCUCUAACUAUAGGGUGGGAUUUUAAUUAAGAAAAUAUUUGGUAGAACGCUAUUGGAAUUUUUAAAGAGUUACGGGUGAGUAAAUAUCCCAUAAAAAUAUUUUAAAAAAUAUAUGUCAAAAUUUUAAAAUUAUUUAUAAAAAAAUUAUUAAAAUAGUUACUUUUACUUUCCUUAAUUUACAUUUUAAUAACUUAUAUUAUCGCGGUGUAACAUUUUUAUUAUUGAACUGUUAAUUAUCGUAAAAGUUAUAAUGGUAAGCUACCAUGUCAUGAUAAAUAAUCAUUUCAAACAAAAAAAUUUAGGUUAAUUUAUACAGCUGGCCACUAUGUUUUUUUAUUUUAAGCAAUUUAAAUUUUUUUCUUAUAUGUUUUUUUAACUUUCUUUUUUUUCAUGCUUUUCUCUUUUUCCUCUAAUUUUGUCUCUUCCCUAUUUCUUUUUAACUUAGUUUUUCUUGUUAUUUGUUAAAAAAACUAGUUUAAAAAAAAUAAAGAAGGGAGGAAAAUAGAAGGAAACGUAGAAGAGAAUAAAAAAUUAAAUUAAAUUACUUAAAAUAUAAAAAAUGACAAAUUUUAGAAUUUAAUCUAAAGUUUUAUUUGAAAUGAUAAUUUAACGUGUCACGUUAACUUACUCUCAUACCGUUAUUUGUAAUUAAUGAUUUAGUAAUUUAAACGUAACAUUUUAAAUAUAAAUAAUUAAAAUAUAAGCUAACGCAAAUAAAAGUAAAUACUUACCCUUUAAAUAAUUAACCUUUUUCUUAAGCGCUUGCCUUCUUUGUUUUGUAGUUUUUUUUUUUUUUUGGUAUGAUAGUUAACACAAAUCACUUAUUUAUUUUUGCUCAUUCAAAUCAUUAAUGUAUUGAGUCUUAUUACUAUAAAUAAAUACCAUAGUUACUCACGUAUAUGAUUUCUUUUUUGUCUAAAUCCUUAAAUAAGGUAAAAAAUAAUCUUCUAGGAUUUGCUUCCAACUUUCACAAAUUGUGAAACAAAAGUUAAUCUUUUUAAAAUUAUUAAAAUAAAAUAGUUUAAUUACGCACGAUCUUAAUAUUAUAACAAUUGACGUCAUCUACGACAAAAAGCUAUAUUUUUACGCUUAAACGGUUAAGAUUACUAUAAACAAGAAAACCAAGGCUUUCCCAUUUAUUAACAUUGGAACAAGUCUCUAGUAAAUGGGUUACGAUAACCUGAUAGAGACUUGCCAUCUUUCUUAACUCGCACUCAUCCUCUCCCUUCCAACUCCCUUGUUUUGAUUAUAUUUAGCUUGAGUCAUUCGAAUUUUUAAGUAUUUUAAUGUUUGACUUUAAUAAUUUGUGUGUAUAAUAUUAUUUCUAAAAUAUAUUUAAUACAUAAUUAUUUUUUAAUAAAUAUUAAAAAUUUCAAUUUGAACAGCAUAAAUAAUAUAAGAAAUGAGAUAAAGCAAAGUCAAUAAUUAGAUAUUUAAUUCAAAUCAAAAUCUCACUUUAAAAGUGAAUCCAGUUAUACUUGAAGUUAAUUAGAUAUUUAAUUCAAAUCAAAAUCUCACUUUAAAAGUGGAUUCAGUUAUACUUGAAGUGAACUUCAAAUUUCAAGUCCUCUCCAAUAUCUAUAAAGCUCAAUUCAACUUGAUUAUUCUUAAAUCUUGGGUUAUAAGUACACUCGUUUAAGGAUCGGAUUAAAAAGAUUUUCAAGAAUCAUAUUAUUCGAUUAGUUUAAAGGUUCAUUUGAUAUUUGGUAGAAUUUCUUUUUGUGCCUUCAAUUUAACUUGAUACAGAAUUCACCAAUGUGAAUGUGAAUAUAUUAGUCAAUGAAAAUGAGAGAAAAUAAGAGAUAAAAUAUGUAUAAGAGCAAUAAAAAAAAACAUAAAACUUAUGAAACAAUCAGGAUUAUUUCUAACAAAACAUGAAAAAACAAUUAUAACACUACAAAAUAUGACAACAUUAAUAUAUAUAUAUAUAUAUAUAUAUAUAUAUAAACACAGCAUUAGUACAUAGAUGAUUACUAACUACAAAUCAGUGGGAGAAUUUUGGUUUAUUUGGGUAAUGCAGGCUUCAGCUCUCACUGAACAUUGAUGGAAAUCCAAAGCUUUAGUAACUCAUCAAUACAAACUAUCAGUCUUACAGUGGUUGCAGUUUCCUGGGAAAUCCAUUCACCAAAAACCAUAAAGUUUUUGUUUUUUAAACCUUGGUGUUGUUCUUUGGUGGUGUAUUGAUAUAUUUCCACGUGAAUUGCAUUAAAUUUUCAGGCAAAGUAGCCCCUGCAACUUCAUUGAUUGGGAUUAUUUCUGAAAUUUCUUUCAAAUCUUCUUCUGUCAGCUUUACUUUCAGUGAUUCAAUGUUGCUAUCAAGAUUUUUUUUUUUAUCUUGGUUGUUCCAGUAAGAAGUCAAAAGAAACUUUUAAAAGCUAUGAUCUUUUGGCUCAAGAUUUUUGAGGCCCUUUAUGCUGCUUCUGCUGUGAAUUCUAGUCAAAUAUAUCUGUAGGCUGCUAUAUUAUUUCGACUCUUCAUUUUCUUUAACAGUAUCCGCAUCCAGUACUUCACAUAUUUGGAUAUGGCGUACCUGUGUCCAACUCAUAUCUGGGCAUAAGUAUCCGGAUGUGAUCCUACAAGGAUCCUUGAUCCUUGAUAUACAUGAAACUUUGUCCAAUAGUCAUGCUUCAAUCCGAGUUACAUGAUACAACAAGGGAGUCCAGGUUGAAAAUGAUUGAAUGUGACUUACCAGGAAUAGGGGCAACAUCAUCCCCUUGAUGAAGAACCCAGGCAAGUGCAAAUUUGACGCUGUACAUACAUGCUUUUCAGCCAACUUCUUUACUUUCAAAUAUAAGAUCCUGUUUUUGUCCAAGUUUUCUCCUUGAAACCUUGGGAACAUUGCCUUAAAAAGUAGAUAUUUGUAAUCAGUCAAUGAAUCUAUCUAUUAAGACUUAAAAGGGUUAUUACUGUACAAGAUUAAAUUCAUAUGUACUAUUCAUUUUCCAAGUAUCUCUGUCUGACAUAUGUGUUUAACAUGUAUUUGGAUAUAGAUACAAGUAUGAUCCUUUGUAUAUAUAGAAAAACUUACCAAAAGCUUAGAAUCCUCGUGUCAGAUACACAAUAGUAUCUGACAGUGACUUCUGAGUCCAUGUGACAAGGGUUUAAAAGCCAAAAUAAGGAGAGUUUCAUACCAGAUAACUAUUUCCAGAGAAACCUUGACCAAGGGGACUGUAUGGAACAAUCCCAAUUCCAAGUCCCUUGCAUUGUUGAAUGCAUUUUACGUAGGCAUGAUCUCAUAGGAGUUGGAAAGAGUUAAUUGUUAAAAAGCUUGAGUAUCUUGAGCCUCAAGAAUACUCGAACAACAUUUAACUUGGGAAAUGAAAGACUAUCAAUAAUCGAUUUCAAUCUAUGAUAGCUAGACUUUUCAUUUUCUCUAAAGGAUCCGUAUUCAAUAUGUUUGAUAUAGACAAGAGGGUAGAGUAUGAUCAUUCCGGAAAAAAAAAACCCUAACAUUUUUGAAAAUAUUAACAUUGAACACAUAUAUGUAUUCAACACUAGUUCGAGUCUGGAUAAUGAUUCAAGAUAGAGGAAGAAACCUGCAAAGGGUAGUUCGAGUCUGGAUAAUGAUUCAAGAUAGAAGAAGAAACCUGCAAAGGGGAACUACUUCUUCCUCAAUGAGUCCAGAGGGCCCACUCCAUUUGUACGGCAGUAAUGGGAUGAACAGCGUGUGCCCUCCUUAUAGUUUCAGGGCUAGCUUCAGAUAUACCAAUAUACUUUAUUUUUCCCUCUUCCACGAACUUCUUACAGUUCUUCCAUCUUACAUACAUAAAAUAAAUAUAAAUAUACUUAAUUUUUCCAUAAAAUAAAUAGUAUUUGACAUCUGAGCCUAACAUAUAUUUGGACAUACAGGUAUCCAAUGGUCACCCUUAUGUCCAGGUUCUACCUAAUAUGGGUAUGUCCCCAAGAAGAGAAUGUUUAGAGGUCCAUAUUUAUGCCGAACACAUACAUGUGUUGGACACUCAUCCUUGAGUCCAAAUAACAUGAGUUUUAAAAUGGUUUCCAACUAGGCAUGCACACUCAAGAUGGAUAGUAUGUACCCGAUAAGCAAUGUUUUCGGAACUGGACCGGUGGUAGAACCGGUCAGACUGCCAGUUCCCGGUCCAUCCGAUUCAAAUCAAAUAAAUUAUUUAAAAAAUAAAAAAAAAUUAAAUAUAUAUAAUUGUAAAAUCUGGUUCAACUGCUUCAACCAGUCUGUACUAGUUUGAGGAUCAACCAGCUUUUUUGCCUUGUUGCAGACCAGUGUAUCAGCUGGUUCCCGGUCCAACCAGCCGGUCUGGUCAGGUUCUGAAAACACAGCCGAUAAGGAAAUGUUUGGAUGAUUAACCUUUAUAUCCAUUUUCGAAUAUGCCUCAUACACAAAUAUUUUAAAAAAACUGAAAACCAAUAACAAAGGGUUUCUAAUGCAGCAAUACUUACAGUCUCCUCUGUAGGGGUCUUGGUGUCAACUCUGAUUAUAUAGUAAAGAUCAAUGUAAUCCACGUCAAGGCGUUUAAGGCUACUCUCAAGAGAAGCACAAACGUAUUCAGGAGUGCCACUGACAACAAGACCACCUGGACCAAUGCUUUCAGCGCCAAAUUUUGUAGCCAACUGUACCUUCUCUCACGGUAACUGCUUCAAUGCCUGCAAAAUAUUAAAAUAAAUUAGUUUUGUGUCCAUACAAGUCAGUUGUAUUGAAGAAAGUGAUUCCUUUUUCAAAUGCGUGCUUAAUGAUUAUUAUGCCAACAUCAUCUGAGACCGGAUCGUGAAAGAUCCAGAAUGACCCGUACACCCAAACCCUAACUUUGAAACCUGCAAACAAAAACAAGGGAUUUUACAACAAAAAAUGCAUUUUCUUAGCUAAUAUAAUUAAUAAUAACGAAACCUAAAACCUCAAGUCCUUGAGUUCCAAGUUUCACUCGAGGAAUCUGAACUCUCUGCUGUUCAUCAACCAUCGUUUGUUUCCUUUUUCUUCUCAAUGGAGGCCUUUCUGAUUAUAUAGCAACUCAAAAAAUAUCGUAAAAAAGAAGGAACUAUAAAAUAAUUCUGAAUAUGUCACCCCAUAGGUAAUUGAUUUUGACUACUUUGUUGCAGACAUUCAAAAUUAAGCUAAUGGAAGAACUAUUAAAUAAGAUAUUGAAAAAAGAGGCAAAAAAUUGGUCAAAAGAGCUAAAUAAUCACGACAUGUGUUAUCAGAUAAACAUUCAAAGAAUUAUUAAAUCAUUUCUUUUUUAAUUUACACCCUAUCUCAUAGGACCAAAACCAGUUUCUACAGCACACGUUAAUAUCUUGAGUUUAUAGCACUGUAGGGCCACAGAGCCUAUGAACCAAAGCAGGAUUCACAAGGAACAGAGUGAAGCAUUUGUUGCCUAUGAUGAGUAAGUGGUCACAUUGCCUACGCAAUAGUAGAUAAAAUGAACCUACUACAGCCCCAAAACACAGUACUAAUGGAAAUGGAAAAGCAGGUCUACCAACAAAUCUUAGGCAUGAUGCUAACAGAUUCAUUUUGAAAAUGCCCUGUUAUGUUAUAUGCUAUUGGGUUCAUAUGGCUACUUUUAAGUUCAAUGUUUCAUCGCUUCUAUUUCAGUUAUACAAUGUUUGACGACUAAUGAAAACAGAAAGACAAGCACUACCAAAUAAUCUUAGGCAUGAUGCUAAUGGACUCACUCUGAAAAUGUUAUGUUAUAUGCUAUUUGGUUCAUAUGGCUGCCUUCUGAGUUCAACGUUUCAUUACUUCUGUUUCAGUUCUAGAAUCUCAAUGACUAAUGGAAAAGCUGGCCAAACAAAGAAAUCUCAAGCAUGAUGCUAACAGAUUCACUUUAAAAUGUAUUGUUAUAUGCUAUACGGUUCAUGUAGCUGCUUUCAAGUUCACUCUUUCAUUUCUUCUAUUUCAGUUCUACAAUGCUCAAUGGCUAAUGGAAAGGCAGGCACUACCAAUAAAUCUCAGGCUUGAUGCUAACAGAUUCACUUUGAAAAUGUCUUGUUAUAAUGCUAAUGGCUUCAUAUGGAUGCUUUCAAGUUCAAUGCUUCAUUGCUUCUAUUUCAGCUCUACAAUGUUCGAUGACUAAUGGAAACCAAAAAGGCAGGCACUACAAAAUAAUCUUAGGCACGAUGUUAAGGAUUUAAUCUGAACAUGUCGUUUAUAAGCUAAUUGGUUCACAUGGCUGGUUUCAAGUUCAAUGUUUCUUUCCUUCUAUUCCAGCUCUACAAUGUUCAAUGACUAAUGGAAAGGCAGACAAUACCAAGAAAGCUAAGGCAUGAUGCUCAAGCGAAAAUGUCUUGCUAUAUGCUGAUGAGUUAAGAUGGCUGCUUUCAAGUUCAAUGCUUCAUUCCUUACACUUCGAUGCUCGAUGACAAAGGAAACAGGAAACACAAGUAUAACCAGCAAAUCUUUCAUGAUUAGGUGUGCUCGGGUGCAGCCAGAAGGAGCAAAACCCCUUAACAGCUGCACCAGGCAAGGCUAUUUCAAAGAUGCGAAAAUUCCAAAAAACAAAGCAGGCCAUUACAAAAACCAUGCAAGCAUUGGACGGUUCAGGACAUUUCCAAAUCCCAAUUAUUCCACAAUUUACAAUUAGUCUAAUACAAGAUCAAAAUCAAUAUUUUAGCAACAAAUUAUCCCACAAAUGAUCUAAAGAACAACUUAAAUAAACCCAUAAAUCAAUCCAACCAAACUUCAAAAAUAACCAAAAGAACAGGGAAACUAGAUAGACCAUUGCAAGUAUAGAAGCACAACAUAAUCAUUGACCAAUUCGUCAAUUUUAUUUCCAAAAUCCUCAAUUAUUCCACAAUGUUCAGUUACUCUACAGUACACAGCAGCAAAAUCCGAAACAUUUGCAUUAAUCCCCGCCCCCAAAACCCAGAAUCAAAAUCCCCUCAAAUAUGAAAUAACAACAAUGCAACUUCCACCUCACCUUUGCCUUCUUCAAUCACUUAGUCAUAACUUCCACACCUGUCUUCCCAGCAAUAAUAACAGAGGUAGCCAUCCCUAAAAACAACCCAUGUUCCACUACACCUUCCAUGGCAGAAAUCUCUUUCCCAGCUGCAAACCCAUCUUUUAUUGGAUUCUUGAAAUACAAAUCCACCAUGUAGUUCAUAUUAUCAGUCACGUAAGGCUUUUCACUACCAUCCCCUGCUAAUCUCAACUUUGCUUCACAACCCAACUCUUUGAACAAUCCUUCAAGUCUAACCAAGUUAUAUUUCCAACAAAACUGCACAACUUCAACAGGCAUGGCUAAACCACUCCCUCCAAGCCCUGAAACAAGCUUGCUAUCAUCAGCCACUACAAUGAAAGAAGAUGAAGCUGCUUCAACCAUUUUCUCUCGCAAAAGUGCACCCCCACGGCCUUUAACUAAGUCGAGGUUAGGGUCAACUUCAUCAGCACCAUCAAUGGCGAGAUCAAUAUGGGGAUGCAAGUCAAGGGUGGAUAAAGGGAUAUUAAGUGAUGCAGCUUGCUCUUGGGUUCUUUUUGAGGUUGGGAUUCCGACGAUGUUAGAAAGUUGACCGGUGGAAAGGAGUUGACCCAGUUUGUCAACCACAAAGGCAGCUGUUGAGCCUGUUCCUAGGCCUAGGACCAUACCUGACUUGACUGACUCAACCGCUUUGUCAGCUGCAAGCUUUUUGAGCUCAUCUUGGGAAAGGACUGGGGCAGAUUGGGACCUGAUGGAGAAUGAUUUCUGGGUUCGAGCCCGGUGGUUAAGAGGAGUGGCGCGUGGGGUAAAACGGGUGGCGGAGGAGAGGUGGAGGAAGGAUAAGGAGGCCAUUGGCUUUUGUUUCGGGGGCUUGUUUUGGCCUUUUCUUCAUUCUGAUUUUAUCUAUGCUGUUCGUGCUGUUUGUGUUAGGUGAACUUUGGGCUAAAGGUAGAAGGUUAGGAAAAGGACUAUUAAAAAAAGAAAAAAGAAAAAAAGAUAGAUAUCAAAAUUAUACCUCAAAUUUGAUUUUAUGUACAAUUUAAUAUAUAAAAUUUUAUUUUGUGCAAUUAUACCCAUAAAACUUUAAAUUUGGUUCAAAUAUUUACAUAAAAUUUUGAUUUUGAUUUAUUUGUGGACAUUUAAAGAAGUAAAUACUUUUAUGUUGCUUAACUGUAAUUAUUUGUGUAUGCAACAUGUAAACUUAAAAGGGUAUUAUAUCAAUAAUGGUACUAUUAGUUUAUAAAAAUUGAAUUUAAUCAAAAUGUCAAAUAUAAAUUUAAUAAAAUUUAAAUUUAUGUAUGACAUUGUAAAUUAAACUAAAAUUGAUUUAUAAUUUUAAGAUUUAUCUUUUUUAAAUAAAAAGAUUUUAAAGGUGUCAUUGUAAAUUAUUGGGAUUUGAUUUUUUUAAAGAAAUAACAAAUUUAUUAAGUAAUUGUAAAGUUGGAGCAAUUUAAGCUUUCAUGUAGGUCGAAUUUAAAUAUUUUAAAACUUGGUUUCGAGUAAUUAAAAAUUUUACUUCUCUUUGUUAUUUUUAAUAAAUAUCGAAAAUUUAAUUCGAAUUUAACCUCAAUCUUAAGUAUAAAUCAUUCAAAUUAAAGCUAAAAACAGAAGUCAAAUUUAUUUUUUAUUACCUGAUUAAAUAUUUGUGCCUUCAGUUUAACUUAAUACAGAAUUCACCCAUAUAAAUGGGAUUAUAUUAUUAUGAGAGAACAGUAUAACAAUAGAAAGGUAUACUUAUCAAACAACAGGUAAAACCUUAUUCGUCCAAGUAAAGCUAAGUAGAAACUUGGACUUGAUUAUUUCGAACACGAUACAAAACAUGACACAAUAACAUUAGAAUAAAGACAUAAACCACAGUAAUACAUGAAUUGGGAGAUUACUAGCUACAAACCACAGGCAAGAGUUUGUUUUAUUUGGGAAAUACAGGCUUCACCUCUCACUGAACCCUCCAUUAAUGGCAAUCCAAAGCUUUUGUACUGCAUCGAUACGAGCUUCCACUCUUUCAGUGGUUGCAGUUUCCUCUGUUCACCAGCACGCAUAAAACUCUGUUUUUAAACCUAGGUGCUCUUCUUUGGUGGUGUAUUGCCGUAUUUCCAAGUGAAUUGCUUUAAAGAAUCAGGAUAAUUACUCCCUGCAACCUCAUGGAUUGGGAUCGCAUCUAUAAUUUCUUUCAAAUCUUCUUUUGUCAACUUUACUUUCACUGAUUCAAUGUUGCUAUCUAGAUUUUCUAUCUUGGUUGUUCCUGUAAGAAGUGAAAACAAAGUGUCAAAAACUUUGGUCUUAAAUCUUAAUGGAAACUAUAUAAAAAUUGGCAUUUUGGUACAGGAAUUUUCAGGCCAUUCUUAUGAUACUCGAACUUGUAUCGGAGUGUCCAACACAGAUAUGUUCAUUUUCCUAUAGUUUUUACAUAUAUUUGGAGAAUUUUUAGAAGGUCGUAUGCCCCAUAUCAUGUCCGAAAAUAUGCUGGACAUAGGUAUUGGACACAGGCACUUAUAGAAAAAAUGGAGAGUACAAACAACAUAGACUUAUGCUAUUUCUGCAGGUUACUAUAUUACUCCGACUCUUUUCUUUUCUUUUUCAAGUAUCUGAGUCCAAUAUUCCGCAUAUUUUGACAUGAGUGUUUAAUUUAACCCUCCAAAUAUAUCAAAAAAACUUUAAAAAGACACUCAUAGUGGAUCACCUCAGAAUCCAAGUUGAAAGUGAUUGAAUGUGACCUACCAGGAAUAGGGGCAACAUCAUCCCCUUGAUGAAGAACCCAGGCAAGUGCAAGUUGUGCAGCUGUACAUCCAUGCUUUUCAGCCAACUUCUCUACUUUCGAAUAUAGGAUCCUAUUUUUCUCCAAGUUUUCUCCACUAAACCUUGGGAACAUUCUCUUCAAAAGUAAAUGUUUGUAAUCAGUCAAUCUGUUUUUCACAACUUAGAAGCAUGUUACUGUAAAUAUUAAGGUCCUAUGUUAUCUGAACUCUUCAUUUUCUUUAAAUAUUCAUAUCCAACAUGUUUCUGACAUCUAUUCGGAUAUAAAUGCAAGGGUAACAUCCUUCUAAUAAAUGAAAACGAAACCUAGAUAAAAAUUAAAUAUACUCAUGUCGAACACAUAUCCAUUAUCCAACACUUACUCUUGAGUCCGUAUAACAUAGGUUAAGUACAGAUUAAAGCCAAAUAAUGUGAGUCUCCAUACCAGAGGCGUAUUAGAGGUAUCUUUAUUCGCUCUACCGGCAAAGAAACCACGACCAAGUGGACUAUAUGGAACAAUCCCGAUUCCAAGUUCCCUGCAUUGUUGAACACAUUGAAGUAGGUAUAAUCUCACAGCAGUUGAAAGAGUUAAAACUGUUGAUGGCAUGAGUUUAUUGAGUCUCAAGAGUACUCAAAAAAACAUUUUAACUUCCCAAAUGAAGAAGACUAUCAAUAAUCAAAUUUCAAUCUAUAUGAACAAAAGGGUAUUUUUAUAACCCCCCAAAUAUAUAAAAUUUUGAAUAUAUCUAUACUUGAUACUCAUUCAAAUCCAAAUAACAUUUAAGUGACUUAAGAAAAAAAGUUAUGAUGAUUCAAGAUAGAAGAAUAAACCUGCAAAGGGGAAUUAUUUCUUCCUCAACAUCACGAGUCCAGAGCGACCACUCAAGUUGUACUGCAGUAAGAGGAUGAACAGCGUGUGCCCUCCUUAUAGUUUCGGGGCUAGCUUCAGAUAUACCAAUGUACUUUAUUUUUCCCUCUUCCACCAACUUCUUCAGUUCUUCCAUCUAUCAUACAUGAAAUAAAUAUAAAUUAUGCUUAAUUUUCCCAUAAACAAAAUACAGGGUUUUUAAUGCAGCAAUGCUUACGGUAUCUUCUAUAGGAGUCUUGUGGUCAACUCUGAUUAUAUAGUAAAGAUCAAUAUAAUCCACAUCAAGGCGUUGAAGGCUAGCCUCAAGUGAAGAACGAACAAAUUCAGGAGUGCCAUUGAUAACCGGACCACCUGGACCCAUGCUUUCAACACCGAAUUUUGUAGCCAACUGUACCUUCUCUCGUGGCAAAUGCUUCAAUGCCUGCAAAAAAGGUUUCCCAGAUUCCUUCAAAUCAUAUCGAUUUCAUAAACUAAAAAAAGCCAUCUCUCGCGCAUAUCUUCGAACAUGUAAUUGACACAAAAGUGUGGGACAUUGUGAGAGUGAAAGGAUCCCUCACAGUUCAAUGUAAUUCAACUUGAAGAGUUGAUCAAACAAAGGAUGUUACCUUUCCAACCAGAAUUUCGUUAGUUUUGGGUCCAUACAUGUCGGCUGUAUCGAAAUGAGUGAUUCCUCUUUCGAAUGCGUGCUUAAUGAUGGCUAUGCCAGCUUCAUCUGACACUGAAUUAUUGUGACCUGAAAGACCCAUACACCCAAAUCCCAGCUUUGAAACCUGUAAGCAAAAAACAAUGGAUUUUAGUUUUACCCCCGAAGAAAAAGCAUUUUCUUAACUAAUAAUAUAACUAGAAAGAAACACAAUCUCAAACCUCAAAUCCUUGAGUUCCAAGUUUCACUCUAGGAAUCUGAAUUGCCAUUUUUUGUUCCCUUUUUUUUUUUCUUCUUCUUCUUCUUCUUGGUGUUCUACAAACAAAGGCUUCUCUGAUUACCGAACAGCUCAAAACAUACCGUUAAAUAGAAGAUCUUGAGGCCUUUACCCAGAACCUUGUUCUUAGCUUUGUCAACAUUUGCUUACAUCAUUAUGGUGUCAGCCCGUAUGUAAUCGUUUUAGUCUACUAGAGAAAAAAACUAAUAAAUAAUCAUCAUCACAAAGAGGCAAAGCAUUUUUUCUUUAUCCAAAAAAAAAGGCAAAGAAUUGGUCAAAAGAUAUAUACAAUAAGUAAAUCAUGUCAUGUGUGUUAAUCAAUAAUCAGAUAAACAUCCUGAGAAAGGGGCCGUAAUACCUCCUUUCAUUCAUUUUUUUUCAAAGGUUCUUGUCUUUUUCUAGAAAGUCAAUGUUUUUACUGAAACAUUCAUAUUGCUGGUAAAAUUCUGCUAUUAGUAUAUCUAUUUUGCAAAUGUUGUUUAAUUUAAUCAAUUUUAAUUUUUAUAUUUUCCAGAUUGAUCAAUUUUAGUUUUUAUAUUUUUUGAGUUUUGAAAUUUUAGUCAUGACUCAGUUAAAUUUAUUUGGUUAAAUUUAAUUAUUAGACGUAGAAAUAUCAAGUUGACAUGACAUCACAUAUAUGACAAUAUGUUUAUAGUAUCAAAUUUUAGAAAUAGUAAAAUCUAACUUAAUGAAUUUAACGGUUAUAGUUUGGUGAGGACAAAAACAUUAAAAUUUAAAAGGUACAAGGUCUAAAAAUACCAAAUUAAAAUAGAAUUAAACCCAUAACUUUGUAAAAUAUAGGGACUAAUAGCUGAAUUUAACCUAUAUUGCUAUAACUUCAUUUUAUUUUAUAAAGCAACCAUUUUUCCUUUUUUGUCAACUUUUUUCACAUGUUUAUAUCGGUAUAUUAAAAAAAAAAGUUCAAAUAUCUAGAGAAUUUUAGAAUAUCAAUUUUUUGAAUAUAUAUAAAAUACAAAUGUUUCAAAAAUUAAUAAAUACUCAAAGCUGUGAAUAAAGAACAUAAGACGAAAUAAGUUGUUCGGAUUUUUUAAAUUAAAUGUAAAAUUAUUGCUUAAAUUAUAUUUUUAUUUUUAUUUUUUACUUUUAACUAUUUAAAAUGUUUUUUUGUCAAAGUUGAUAUUUAAAUUAUUAAUAUUGUCUUAUUUAUUUUUAAAUAUGAUAUUAGUCAAUAAAAACAAAACAUGUGAUACAUUUUUAUUAUAUGUCUCAUACUUUUUGCGAUAAAAUGAAACUAAAUUCAUAAUUUUUAUAUAUUUUUUUUAUAAAAAUCAAUAAAUAUUUAAGUGAGAAAUGGAUAUAAUUUAAAGUCAAAUUUUAUAGUUAAUUUUUCUUGCUUUUUUUUGAAGUAUUAAUUUAAUCUAAGGAUUUUUAAGUCUUCGUUAACUAUAUUUUUGUGCUAGGUAAGUUGGGAGAAACUACUAAGAACAAAUUUAUUGGGUUGAUUAGGGCAUUAAGUAUAUUUUUAUCUUAGUCGCAAAUUAAUUUAUAACGACACUAUUAAAAUUGAUCAUAAUCCAUUUAGUCUAAAUUUAAAUUUUGUUGGCUAGACAAGUAAAUCAUAUAAGCACAUAACUGAAUAAAUAAUUAAAAAAAUUGAAACAAUCAACGAGAAAAUAUGAUCCAUCAUUGUUUCAAGACAAUAAAGUUUAUUUCGUGUUGAAUUGAGCAAAUCACACAAAAAAAAAAUUAAAACAAAUUUGUAUAAAUACAACGUAAUAAAAAAUAAUAUAGAGAGAAAAAUAGUUAUAGAAUUUAUGCCAGAGUACUCCGAAUCUCUUUUUCUUUUAUCUUUGCAAUCUUGAAGUUUCUCUUGGUGUAGAGAGAGUUAUUUCUUAGCCUCUAAGUGAUUUCUUUUUAUUUUCCUUCUUUUUUUCCCUUAAAUCUCAUCACCACCGACCGCUUGCUAUCAAAUUAGUUGACAAACUUUUAAACAAAAUUAGUUGAGUCAGGACUUGAACAAUUUUGUAGACAUGUGUUGACUCAUAUUUAAAUAUCUAUACUGUAGAGUCUUUGAAGAUUAAAUCAUUCUAAGUAAACCCUCCAAUUAAAUGCAUCUUCUGGGUUUGUAUGUAAGGUUGAAGGUGGCUUCGAUGAAGGGAUCACGUCAGUUCUACGAUUCCGGUCCCGAGGCGUCAAUCCAAGCCUCCAAUCCAAAUUUAUCAAAACAAAAACCGAAUAAAAUGAGUUCUUAAAGAAAAUAAAGGGUUUAAAGUUUUUUUGGUCGAAAGAAAAGAUUUCCUUCCAAUUUUUUUCGGCCACUGUCAAGGUUACUCGGCCGUCAGAACUCGAAAAUUUUGGGAUCUCCGGCAGUGGAGCCGGCCGAUAGCAAUCAACAGGGGCAGCCGCAUCUUUAGAGAAAAAAUAAGGUGUUUUGGUUUUCGGCAGAAAUAAUGAUUAGUAUAUAUAUUGAGCCUUUUGGUUGGUAUAUUUGUUAAUAAGUCCUUCCGUUCUGUUUUUUAUUUUUAGGAUUUCCGCAUUUUAAAACGACAAUUUUGGUCCUUGUGAUUUUUGCUUCGUUUUUCAAUAUUGCAAUUUUCGGCUGGAAAAAUUACCGGAUUAGUCCACUGACUUUAUAUAUAUUAAAAAAUAUUUUAUGAAUUAUGAUUAUUUUUGGUAUAUGUUAUGUUUCUUCGUUUUACUUGAAUUUUGAGAUUUCUUUUAGGUUAUGUUAGAUUAUAUUUAGAAUUCUUUGACCUAGAUCUUGAGAUUCAAAUAAUAUACCUUUUAAAAAAAAUAAAUCUUAGGAUUUAAAUAGGUUAAAGUUUUAUUUUUCUAAUUUAGAUGUUCAAAGAGGUUAGAAGUUUGUUUUUCUAAUUUAAAUCUUAGGAUUAAUUUAGAUCUUAGGAUUUAAAUAGGUUAGAAUCUAAUUUAGAUAUUAGCAGGGGUGAAGUCAAAAAAAAUUUUUAGGAGGUCAAAAUUAAAUUGUAAUUUUUACGAUAGUAAAAAUGUAAUUUCACCAUUUUAAUAGUCUAUAUAUUUAUAAUUGUUAAAUGAUUAAAUCAAAUUUUUAUUAUUUUAGGAAGUCAAAGUGUAAUUUUACCUUUUCUAAUUUAAAAUACUAAAAAUUAUAAAUGACCUAAAUAGAAAAUUUUUCAUUUUUCGAGCCUGGGGCUCUCCCAGCCCCUAGAUGUUAGGAUUCAAUUUAUAUUUCUAAUUUAAAUCUUAACAUUCAAAUAGGUUAGAUUUCUCUUUCUUUACUUAGAUCCUAUGCUAUAGAGGUUAGAAUUUUAAUUUUCUGUCAAUUCUUAUAGGUUAGAAUUUAAACUUCCAUCAAUUAGAUUUUAAAGUUUUAUUAUAUUAGAAUUAAAAUUGAUUAGCUCGGAUAUUCUGAUUUUUUUAAUAAUAUUAAAUUUUGAGCAGUUUAAAUUUCGAUUUAGGAUUAUAGGAGUCAAUUUUGAAAUUUUUGAACUAGAAAUCUUUAGCACCAAAUUUUAUAGGAUUAUCUUUAGAUAGGCGUUGUAAGAAUGCUAUAAUCUUUCUUACAUUUAAUUAUACUCUCGAACUUCAAUUUUGGUGCGAGUCUGAAUCUAAUUUUUUAAGAUUUUUCCUCAAGAAUAGUUCUAAAGUCGUAGGCAAUAGGCAAUUAACUGACCUAAUUUAAAUUGGUUAAUGACGAUCCUAUUGCACGUUGGGCCAAAAUUCAUGUAUAAUUUAUAAAUACACUACUUAUCCUUAAAUUUUAUUUAAAAUGAUUUUUUGUUUGAUUUAUAUUAUGUUAUCUAUUUAAAUUUUUGCAGAUUUGAAUAUUUGACGAGUAAUAAUACUUAAUUCAAAUAUGAAUAGUUAUACUCAGAUAAUUUAUAAAUUUAAAUUUUUAAGUAAAUUUACGGAUUUAAAUAAUAGACAGAAGUUUAAGCCAAUAAAGGUUAGUGAGAGUAUACCACAUGUAAGUCCUUAAACUACACAAGAGGUGCUCAACCAUAUAUUAUAUAUUUGCAUCAUUUCGACAACUUCCCAAACCAACUAAACUCUCUAAUAAACUUAUCUUAAAAAACUCAAACCCCAAAUUUGAAUUCGUCAUUGUUCUCUUUUUGAAAUUUAGGGUCUCAACUUUCUAAUUGUUUUUAUAUUGUUUUUAUAUUGCGAUUUGAACUAUUUUCCUAAUCAAAUUAAUCUUUAAAUUAGUAAUUACACUUACAUUUAAGUCUGAAUUUUUUUUCUAAGUUAAUAUUUGAAUUUAAUUGUUCUUAAAUUAAGAUAUGAUUUUUUUAAAACAAAUAUGAAGGACUAACUUUGAUAGAAAAAAUUUAAAUUUCAAGAAUAAUUUUCAAAUUCAAGGAUUUACUUAGAAAAAGAAUUUAUUUGCUUGUAUUAUAAAACUUUCACUUUAUGAGAGAAGAUAAGGUUACAAAACCAAAUUAAAUAUUAACAAUUGAGCUUUGAAAGAAAUAAUCUGUGAGUAAAAUAGUUUUUAAUUGAUUGAGGAUAGAGUGAUGUAAUUCAGUUGAGUCUUUUCAAAGUUAAAAUUGGAAGUAAAUGAUUGAGUAGAAUUUAUAAAUGUACUUUUUUUGAAGUUCUUGAGAAAAGUUAAAUGAUAUUUUCAUUAAAAAUUAAAAGUAAAUAUUUUAACUAAUGCAUGACAAUGACUUUAUUGUGCUAUAAGUAAGUUGUUUAAGUACUAUGUUAGUCAAUUCAAAUGAGAGAACAGAGAGAUCAAGAACUAUAUUAGAACAAUAAAAACAUACAUUGAUUAAACAAUAGCUACAACUCUAUUCGUCCAAGUAAACACUUACACUUAAUUAUUUCAAACAACUAAAAAGAACACGAUACAAAAUAUGACACAACAACAUCAUAAAUACUGAACCCUCCAUUAAUGACAAUCCAAACUUUAGUAACUCAUCAAUCUUUCAAUGGCUGCAGUUUCUUGGGAAAUCCAUUCAUCCCAACACCCAUGAAGCUUUGCUUCUAAACCUAGGUCCUCUUGUUUGGUGGUGUAUUGCCAUAUUUCCAAGUGAAUUGCUUUAAACCUUCAGGAUAAGUACCCCCUGCAACCUCAUGGAUUGGGAUCGCAUCUGUAAUUUCUUUCAAAUCUUCUUUUGUCAGCUUUACUUUCACUGAUUCAAUGUUGCUGUCUAGAUUUUUAAUCUUGGUUGUUCCUGUAAGAAGUGAAAACAAUGUGUCAAAAGCUUUGGUUAUAUAUAUAAAUUGGCCUUUGGUACAGGAUUUUUCAGGCCAUUCUUAGUUACUGGAACUUGUAUCAGAGUGUCCAACACAGAUAUGUUCAUUUUCCUAAGGUUUUACAUAUAUCUGGAGGAAUAUGCUAGAAAAUUCUAUGCUAUUUCUGCAGGUUACUAACUUACUCCGACUGUUUUUUCUUCAAGUAUCCGUGUCUAAUACCCAACAUAUUUUGACAUGAGUAUUGAAUACAAUUCUCCAAAUAUAUGAAAAUUUUCAAAAAAAUAUAAGAGUUCACUUAUAUUGGAUCACCUCGGAAUUCAAGUUGAAAGUGAUUGAAUGGGACUUACCGGGAAUAGGAGAAACAUCAUCCCCUUGAUGAAGAACCCAGGCAAGUGCAAGUUGUGCCGGUGUACAUCCAUGCUUUCCAGCCAACUUCUCUACUUUCGAAUAUAGGAUCCUAUUUUGCUCCAAGUUUUCUCCUUGAAACCUUGGGAACACUCCCUUAAAAAAUAAAUGUUUGUAAUGAGUCAACCGAUCUGUUUUUUUUACAACUUAGAAGCAUGUUACUAUGUUAUCCGAAUUCUUUAUUUUCUUUAAUUACUCAUAUCCAACAUGUCUCUGACACAUAAUUGGAUAUAAGUAUGAGAGUAACAUCCUUCAAAUAAAUGAAAAUGAAACUUAAAAAAUGUUUUUUUUACAACUUAGAAGCAUGUUACUAUGUUAUCCGAAUUCUUUAUUUUCUUUAAUUACUCAUAUCCAACAUGUCUCUGACACAUAAUUGGAUAUAAGUAUGAGAGUAACAUCCUUCAAAUAAAUGAAAAUGAAACUUAAAAAAAACUGAAUAUAUUCAUGUCGCACACAUAUCUGUAUCCAACACUUACUCCUGAACCCAUAUAACAUAGAUUAAGUAUAGGUUAAAGCUAUAUAAAGUGAGUUUCCAUACCAGAGAACUAUUAGAGGUAUCCUCCUUCGCUUUACCGGCAAAGAAACCAUGACCAAGGGGACUAUAUGCAACAAUCCCAAUUCCGAGUUCCCUGCAUUGUUGAACACAUUUAGGCAGACAUAACCUCAGAGCAGUUGAAGGACUUAAAACAGUUGAUAACUUGAGAAAAGACAAUCAAUAAGUGAAUUUCAAUCUAUUUGAGCAAAAGGGUAUAUUUAUAUCCCUCCAAAUAUAUAAAAAAUUGAAUAUACCUAUAUUCGAAAAAAAAAAUUACGAUGAUUGAAGAUAGAAGAAUAAACCUGCAAAGGGGAAUUAGUUCUUCCUCAACAUCACGAGUCCAGAGCGACCACUCAAGUUGUACAGCAGUAAGAGGAUGAACAGCGUGUGCCCUCCUUAUAGUUUCGGGGCUAGCUUCAGAUAUGCCAAUGUACUUUAUUUUUCCCUCUUCCACCAACUUCUUCAGUUCUUCCAUCUAUCAUACAUGAAAUAAAUAUAAAUUAUGCUUAAUUUUCCCAUAAACAAAACAAAAUUGUAUUUGUGUUAAAGAAAGACAAAAUAGGGUUUUUAAUGCAGCAAUGCUUACGGUAUCUUCUAUAGGAGUCUUGCGGUCAACUCUGAUUAUAUAGUAAAGAUCAAUAUAAUCCACAUCAAGGCGUUGAAGGCUAGCCUCAAGUGAAGAACGAACAAAUUCAGGAGUGCCAUUGAUAACCGGACCAUCUGGACCCAUGCUUUCAACACCGAAUUUUGUAGCCAACUGUACCUUCUCUCGUGGCAGAUGCUUCAAUGCCUGCAAAAAAAGAAAUGAUGUUGAUUUCCCAGAUUCCUUUAACGAGCCAAGAACCAGAAUGAAAACAUUAAAUCAUAUCGAUUUGAUAAACUAAAAAAUUCCAUCUCUCACGCAUAUCUUCGAAUAUGUAAUAGACACAAGAGUGUGGGAAAUUGAGAACAUGAAAGAAUCGCUCUCAGUUUCAAUGUGAUUAAGCUUGAAGAGAUGACGAAAGGAUGUUACCUUUCCGACCAGAAUUUCGUUAGUUUUGGGUCCAUAGAAGUCGGCUGUAUCGAUGUGAGUGACUCCUCUUUCGACUGCAUGCUUAAUGAUGGCUAUGCCAUCUUCAGCUGACACUGAAUGAUCGUGACCUGUAAGACUCAUACACCCAAAUCCCAGCUUUGAAACCUGCAGCAACCAAAAAAUAAUAGAUUUUACCCCCCAAAAGAAAACGCCAUUUUCUUAACUAAUAUAAACUAGUAGGAAACAAAAUCUCAAACCUCAAAUCCUUGAGUUCCAAGUUUCACUCUAGGAAUCUCAAUUGCCAUCUUUUGUUUCCUUUUUCUUCUUCUUCUUCUUUGUGUGCUAUAAACAAAGGCUUCUCUGAUUACUGAACCUCUCAAAACUUACAUUAAAUAGAAAAUUUUGAGGUCUUUAUCCAGUAUCUUAUCUUGUUCUCAGCUUUGUUAACAUUCUUACGUCAUUAAGUAUGUCAUCCCAUAUGCCUCAAUUGAAUGAGUGGAUAAAGCUCUUUUUCAGACACGUUUGACACUGUUUAAAUUGGUUAAAUAUAUCAUUUGGUACCUAAGUUUGAUCUUUUUUCUAAUUUGAUAUUUGUGUUAUUUUAAGGUAAAUGACAAAAAUGGUCACUAAAUUGGGGUGAAAUUUCCUUUUUUGCCUCUAAACUAUGAAAAGUUACAUUUUUAUCACUAAAGUUAUUUACUUAUAACAUUUUUAUCACUCGUCUGUUAAUAGAAAAGUGAGGUGUGGUACAUUAAUUUAAGGAUUAAUAUCUAAUUUGAUCAUUAAACUAUAGUUAAGAUAUAAUUUGAUAUUUUUAUAACAUUUUUAAUAAGAAAAAAAUAAAAAAAUCCUAAAAAUUUAUUAUUUAUUUUUUGAAAUUAUGAAAAUAUUUUUAAAAAUUGUAAUUAUGUAAAAAAAUUAUAAAAAUUUUAUAACAAGCAAAACACGUAUUUUACAAAUUAAAAGAAAAAUACGUUUUUAUUGGUAUAGCAUAAAACCAUUUUGCAUAAUAUCUUGGAUAUAAUUAAAUCUGAUCAACUCGUCUGCUACUGUAGCUUUCAGUGCUGAAAAGCAAGCCAAGCCUUUUCCUUUGAGCAGCUACAGGGAAACCGACAAUGAUUGAACUAUUAGACCCAAGCUGCGUUACAGCCGCGCAGCUCUACGUAAAGUCAUGGUCACGUAGUGCAAAUACGUAUUUUGUUUAUUAUAUAAUUUAUAUUUUUUUUGUUUUAUUUUUUACAUGAUUAUAAUUUUAAAAAAUAUAAUUUCAAAUAAAUGAUGAAUUUUCAAAAUAAUUUAAGAUUUUUUUAUAUUUUUAGAAUUUUUAUUUUUUUGAAAUUAUUGUUAAAAAUGUUAUAAAAGUACUAAAUUGAAUGUUUAAGCUAUAAUUUAGGGAUCAAAUUGGAUAUUAAUCCUUGAAUUAGAGGCCAAAAUAUUAUAAGUUGAUAACUUUAGUGACUAAAAUAUAACUUUUCAUAGUCUAGUAAAAAAAAUCACCAAAGUUUAAUGAUCAUUUUUAUAGUUUACCCUUAUUUUUAUUCAAUAUGAUACAUAUGCUUGACAAGAAAAAAAAAUGUCAUCUCAUAUUUUUUUUUGUUUGAUAUAACAUUUCGUACUCAAGUUUGAAUUUUUUUUAAUGCCAAAUCUAUGUUAUUUUUAUCCAAUAUAAUACAUGCAUUUAAAAAAAAUUUAUAUAUUUUCGUAUCUAAAAAUAAAAAUAUUAAUUUUCUAGAUUCGGGUUUUAAUAUUAAUUUAGUGAAAAAUAACUUCUAAUAUUUAAUGUUUGAAUUUUUCAUGAUUUUCUUAAUAGAUUAAAUUUAGUAUUAUUUGUAAAUUUGUUUAGUUUUGCAUUAAAUUAUUUAAAUACAACUUGAUGGAUAUGAUUUAAUUCAAGUUUUAGGAUCGAUGUGAUGAAAUUUAAUUGCUAAUAUUAUCAGCCAAUUACGAAUUUUCAUCCAACUCUAAAAUUCGGAUUAAACAUUAAAAAGUUGGCAUCUUUAACUUCAGGUAUCAGUUCUGGAAUAAACACUAAAAAGUUACCAUUGUUAGCUUUUGGUAUCAAAAUAUAUAACUUUUGUCAAAUAUAAGUACCAUUUCUAUAUAGACUUCCUCGUCAAUUUCAUCAACAAUGCAAGCUUACAUUUAAUUUAUAGUCUUUUCAAGUACAGCAGUAGUCGGAUCUGAUUGGACAAUGACUCUAAUUUCCUCUAAAAAUCCUUCUUGAGUUUAGCUCGAUUAGUACGGAUCAUUUGGGACCAACUUAUUAAAUUAGAUCCCAUAGCCUUUAUUUUUUCCAGAAAGGUACCGUUGGAAAGGUCCCGUGACCUCUCUGACCUCACCUUGGCAGCUUUCCUCCAUAACUCGAGAGGCCUCCAUUCUGAAAUUCCUUGUAGAAUUGGAUAGUCCAGCUCGAGAAAUAAAAUCUUCAGUACAAAUAUUAAUGUGUAGUGAUCCAACUGGGGUAUACCAGGUGCUGGACUGAGUAGCGUGGAAAAAGAGACCACCAGUUCAAGUUCGCCACACAUUGGUCUAGUCUCCCACAAACGUUGGUUACCAUCGUUAAGCCUUUUUCCCAUGUGAACUAAGGACUAUUGCAAACUCUACCACCCUGUUAGAAAGUGCAACUUAUCAUUGAAUUUUGAGUACGAAGGACAAGAGGGAAACUAAAUACUAUUUGGUGCUGCAAAUCUCGGACAAAAUCAGUUCCCUUCUCCUGGUUGUCUACCACAGCCAAUUCCAGGUUAUCGCCAAGCUCUUGGUUUUUUGAAACAGAGAAUUCAUUAUUCUAUGAUAAAGCCAACUCAUGGUCAACAUAGUCAGGUUUUCAAUCAGUAGCUAACUUGUUAUCAUGUCUAUAAAUAUGACCAACAUCCCCUUCUUUCUCAUGAUAAUGCCAUAAACCUAGGAUGUGAUCAUAAGCCUGUCCUGUCCCAGUGUGUCUCAAGCUAUGGUUAUGGCCUAACACCAGUUGCUGGUUCUGCUUUUAUUCUAGAUUGUGGCUUUGUGCAUAGAUCAUGUCAUGAUUAGCCAUUGAAUAAAUUAAUCACAGUGUUAAUUCACAAUGCAUUCAACAAGCCUUAUUUAUCAGCAUUUAUUUACAAAACAAAAUCACAUUGCUUUCAUUCAUUUACAUAGUUCUAACAUUAAAUUCAUUUAAAAUAAACAAGAAGUUGAAGCCCAAAGAAUGAAUACCCAAUGGAAAGAACAGCUUUAGCAAGUCCAGGAAAAUCAGACAAUGCUGAAUAAGUGCCUGAAACAAAAGCUAUCACCGUUGCAGUAAUCCCAUAACUCGUUAACAACGAAGUAAUAUACGUAUAAAAUGCAUGGGCAUCGAGUUUUUCCACAAACGAUUUGCAGUAAUGGAGGAACAUCGAUGUGGACGAGAAGCAAAAGGCCAACGCAUUAGCUAUCACAAACACUCUAAAAGCCAAUUUUCUGCUUAAAAUCGCCAUUCCUUCCUCGGGGCCAUCGCUUUUGUACCCACCGGGCGUGGUGAAACCCGCGGCGAAUGAGAUGAUGGCGAUCAGUGUUGUCACCAGUAAGUUUAUGCUGGCGAUGGUAUGGAGUUGAUCGGAGCUUGGUUUCUUGAUCGCUGCAGGUUCGGGUCUUUUGUUGGGAAUAAGUUGUGGUUGGGUUUCAAUGGCGACAGGGGACCAUGUUGUUUGUGGUUGUUCUUGAUUUGCUGUUGUCGAUUCAGUAGAUCUUGUUUUUCUUCCGUCCUUGUUGAUUGCAUGCAUGUUCUAAGCUUUCUAGACCUCUAUUGCUUGCAACACUCAUUGUAAUCCAAGUCAGUAAGUAGCUCAAUUUGAGAUAAAUAUCCAAUUAUUUGAUCUUUAGAUUUGAUUAUGCUUGUUUACCUAAUAAAAAAUUUUCAAGGAUUAAAAACUCCUCAAAUUAAAUAAGUAGAAAUAUUUUUCAAUUUUAUUGUUGCUUUAUAAUUUUGGUUGAUAUAAUAACAAAUUAAGUCUUUGAUGUUUAUAUAUUAUGUUAAUUUGAUUUUGAUUCUGAAUAAAUUAUAUAAAAAAGAUGUAUUUAAAUAUAGAUAGACUGUGUAAACUGUAAGAUUAAAUUUACUAUUAUAUUAAUUAAAAUUUUAUAAAUUGAUGAUGAAUCAUUAAUUGGUUUUAGAUUAAAAUAUUCUAUUUUUUUUGAAAAUUAUGACCCGUUUGGUUAUAUCAAAAUUGAGAGGGAUAUGAAGGAUAUUUUUACUGAUUAAAUAUAAAGUAAAAUGACACUCAGGGAUCAAUUCCAUUUUUUUAUUUUUCACUUACUCUUGAAUAACAUGAUACUUCUUGUGCAAGAGUUAGUUCGCUCAAAAUAUUCUUCAACGAAAUUACUUGAGAAGUGCACACUGCAGCAACUAUGUAUUUUACUUCACAUGUUGAAAAGGCAUUAAAUUUUAAAAAAUAAAGGUAUUGGGAUUAAAUUGAAAAUGUAUAAAGAGUAUAAGCACUUAGAACAUGUUUUGACUUUUAAAUUUUAUUCCAUAAUUUGCUCCAAAAAUUAAUUUAUUCCAAUGCGAAGCGUGGCAAGAACUAUACUAUAAUGAGUAAAUCACAGGGAUAAGCACUUCAAAUUUUCAAGAAAUUUUACAAUACUUAAAUCAAAAACUCCUAACAUUCAUAAAUAAGAGGAUAAUAAAUACUUAAGUACACUCAAAUCCUUUUGACUGUUGCAACAGCAGUGGUGCCAAUUGAUUUGAAGCUAAAGCAAUAAUUUUUAUAAAUUAUUUAAAAUUAAUUGUAAAAAAUAUAAAAUAUAAACUUAUUUUUUUAUUUUAUUUUAAAUUUUAAUAUAUAAAUAAUUAAGCGGAUGUUAACUGAGGUAUGACAUUAUUUUUAUUAUAACAAUCAGGACAAUGUGAAUUUAAACGGAAUUUUGAAUCAAAUAGUAUUGAAAAGGGUUUUCAUCAUUAUUUCCAUUAAUAUUACAAUCAUACUACAAGCCAAGCAAGUGCAGUACACCCUAAGGCUCAAACAAACCUUCAAAUUCUAUGAAAUUUUUUAGGAUUUAUUACAAACCAAGCAAAUGGAAGCACACACUAAGGCUCAAACAAUGAGGUAAGCACACACUAAGGCUCAAACAAUGCCUCAAUUUAUUAUCAACUUUUUUGCAGAGCUGGUAAUGAUAAUCGUAUGCCCCGUGAUAAUAUCAAUAUAUUACCAAGAAGGCAGUGAAGCAGCAGCCAUGAAAGCGACAAACUAUUCGUAGUUAUAAACAGUACAACGCGAGUUCAGAUCAGGCUUCCACCAAUGGCGAAGUUUAUGAGGUGAAAUGCUUUCUUCGGGAGGACUGAGAUUCUCUAUAAGAUUUGCCGAAGGAAGCAACUGAAGCGGCUCCGAAAUUGCAACAUCCAUUAUUUUCAGUUCUUUGAUCACUAUAUUUCUUAGUGAAUGAUGGCUUAUUAGUCCCCAAACUCCAACGUCGUCGCUCUUUCUUCUCUUCUUGAAAUGUUCAAUAUCUCCUUGACAUGUGAAGUCUCUACUAUUCACAAACAAACAUGGGUUCCACCCUGAUAUUGCAGCAAAUGAAUCUUCAUCACCACUAUAUCCCAAAGCAAGGACAACGCCGCCUUUGAUAACAGUGAUUGUCAGUUGAAGUCCACGUAUCACAUUCUUGUUGUCUUUGAAGAUUGUCUCAAUUGGGAAAGAUGCAUAUGGCGGAUUAAACAAAAAACUUUACAAGAAUUUGCCUCUUUUCACCGUAUUCUUUCCAGCAAGCAUUGCGAUGGCUGCCCCUAGGGAAUGACCAGUUAACCAUACCUUUGAAGAACCAGCCUUUGACACCCUAUCUUCAACAUAUUUCAUGGCGGUCCGAACACGACUAGUUUGAUGAAGUGUAUAGGAUUAUUGCGAAAUCCGACUCAAGAUCCCUUUUCCAAGUUUCUCGUUUGAAUAGGGUACCUCGAAAGGCGAUCACGUAUCCAGGGCCUGGAUUAGUUGCCGAAGGAAACACAUAUUCAAGAAUGGCACCAAAGAUGCUUUCAUCAUCCUCAUGGACGAGCUCAUUCACUAACUUGAAGUUGAAAAACUCCCACCAUUGUGGCGCAAGUGUCUCAGAGCCUCCACGUAAUUCCACUUGUCGGUCACGUUCCCGCUCGGAAACACCCUUGACCAAGCUGGCUGAUAAGGAUCUUCGAUGGCUGUCGUCGUUCCUAUCAAUGGUGGUAAGGUUUUUGGGUCCCACAAGACUAAAAGGUUCUCUUCCACGAGACGUAUAUUAUAGCACUGGAAACUAUUGACGUGGGUACGAGGGCUUUGGGUGAUGUGGGUUUCAGGCUAUAUGGUGGUUAAAGCAGGUUGUGCAAUGGUGACUGUGGUCAGUGAUGUGACAGCGCUGGCGAAUGGACCCGCGGAGCUUGGUCUGGGAGCUCUUAAAUAGAAAAUCUUGAUUAUCCAGUAUCUUCUCUUGGUCUCAGCUUUGUCAACAUUCUUACGUCAUUAAGUAUGUCAUCCCAUAAUGAGUGGAUAAAGCUCUUUUUCAGACACGGUUUAAAUCAUAUGGUUAAAUAUAUAUUUAGUUUUUUUAGAAUUUAUAUUUGAGUUAUUUUAAGAUAAAUUAUAAAAAUGGUUAUUAAAUUGAGGUGAAUUUUUUUAUUAUCUCUGAAUUCUGAAAAGUUAUAUUUUUUUAUUAAAAUUAUCUACUUAUAAUAUUUCGAUCAUUCGUAUGUUAAUAAAAAAGUGAAAUUGUAUAUAUUAAUUUAAGGGUUAAUAUUUAAUUUCAUCAUUAAACGAAUUAAUGAAUGACAAUGACUAUAUUGGGCUAUAAGUAACUUGUUUUAGUAGUAUGUUAGUCAAUUCAAAUGAGAGAAAAGAAGAGAUCAAGAACUAUAUUAGAACAAUAAAAACAUACAUUGAUUAAACAAUAGCUACAACUCUAUUCGUCCAAGUAAACACGAUACAAAAUAUGACGCAACACCAUCAUCAACACUGAACCCUCCAUUAAUGACAAUCCAAAGCUUUAGUAUGUUUCUUGGGAAAUCCAUUCAUCCCAACACCCAUGAAACUUUGCUUCUAAACCUAGGCGCUCUUCUUUGGUGGUGUAUUGCCAUAUUUCCAAGUGAAUUGCUUUAAAUCAUCAGGAUAAGUACCCCCUGCAACCUCUUGGAUUGGGAUCGCAUCUGAAAUUUCUUUCAAAUCUUCUUUUGUCAGCUUUACUUUCACUGAUUCAAUGUUGCUGUCUAGAUUUUUAAUCUUGGUUGUUCCUGUAAGAAGUGAAAACAAUGUGUCAAAAGCUUUGGUUUUAAAUCUCAAUGCAAACUGGCCGUUGGUCCAGGAACUUGUAUCGGAGUGUCCAACACGGAUAUGUUCAUUUUCCUAAGGUUUUACAUAUAUCUGGAGGAAUAUGCUAGAAAAGUCUAUGCUAUUUCUGCAGGUUACUAACUUACUCUGACUGUUUUUUCUUCGAGUAUCCGUGUCUAAUACCCAACAUAUUUUGACAUGAGUAUUGAAACAAUCCUCCAAAUAUAUGAAAAACUUCAAAAAAUAUAAGAGUUCACUUAUAUUGUAUCACCUCGGAUUCCGAGUUGAAAGUGAUUGAAUGGGACUUACCGGGAAUAGGAGAAACAUCAUCCCCUUGGUGAAGAACCCAGGCAAGUGCAAGUUGUGCCGGUGUACAUCCAUGCUUUUCAGCCAACUUCUCUACUAAUAUUUUUUAUAUUUUUUUUAUAAAAAUCAAUAAAUAUUUAAGUAAGAAAUGGACAUAAUUUAAAGUCGAAUUUUAUAGUUAUUUUUUCUUGCUUUAUUUUAAGUAUUAAUUUAAUCUAAGUUUUUUUAAGUCUUCAUUAGCUAUAUUCUUGUACACAAGUUGAGAGAAAUUAUUAAGAACAAAUCUAUUGGGUUGAUUUGGGCAUCAAGUAUAUUUUUAUCUUAGCCGCAAAUUAAUUUUUACCGGUACUACUAAAGUUGAUCAUAAUCUAUUUAGUCUAGAUCUAAACCUUAAUUUUCUGAUAAACAUGUUAAUUUACAUGAUUCUUGUGUUUAAUUUGGCUUAUUUCUGAAUUAAUCCCUGCUUAAUUGGUGUUUUUAUGGAUUAAUCUUGCCAGGGAUGCAAUUGAUCAAAAACGAGCAAAAAGGUCAAAUUGAAAGACAAAUCGUUGAGUUGGGGCCAAAUCAUAAAGAUGAGAAAGCUAAGGAUUUAACAUCAAUUUUGACUUUGUAAAAAGCUAAAAAUAGGAGAUAUUAUUUUAUGUUAUUUUAUUAUUUAUUAUUUGUUAUUUAUUUUAUUAAUUUAGCUUUAGCCUAUUUUUAGUAAACCCUAUCUAUAUAAAUAGAGACUUUUAGUUCUUAGAAAAUCAUCUCUUGUUUUUGUAUUCCUACUUCUAUUUGGAAUAGAAAUACUCUUUUUUUUUCCCUUUUCAAAUUGGAGUUUAGCAUUCUGCCACUUUUUCACUUGGUUUUGUUUCUUUUUUAAAAUUGGGCUAAUUGCCUUUCAAGCGUUUUUCUUUUACAAUUUUCAUCACCAUAAUCAUCAAUCUUUUUUUCCAAACUCACAAAGCAUGAACAAUUUCAUGCUUAACCAAAUUCCAUCUUAGCUUUAGGCCGGUGUUCUUUCCGGUCAAGAAUCCUGAGAUUCAUACUUGCACCUAAAAUCUUUUCAAUCGGUAUUCACCUUUUUCCUAAGUAUCGGGAUUGACAACUCAUCCUUUAAGGAUAAUUCGAUUUCAAGUCAAAAAGAGCUCGUUGGGUUGGAGUCGUGUUUUGUGACAGUUGGAGAAACGAAUCAACCGGGCUGUAUUUGGAUCUCCGAGAACAAAUCGAGGAAGAGGUGAUCAGGUUUAAACGACCCACGCGGUUGAGGCCGUUAAUUCGAGUUGGGUUCUUCAGAACGCAAGGCUACCGGAAUCUUGAAUCGAGAACAUGUGUAUCUCUGUUAGAUAAUCGAUAAGGGUUGGUCUGCAUGUAAUACCCCUACCCGUAUUCAUUGCCGGAAUAGGGUACGAGACAUUACCGGAGUUUACGAAUUAAAUUUUUUUUAUAUUCAAUAUAGCCCCUUUAUAAAUAUCUAACCUUCCCUGCAAUAUUAAAUCGAGACCAAUCCACAUCAACCAAAUCAAUUCAACAUAUUUUCAAGAUAAACUCAUUCAUAUUUAUAAGAUAACGUCAUCACAUAUCUAAAACCAGGUUUGUUAACCAUACUAAUGGCUAACUUUACAUUCAUUUCACGUUAACAUUUACUUUGUUAGCUUAUACAUGCCAUUGAUUUCCAAAAUAAAGUUUCUUUAUAUACCGACAUCCUGAGUUUGACAGUGUGAUGUGUCUCCGACCAAAUCCGACCUCCGAGCUCUUAACACUACAAAACAGGGAAAAAGGAAACGGGGUAAACACUUCGUGCUUAGUAAGCUCAUGUAAAAAGAAUUAUACUUACCUAAUAUUUUCAAUACAAUACAAUAAACAUCCAUAUAUCCAUUCAAUGCAUUAUUACGCUAAUAUGCACAAACUCAACAUUCAAGUUAGUACAAUAAUUUCCAUGUACCAAUAAUAUAUAUCAUGAUUGAUGAGCUCGUCAAUACCAUGAUUUCCAUUUCCUUGCUAUUUUUCCAUAUUUAUCCCGUUGAAUUUAUCGGAAUUUCGAUAGAUUUUCAGAGGUACACAUUUAUUGUACAAUCCCGGGUCCGUUAAUUCAUAUUCAUGUGCGCACAUAUCCAUUUCAGAGAGCACACUCCCACGAGCCUCAACCUUGCAGCGGGAUUACCAGUCCAGGCUAAAUCCCCUGCAAUAUAAACUCAUAGAUUAUUGUCGGGAUUACCAGUCCAGGCUAAAUCCCCUGCAACGACAAUUACUCUAAUGAGCUUGGAUCUGAAUUACCAGUCCAGGCUAAAUUCAGACCCUAAUUCGGAUUACCCGUCCGGGCUAAAUCCAUUUUACACAUAUUUUUCGGGAGGGCUAUAUCAGGAUAGGAUCACCCGUCCGGGCUAGAUCCUUUUUACCGUUAAUUCCUUUUCAGAGAUCCAUCGAAUUUUCCUUUCAUUCAACCGAUAUUUCUUCCCAUUUUAUCAAAUAUAUCAAUGUUUCAUUAAUUUUCAUACAAUGAACACUCAAAUCAUAUUCACAUCAAUAACAUACAAUCUCAGGCAUUUAAGAAUAUAAUUCAAGUUACACGAACUUACCUUGAUACUUGUUUGUAAACAAUAAAAAUCUACUAAUCCCGAACUUUUUCCUUUCCUCGAUCUAGCUUCGUAUUUGAAUCUUCCGGAUCUAAAUAAAUAAAUUUAAUUAUCAAUUUAAUACAUUUCAUGUUCAUAUGCAACAUUCUCUAUGAUUCAACUAUUAUUUAUAGUUCAUUCAAAGCUGUCUACUUGAGUCAUAGUCACUAAAUUAUUUAUAACUUGAGCUAUGGAACUCCAAAUUAAGAUCCAUUAAUUUUUACUGAAACUAGACUCAUAUAUAUUUUUACCAUAAACUUUUCAGAAUUUUUGGUUUAUCCAAUAAGUACAGUUUAUUCUUUAAAGUCUCCCCUGUUCUGCUGUCGACAGUUCUAACCCUUCUUCACUAAAAAUUAAUUAUCUCUUCAUACAGAAUUCAAAUAAUGUUCUCGUUCAUUUCUAUUAAAAAUAGACUCAUUAAGGAUUCUAUACAUAUAAAUUUAAGCCCAUAAUUGUUUUUCUUCAAUUUUUUAUGAUAUUUCAAAGUCAGAACAGGGGAACCCGAAUUCAUUCUGACCUUGUCUCACAAAAUUAAUUAUAUCUCAAAAUUUACAAAUCCAUUACUUACACUAUUUCUUCUAUGAGAAACUAGACUCAAUAAGCUUUAAUGACAUAUUUUUUUCAUCUUCUAAUUCGAUUUUUACAAUUUAUGGUGAUUUUUCAAAAUUAGUCUACUGCCGCUGUCCAAACUGUUUUUGUGCAAGCUGUUUAUUACCAUUUUUCCCCUAAGCUUUUAAUAAAUGAUAAUUUCGUCCCUACUCAAUUAGCCUAUCAAUUGAGCUGAUUUUUCUCAAUUAACAUUUUAUUCUAUCACCUUAAACUAGUUUACAACCUUUAGGAAUUAGAAUUUCAGCAAUAGACUUUAAUUCCAAGCAUUUUCACAAUUAGGUCCUAAAAUCAAUUUCUAUUGAAAUUACCUAAUAAAAUCAUCUCAUAAACAAAUUAAAGCUUUAAUUUCAUUCUAUUUCAUCAUAAACUUACAGAACUCAACCAUGGUGACUUUCAAUUUCAUCCAUGAAAUCAAAAACUAAUGAAUUUAAUAGUAGGACCUAGUUGUAAAAGUCUUAGAAACACAAAAAUUACAAGAAAAAGGCAAGGAUUAACUCACUUGGUGCAAAAAUUAUGAAAUACCAGCUUAGAGAACCCUUCUAUGGCGUUUUUAGCUGCUAGAAUUGAAGAGAAAUGAAGAGAAAUCUAGAUAUUUCCUAUUUAGUCCUAGUUUUAUUUAGUUAAUUUUGCAAUAUUCCAAUUUUACCCUUAAUUUAUCAAUUUUUCUGCUGAUUUCAUACCCUUGCCGUCCAGCCCAAAUAACUUUUGGGUCUAAUUUCCUUUUAAAUCCUUUCUCAUUAGACUUUUAAGCUAUUUAAUCAUUCUAGCAACUUUUACACCUAUUACAAUUUAGUCCUUUUCAUUUAAUUGACUACCCAAACAUUAAAAUUUCCUAACGAAAUUUUAAAACCACAUUAAUAACAUUUCAUAAAUAUUUAUAAAAUUAUUUUUGACUCGGUUUUACGAGAUAGAGGUCUCGAUACCUUGUUUUUACCCAAUUUCUUCAAUAAUUUCUUUUUCUAUCUAAUCACUAAAUCGGUAAAAUUUUUCUAUCAAUAUUUUCAUACGAUUUUCCUAUCAUAUCAAUUUUCAUGAAAAAAUAUUGAAAUAAAUUUCUCUUUAAAUCGGAUUUGUGGUUACGAAACCACUGUUCUGAUAAUUUUGAAUUUAGGCUAUUACAUUGCAGGUUGUACUGAGUCCAGCUACGAGAGGAAGAAUUGGUGGUUAGGACGUUCUUAACCACUAUAACCAGCUUAUCAUUUUAAGGAGAAGAUCAAUUUUUGAGGAUCGAUUCUCAACACGGAAUUUACUGAGUCUAAGGCUAAGGCUCAUUACAUUUGAUUGCAAAUCCCAAUUUAAUUUCUGAUUUAUUUAAUUAUUUAUCUUAGCAGUUUUGAUUAUUUAAUUUCUAAUCAAUUUUAAAAUCCCCCGCUUUACUUAUUUAUUUGCUUAUUUUUUAGCUGGUACGUUUUGAGUCGUGGGCACGAAUCUAGCCACGACCCUUGACACGACAUUCUGUUCAUAAGCCAAACUCAAAAGUUGAUUAGAGUACCAAUCCCUGUGGACUCGACCCUACUACCACUCUUCCUACUAUCCAGAGUAUUUAGUAGGAACUAUAUUUGGUGAAUUCGACGCCCAUCAAAUUUUGGUGCCGUUGCCGGGGAUUAUAGAUAUUUUCUAACUUUUGUUUGUCUACCUUAUGACCAGAUCAGAACAGGGAAAUCUAGAGUUUGAGCCAGAAAUUGAGAAAUUGGCCCGACAACUACAAAGAGAAGCCAUAUGACAUGGUAAACGGCCAAAUCUCGAAUUUGAAACUAUAUCUUACACCGAAGAAGUUUUUGACGAACCAGACGAGAUGGCCGAACAAACUAUACGCCAGCUCGCAGCAGCACCGGAUGAACAACAGCCCUUAUGUAUAACCUAUCCAGUAGGAGGAACGCCGUUCGAGCUAAAGUCGGGUUUGAUCCACCUACUACCCACUUUUCGUGGAUUACAGAAUGAAAACCCGCACACCCACCUUAAAGAAUUUCAUAUGGUGUGCACAAGCAUGAAGCUUCAGGGAGUAACCGAAGACCAAAUCAAACUUCGUGCUUUUCUUUUCUCACUGGCCGACUCUGCUAGAGAGUGGCUAUUUUAUUUACCUCUAGGAUCUGUCAACACAUGGUCUGACAUGUCUCGUUUGUUUCCUGAAAGGCUCUUCCUUGCAGCCCGAGUGACCAAACUAAGGAGGGAUAUCGUAGGAAUCCAUAAGAAGGACACUUAAUCGCUCUACGAUUACUGAGAGCGAUAAAAAAAGUUGUGUACGAGCUGCCCACAACAUGGAUUGACUGAGCAGUCACUCUUGCAGUAUUUUUAUGAGGGUUUACUCCCGAUGGAAAUGAAGAUGAUAGAUGCUGCAAGUGGAGGGGCACUCGUUAAUAUGACACCCCAGAGAGCGAGAGAGUUGAUUUCAACCAUGGCUGCCAACUCUCAACAAUUUCGACCGGUUACAAAACCUACGAGACGGGUUCAUGGGUUAAGUUCUUUGUCUCUAAAAGAUAAGAUUGAUAAGCUGACUAAUGUUGUUUAAACUUUACUUUCAGAUAAAACAGGCCCAGUACGGUUAUGCGAAAUUUGCGCCAAGCCAGACUGCCCGACGGACUCAUGUCCAAUUUUACAAGAGGAUUCGACAGAAUAAGCGAAUGUUAUCGGGAACUUCCCAGGACUACCCUAAAAAUGGUAUGACCCUUACUCGAACGCGUAUAAUGUGAGGUGGAAGGAUCGCCCAAAUCUCAACUAUGGGACAAAUUUGCAGUUCAAUCAACCGUUCCAACAAAGGCCACCGCAGAAUCAACAGAUACUACCCCCAAAGUCAUCUUUGGAGGCCAUAGUGGAAAGGUUAGCCAACAGUACUGAGAAUUUCCAAUAAAAAAUUGACAUGCAUUUGUAGGAGUUGGACAAGCAAGUGAGCAAACUCGCACUCACAGUUAGCCGUUUGGAGUCCCAAGGUAAGCUGCCAUCCCAGACUGAGCCAAAUCCACGACACAAUGCAAGCGCUAUGAUGCUAAAGAGUGAUAAGGUUUUGGAGCCCGUACAUGAUACAAGUCGAGGCCACGAUACUAGUCGCGCCCAUGACGCUAGUCAAGAUAGGGAGAAACUUGGCACAGAGGCUCUAGUGGAGUCGAGACCACAAAAGUCAUUUGCAGUACCACCUCCAUUUCCCGGACGACUUGUCCAAUGUAAGAAUGAGCGAGACGAGAUGGAGAUCCUAGACACCUUCCGAAAGGUGGAAAUCAACAUACCUCUUUUCGAUGCAAUUAAGCAGAUCCCACGAUACGCGAAGUUCCUGAAAGAGUUAUGCACGAGUAAAAGGAGACUUUUGGGAAAUGAAAAGGUAAGUGUCAGAGAAAAUGUCUCUGCCAUUCUGCAACGGAAAAUACCGCCCAAAUAUAAGGACCAAGUUAUGUUUUUCAUAUCUUGUAAAAUAGGUAGCGUUGGUAUUAAAAAAGCAAUUUGUGACCUAGGCGCAUCAAUUAAUGUUAUGCCUUUGUCAAUUUAUAAAUUACUUAACGCGGGUCCUUUAGAGGAAAUAAGCGUGAUAAUCCAGCUUGUAGAUAGAUCUGUGGUGCAUCCGGAGGGAGUAUUACAGGACGUUCUUGUCAAGGUAAACGAGCUAAUAUGUCUUGUAGACUUCUACAUCAUCGACAUGGAGGAUGACAAUUCGGCCAAUGCAUCAGACAUACUUCUUGGAAGGCCAUUUUUGAGUACCGCACAAACUAAAAUUGACGUAAGAAGUGGGAUACUCACUAUAGAGUUCGAUGGGGAAGUAGUAAAAUUCAAUGUCUACGAAGCCAUGAACCGUCCUAACAUGAUUUCUAAUGUUUCUAAUAUUGAUAUUAUUGAUCCUUUAAUUGAGUUACAUUUGGAAUAUCAUGACAAGGAUGAGUUACAAACUGUCUUUUGCAGGAGUUUUGUGACAGCCUUAAUUUUGACCCUAGUCGGAAAGUGGUUUCGGGACCACAAAACUGAGUCAUAAAAAUAAUUAACUGUUAAAUUCUAUGUUUAUUAUAUGUGUAAAUGCAUGUGUGAAAGUUUCAUGCUUUGAUUUUGUCAUUUGUAUAUGAAAUUUAUAAGAUAGGACUCAUGUGAUAAAACUUGAAAGUGUGAUAGGUAAAUUUUAAAGUGCCAAAUAAUGCAUGAAAUGUUGACAUGAGGGAUUUGCAUGUCAAAUGGACCAAUUUUGUUAGUGGCCGGCCAUAAAUGAUGGUUGAUGUAUAAUAUAUGUUUUAUUUAAGUAUUAUAAUAAGUAAUGGCUUUAUUUUUGAAAUAAAUUAAUUAGUAAAACAAUAAAAGAUGAUAAAAAAAAAUAGAUGUUCAUCUUUCUUUCUUGAUUGCCGAAUUUGGGAAAGAAAAAUAGUGAAGAAGAAGCCAAGGCAUUCGGCCAUGGUUAUCUCCAUUUAAAGGUAUGUAAUGCAAUUUUUAUUUGUAAUUGAUUAUGAAAUUAAAUAGAUAAAUACAUAGCAUAGUUAACCCAUGGUUUAAAUUCAUGAAUCAAUGAACAAGUGUCCUUUUGGCAAGUGCUAAAUUGGUAUUAUUUUGAUAAGUUUUUGGAAAGAUGUUAGUUAUAUGUUAAGUAGCUUAAAUGAUGGUUGAAUAAGUAGAAUUCAUGGUUGAAAAGUAUGAAUUGAAAUUGCCGUAUGUGUGUAUAUGCAUUUUGGAAAGAAAAAUGUUGUUGUUUAGUUGAGUUUUCAUUUGAUACGUACAUUCAGUCAAAAGGGGGGGAGGAAUAAGAUGAAUUUAAAAUGUUGUGGUUUGUUUUUAAAGUUGGUUAAAUAGUUGUGGUCAUUGCCGAAUACAUUUGUGUUAGGGGAAAAUAUGAUUAAGUAUCGGUUUGAUGAGCUAAAUAUAUAUGUAUAUUCGGCUAUAUAAAUUUGAUGUGUACUUGAAAAUAUAAUAACCCUUAAGAGAUUGUGUUUGUGUAUGUGAACUAGAUGUUUUAUGGAUAUUCGGCUAAAAGGGUAAAUGGCUAAGUCAUAGGAAUUGGGGUGAUAUACAUUAGGUCAUUGGGGUUAUAUGUACUUGGUAAUGUGAGUUAUGUAUUAAGUAAGUUAUUUCUUCGAAAUGUAUAUUCGGUCAUUGUUUAGCAUAGGUGAAACCUAUGUACAAUUUGCUACAUUUGAUCAUAAAAUGGAAUUUGUAUAUGAAAGCUAAGUUUGAGUGGUUAGGGCCGAAUGUGGUAUAUGAGAUAUUAAGGCAUGUUAUGAUUAUAUAUAUGUGUGUAUACGUGGUUGUGCAUAAAAUGAGUAAUUGAUUAAAUUGUGUUAGUCACACAUAGGUAUAUAAAAAUAUAUGCCUUAGGUAAGUACCUUGUAACAUAGAGACAUUCGGUUAUACAUAUAUGUAUAUAUUAUAUAGAUAAAUUCGUGUAAAUAAUAGGCAUGAUAUCGAGUCAUGGUACAUUUUAUAAAACUUAACAUGUAUGGAAGUUAUAUGAUUAUCAAAUGUGAUUAUUAAAGAAUUAAAGUUGAGUAGGUAAUUAAACAAAUUCAAUUGUUUAAUUUUAAAGCUCAAGAGCAAAGAGGAAAUAAAUCAGAUAAGGGGAAGGAGAAAGCAAUCGAGUAGCCUAUCCGUAACUGUUCAAUUAUACCCGAGGUAAGUUUUGAGUAGUUUCUUUUAGUAUGAAAUUGAUAACGCUUUUAUAAGAGUAUAUUAAGUGAAUUGAAAUCUUUGGUUUGUUCUUGAUUAUAGUUGUAUAAUAAAUAGUGUAUGUAUACCAUUAUAGUAUAAUGGUCACUUUGGGUUUAAUAUUGAAUGGUGAAAUGAAUGUGUGGUAUUAAGUAUAACUCUUGAGCCGAAAUGUGAAUGAUGAUGUGCAUAUUGAGCUUAUAUCCGUAUGUAGUAAAUGAUUACUAAAGUGAUAGGUUGAAUGAGACAUGUUAAAAUAUGACUAAGUAUGCAUGGUAUUUGAAAUAUAUCCGGACAUGAGGUCUGUAGGCUAUAUGCUGGGAAUAUAUCCGGACAUGAAGUCCGCAGGCUAUGUGCUGGAAAUAUAUCCGGACAUGAGGUCCGCAGGCUAUGUGCUGGAAAUAUAUCCGGACUUGAAGUCCGCAGGCUACGUGCUGGAAUGGUACCCGGGUUAAAGACCCGUGGACUUGUGUUAUAAAUGUGUUUCAAGUUCUAAGACUUGACAGGACCGAGGCCAGUAAGUUAAGUAAGACUACGAUAUUGAAUGUCCGUGGUAACCAUCAUCGAGUAAGUAACAUAUAUACUUUACAUGUUAACGUACGUAUUAUGUGCUCAUAUGUGAAUUGAUUUCAAAAUGAUUUAUUAGUAUCAAAGAACCAUGUAUAUAUAUAUAGGUGUGUGGAUGAAUUCGGUAUUUUAGGAUAAGACAAUGACAUAUUCGGUCACUGUAAGUCAUUAUAGGAAAAUAUGUGACUAAACGUAAUUGUAUAAACCAUGUAGAUAAUGAAACAUGUGCUAGAAAUUUUCUUGUGUAUACAUAAAUACAUAUUCGGCCAAUAGAAUUUAUAACUAGUGUACUUGUGUAUAUUUGGCCAAGUGAAUUACAAUUAGAAUACGAGUUUUGUGAUAUUUAAUGUUCGUUUUAUAUGAUACGUUUUGAUUGUUUGAGAUGCUUAAAACUUACUAAGCAUAGUAAUGCUUACUUUGGUGCCUUAAUUCUUUGUUUUAUAGAUCUUGUUCGUCAGCUACGGUCUCGGGGAUCUCAAAGUCGAAGUCGUCCACACUAUCUAAGCCUUUUGGUACUCUAGUAGCUAAAUUUCGAUAAUGUAUAUAUGCAUAGCCAUGCGAAAAUGGCUUGAUAAGUUACUAUAUGUGUUCCAAAUGGUUAGUGUGAAUGUGUGGUUGAGAUUUGAUUAAUGUUUUCAAUGUUUGAUUUGAAUUGAACUUAAGAAUGAAUCACUAUACCUAAUUAUCUUGAUAUGACUCUUUUGUAUAUGGUAAUAAUCUUUAACCCUCUGGCGACGGGUACGGGUUAGGGGUGUUACAAGUUUUGUAACAUCUCCUAACCCUAUACCAUCGCCGAAACAGGGUUACAAGACAUUACCAGUCCGUACAGUCCAAUUCUGGUCAUUAAUUAAAAUAAAUAUUCACACUCAUCCUAGUUUUAUGAUGUCGUCCCUUUAAUGGGCCCUCGCAGUCCAAUAUGAACAAUAAAUUCAAUUCAGGACUAAUUUAGAAUCACUACGAAUUUUUAGUAAAUUUCAAAGUUCAUAUUAUAUACCGUUGCCAACCAUAAUUUACUUAUUUCAUCAAUACUUCUACAACUUAAAUGACUCUCAUAAAACAUCCUAGGUACAUGCCAUUACCAAUACUCGACAUACAUUACCUCAUUGAAUUCAGAGUCGGCCUGGGAUGCUGAUUCAACGGUCUAACCUUAACUUAACCUACGCACGAAAAUAAAUCGUACGCUGAGUAUACACUCAGUGGUAUUUCUAUAAUCUGAACACUUAAACUGUAAUAUCCUGAAUUAGGGAUUAAUCGGAAUAGUGGUUUCGUGACCACAAAUCCGAGAUAGAAAUAAUUAUUUUAUAAUUAUUUUGAUGAUUAUAAUAUGAUUGCAUGAUUGUGUGAAAAUUUCGUGAUGAAAUUCUAUGCCUAAAAUGCUUAAAUUGAAAGUAGGGACUAAAUCGAAUAAGUUGCAAAAUUUGCAUUCUAGAAGUUUUUAGUAUGAAAUUGCAUUGAAAUAUUAAUUAGGAGAUCUUAAAUAGCAAUUUGACCAAUUUUAAGUUCAUGGACAAAAUUAGGACAUGGAAGGAAUUUUUAGAAAGUUUAGUAGUAAGGGCAUUUUGGUUAUUUAGUUAUUAAAAUGAAUUAAAAACAAAAUUAAAAGCCAAUUUUUGUCCAUCUUCUUCAUUAGGCCGAAAUUUCAAGGGUUCACCAUAGUUAGGGUUUGUUUCAAGCUUCCAAACUCCAUAAUCAAGAGAAACGAGAUUCAAGUCGCGAUCGAGGAAAAGAAAAUAUUGUGGACUAAAUUGCAAAAUCUUUAUAUUUUGGUACCAAGGUAAGUUCAUGUGUAAAUAAUGUAGCAUAAUUGUUAUUUUUAAGUUAUUGAUGUUAAUUAUAUGAUAUGCUGAUUUUUAUAUGAAAUAUAUGCUUUGUGGUUAUUUUCGAAUAAAAUGCAAAUUAUGUGUAUUAAUUGUUAAAUAUAAAGUCCUACCGAGUAUUGGUUUUGGUAUUUUACAGAAGAUGGCAAGGAUAUGUGUUCGAGGAAAAUCCCGUUUGAACCUUAGGAAUAGAUUAGGAUACAAAUGACAUGUCACUAGGAUGGUUGAGCAUCCAAACUCGUUAAGUUGAGUCCGAGUUCACUUAUGGAUGCGAAUGUCCGAACUCGUUGAGUUGAGUCCUAGUUCGUGAAAUGUAACUAGGCAUCCGAACUCGUUGAGUUGAGUCCGAGUUCACUUAUAGAUGCGAACGCCCGAGCUCGUUGAGUUGAGUCCGAGUUCACUUAGGGGCAGGUUACGUGAUUUCUUGAUUACACAUGAGGCACUUAUGUGCAAAUUAUCCGUGUAUCCGAGUUGUAUUCCGAUGUGUUCAACGGGUGAAAUUUCUAGUGAAAUGAAAGAACACUUAAGAUGCAAGCGACGUAUUGGUAAGUGUUGUGAAAUGGACACUUUGGGCAGGUAUGUUCUUAACCCUCGGGUUGAUAAUAGAUACAACAACGAUAAGGUGGUAAGAUGAUGAAUGAUGUUUAGAAAUAUGACAUAUGUUUUGGUGAUACCAUGCUAAAGUUGUUUGGUAUAUUUGUAUUGUUAUGUUACUUGUUAUUUACAUAUGAACUUACUAAGCAUUUAUCCUUACUCCCUCCUCUUUAUUUACUGUAGUUUUGAACAAGCCAGCUCGGGAAUCGGGACGGGUUGAAGGUUCGAUCACACUAUCUAAAGGACUUUCAUCUGGGUAAAUGGCUUGUAAAACUUAAGUAUGGCAUGUAUAGCAAUAUACUUAUUUUCUGUAAAUAAUUUUAUGAUAUGGCCAUGAUUGGUUGAGAAAAUGUUUGAUAUUGAUAAGUCAUGGUGAUGGUUAAAUUUAGAUCAUGUUUGAUAUCAUGGAAGUUUAAUAGGUUAUCUAGUUCAUAACAACUCAUGAAAAGAUGAAAUUUGCCUUAAAACAGAAUAUUACUGCAGCAAUGACAUGAAUUUGAAAAAUUACUAAAAAUAGUAUAAAUAGAAAUAAAUGAUGAGUAAGUUAUAAAAUUGAAGAUUAAUGACUCUAUUUUCAUGUGGAUUGAACAAAACAGGCAUAUAAAUUAUAUUUUAUGAGAUAUUUAAACUUUUGUGAAACAGGGCCAGAGUGAUUUCUGGAUCCCCUGUUCUGACUUUAAAAAUUCAUAAUAAAUUUUACAAAAAUGAUUAGAAGUUUUUCUUUAUAUGUACAGAUUCCUUAUUGAGUCUAGUUUUAAGAGAAACAAACGUAAUAGUCAUUUAAAUUCUGUAUAGAGAGAUAUCUGAUUCGUAAUACACAGAGGUCAGAACAGUCGAACUCUGAAACAGGGGAGACUUUAACUAAUAAACUGUACUAAUUGGCCCAACCAAAAAUUCUAGAAAAAAAUUAGUAAAUAUAUUUAUGAGUCUAGAUUUAGGGAAAAUUUACGGAUUUUGAUUUCGAGUUUUGUAACUCGAGAUAUGAUUUUUCUUGUAACUGUGACGCAGGUAGCUAGAACGCUGUGAAUGUAGAAACAAAUGAUUUGAAGUUUUUAAUUUGAUAAAUUAUGUUCGGUAACUCCUCAAGCUCGACUCCGGCGACGGUUUCGGGCGUGGGGGCGUUACAUAAACAAUUAUAAAACAUAUUAAUUUAUAUAUAUUGAACUAUUCAAACUCAAUGAGAAUUCAAACAUUCAUUUUCCAACCAAUGUUUUGGUCUACUUUAAAUUUCAAAUCAUUUAUUAUUUUUCAAUAGCAAUUAAUCAAUCAGUAAUGUUCAUUAACACUCAGAACAAUUAUUUAUUCAGUAACAGUCAGUUAUUCGGUAACAAUCAAUUAUUCAAUAAUAACCAGUUAUUCAAUAUCGAUCAAUUGAUCGGUUAUCCAGUAACAGUCAAUUAUUCAGUAAAAUCAGAUAUUCAGUAACUAUUAAGGUAUUUAGUAGCAGUCAUUCAUUCAGUGACAAUCAGUUAUUCAGUAAUGAUCAAUUAUUCAGUAAUAUUCAGUUAUUCAGUAAUAGUCUAAUAUCCAGUAACAGUCAAUUAUCCGGUAACAGUCAAUUAUUCAGUAAUAAUCAGUUAUUUUAUACCUUUAUUUACCCCUAUUAACAUGACUCGGACUCAGACAGAUACACGGAUCCAACCAACACACCAGUACGGCACAUAGUGCCUCAUCGGCCGAAGCCGGAACAAUAAUAGUAACAGUAGCAGUACGGUACAUAGAGUACCUCAUCGGAACAAAUCCGGAACAGUAACAGUAACAGUAACAGUAUUCAACACACAAAGUACUGAAUCGGUAACGGUAACAGUAACAAUAUUCAACACACAAAGUGUCGAAUCGGUAACGGUAACAGUAACAAUAUUCGACACACAAAGUGCCGAAUCGAUAACAGUAGCAGUAACAAUAUUCGACACAUAAAGUGCCGAAUUGGUAACAGUAGCAGUAGCGGUAACAGUAACGAACACAUAAGUGCCUAAAAUACGGCACAUAAAGUGCCCGAUCGGUAAAGUCGAUAAAUCCCGUACUCUUCCAAUCCUAUGGCAUGCCAAUUAUAUCUGACUAGCCCGACAAGUUAAUAGGAAAUUUAAUUCUUAUUCCAAUUUUACUUAAUAUUCAUGUUUACCCCUAUUAACAAGACUCGAACUUUGGCGGAUAUACCGAUUCCAACCAAACACACCAGUAUGGCACUCAGUGCCUGAACACUUCUAAAUCCUAUGGCAUGCCAACUAUAUCCGACUCAGUCCGACUAGUUAAUAGGAUAUUCAAAUCAUUUUUCUAUUUCAAAUUCGCUUUCAAUUUAAUCACAAAUUCUCAUAUUUCAAUAUCCAACCAAUACACAUUUCAAUUAAUCAUAAUUCCAUUCCAUUCAAUUCAAUUCAAUUCAAUUCAAUUCAAAUUCACUUAUCCACUUUCUAAUCAAUAUACAAUUAAAAAUCAAUACAUAUUUCAGAUAUUCACAUAUAAUCAUACUUCGAUUUAAUUCCAACCACUUUUCAAUCAAUACACAAUUCACAUAUUUACACAUAUUCAUAAUUUAUUUUAUUUUUAUUCAAUUCAUAUUUUUUAUUUAUUUAUUGUCCAAUCAAAUUUAAAAUCACUAAUUUCUUUUCAAUCAAUAUACAUUUCAAAUAAUCACAUUCAAUUCAAUUUGGUUCAAUUCCAUAUCAUCCAAUCAAAGCCAUUCCAAUAUUAACUUCUCAUGUAUUUUAUUUGUUUCACUUUUCCAAUCAAUUUACAUUUUAAUUUCAAUUUCAAUUCAAUAACAAUUCACAUAUAUCCAUAAAUCAAUUCAAUAUAAUCAAUAUUCAAUCCAAUUCAUAUAAUCAUCUCAAAACACCUACUACAUAUAUAUAUUAAAUAAUAAAUCCAAUAAUUUAAGUAUUAAGUUCGGAUUAUAAAAAUACAAACCAUAAUUUCCGAGCUAACUCCCGUUGACUUUGUCUUGUCCUUUCUUAGCUGAGAUUUUCGGUACCACAUUGACUACGAAAUUAAUACAAUUCAUAAUCAUUAAUACAUUACUAAUUUAUAUCUUGAGUUACAGAAUUCUAAAUUAAGAUCCGCUAAUUUCUCCUGAAACUAGACUCACAAAUCUUCUUACCAUAAAAUUUUCAGAAUUUUUUGUUUAGCCAUUAAAUACAGUUUAUUCUUUAAAUUCACCCCUAUUCUGCUGUCUGACAGUUUCGAUCCUUCUUCACUAAAAAUUAAUUAUCUCAUAGUACAGAACUCGGAUAAUAUUCCCGUUGAUUUUUCCUGAAAAUAGACUCAUUGGGGAUUCUAAACAUAUAAAUUUAGCCUCUAAUUAUUUUUAUUCAAUUUUUGGUGAUUUUCCAAAGUAUGAACAUGGGAACUCGAAUUCAUUCUGACCUUGUCUAACAAAACUCAUUAUAUCUCAUAAUUUACAAUUCAAUAGGUUACACCGUUUCUUCUAUAAGAAAUUAGACUCAAUAAGCUUUAAUUCCAUAUUUUAUUCAUCCUCUAAUUCAAUUUAUACAAUUUUUUUUAUUUUUCAAACUUAAACUACUGCUGCUGUCCCAAACAGUCAUAAUGCAAAAUGUUGAUUUUCUUUAAUUUCAAUUUAAUCCUAACUAAAUUCACUUACUUUUCUAUCUUAAUUCAUACUUUAUUUCUACUCAAUUUUUAACCAAACUUAGACAAAAUUAUCUAUUUUUCAUCAUAAAACCAUAAUUUCAAAAUUCUUUUAAUUUAGUCCUUAAAGCAUAAAACUUAUGAAUCACUUUACAAUUCAAUCCUUAUUUCAUUUCUAACUUGAAUUUCUAUCAAUUUAGCCCUUAAUUCAUCUUUUUAUUCAACUUAAUCAACACAUAAAAAUUCAUUAACUUCCUAAUUUUUGAUAUAAUUCAUGUAGUACUCUUCUCUAGAAUUCCAUAAACAUCAAAAUUAUAAGAAAAGUGAUCAAAUUGACUUACCUAGUAAAGCUUAAGGCUUCAAAAACCCUAAUUUUCCUUUUAUUUUUCUUUCCUUCCUUUCUUUCCCCUGUUUCGUCUGCUUCUCUGUUUCUUUUUUUUUUUCUUUUGUUUUACUUUAUAUAUAUAUAUAAUAUAAUAACAAUAAUAAUAAUAAUGACUUUAUUAAAUAUCUACUUAAUAUCAAAUAUUUAUUUUACACUUGGGUACACAUAUAUUAUUACAUUCGUAUUUCAUCCUCACCAUACACUUGUCAUUUUACAUUUAUUUAUUAUAUAAAUAUAUUAUAAUAUAAUUAUUUAUUUAAUAAAUAUCUCUCACUAAAUAAUAAAUAUCCAUUUAAUAUCAAAUACAUAUAUUAAAAAUUUAUGUAUUUUUUUAUUAAUACAUAUAUUAAUAUAUUACCAUACACUUUUCUUUAUUUAAUCUAUUCAUCAUAUAAUAUCAAUUUAAUAAUAAUCAAUACAUUAGUUAUUUACUUAAAUAAUAAGUAAAUACAUACGUGUAUUACAAAUGUAUGUAUAAUACUUAUUACACAUGUAUUUUAUUUUUGCCAUACACUUGGCACUCCUUUGGCUUAUUUACUUAUUUAGUCCUUUCAAUUUUUUUAUCCUAUAAUUAAACUUUCACACUUCAUUCAACUUAAUCCUUUUAUCUAAUUAUCCUUUAUUUAAGCUAAUUUGCUUCAUUAAACUUUAAUUAAUCACUCUCUUAACUUCGUAAAUAUUUUUAAUAAAUAUUUACAAAUCUAUUUUUCAGAAACGGAGACCCGGAAAUGCACUUUUUCGAUAACUGUAAAAAUUCGGGUCAUUACAAGUUUGGACUUUGAUGCCAUUAAGAAACUUGAGGAGAGGAUAACCAUUGAAGAUUCUACUCACGAAAUAGUACUCAUAUGGAGGCAUUGCAACUAUGGAAAGCUUCAGGUAAAACCUUUGAAUUAUCUCCCUCACAGACUAAGCUCGUACCAUCUGUUUUGCAGGCUCCGAAGUUGGAACUCAAACCACUCCCAAGCCACUUGAAGUAAGCUUUUCUCGGUGAAAAAAAUACACUACCAGUGAUAAUAUCGAGUAAACUCAAGAGGGCAGAAGAAGAAAACUUGGUACGAGUCCUUAGUGACUAUAAAAAGGUAAUUGGAUGGACAAUAGACGACAUUAAGGGGUUGAGUCCCUCGACUCGCUUGCAUAAAAUUCAAGUGGUGGAUAAUGCUGUACCUAAAAGAGAGGCUCAAAGGCGUCUCAAUCCGCCCAUAAUGGAAGUGGUAAGAAAAUAAGUCCAAAAGCUACUUGACGCCGGGAUGAUCUAUCGCAUUUCCGGCAGUAGUUGGGUUAGCCCAGUCUACGUAGUACCAAAAAAGACGGGUGUGACUGUAAUUGAGAAUUUGGCAGGUGAGAUGGUUCCCACUCGGGUCCAAAACGGGUGGAGAGUCUGCAUCGAUUACAGGAUGUUGAAUUUCUUAACUCGAAAAGAUCACUUUCCACUUUCUUUUAUUGACCAGAUGUUAGAACAUUUAGCUGGAAAGUCUCACUAUUGUUGUCUUGAUGGUUACUCAGGGUUUUUCCAGAUUCCAGUGGCACCAGAGGAUCAGGAGAAGACGAUAUUUACAAGCCCAUUUGGCAUAUUCGCUUACAAACGGAUGCCAUUCGGACUCUGUAAUGCACCAGCCACUUUUCAGAGGUGCAUGGUAAGUAUAUUUUCAGACUACGUUGAGAAAAUUAUCGAAGUGUUCAUGGACGACUUUACUGUAUAUGGUGAGUCCUUCGAGGUAUGUCUGACUAACCUUGCAAAAAUUUUGGAAAGAUGCUUAGAAUUUAAUCUUGUUCUAAAUUAUGAGAAAUGCCAUUUUAUGGUAGACAAUGGAUUAGUUCUAGGUUAUAUUAUUUCUGCAGAGAGAAUUUCUGUCGAUAAAGCAAAAAUCGAGAUCAUUAACUCACUACCAUACCCCACUACUGUGAGGGAGAUUCGAUCUUUCCUUGGUCAUGCAGGUUUCUACAGGCGGUUUAUUAAAGACUUUUCGAAAAUUGCGCAACCCCUUUGCAACCUAUUACAGAAGAACAAUGAAUUUGAGUUUGACCAGUCAUGCAAAGAAGCGUUUGACACUCUCAAACAUAAGCUCGUUUCGGCACCUAUUGUUCAACCACCGAAUUAGAGUUAUCCUUUCGAGAUAAUAUACGAUGCUAGUGACCAUAGCGUGGGAGCAGUCUUUGGAUAAAGGAUCGAGAAGGAACCACACGUUAUCUCCUAUGCCUCUAAAACUUUAAACGCCGCGCAAAUCAAUUAUUCAACCACUGGAAAGGAGUUUCUAGCUAUAGUCUUUGCCUUAGAAAAAUUUCGUUCAUAUUUAUUAGAAACUAAUAUUGUAGUUUUUUUUUAUCAUGCAGCCCUCAAAUAUCUGAUCGGGAAAAAGAAAGCAAUACCUAGAUUUAUAAGGUGGAUACUACUUCUGCAAAAAUUCAAUCUCAAAAUAAAAUAUAAAAAAGGAUGUGAAAAUUUGGUGGCUGACCAUCUGAGCCGAAUUCCUCUAUCAACGGACGUAACACCACUUAAAGAUGAUUUUCCGGAUGAAAACUUACUUACUGCCCAGAUGAUUUUUCUUUGGUAUGCAGACAUGGUAAAUUAUCUUGCUACAGGUAUGGUUUCUCCUAACCUUUCGCGAUAUGAAAAAGACAAGAUCAAACGUGAGUCUUGAUACUAUAUUUGGGAUGACCCCUAUUUUUGGAAGUACUGUUCUGACCAGGUAAUUCGCCGAUGCAUUCCUGAAACUGAGGUAAAAUCCAUUCUAUCCUUUUGUCAUUCUUAUGCAUGUAGUGGGCAUUUUGGCCCCAAACAAACUGCGCAUAAAAUACUUGAAUGAGGACUAUAUUGGCCAAAUAUUUUUGUGACACAUAUCUGUUUUCUAAAACUUGCAAAAAGUGUCAAAAUGUAGGAAACUUGAGACGAAAAAAUGAAACGCCUCUAAACUCUAUACAUGUCUGUGAAAUUUUUGAUAUAUGGGGCAUUGAUUUUAUGGGCCCUUUUUUCUCAUCGUUCGGUAAUGUUUAUAUUUCACUUGCUAUUGACUAUGUGUCAAAAUGGGUAGAAGCAAAAGCCACUCGUCGUGUUGAUGCCAAAAUAGUAGUCGAUUUUCUGAAAAGUUGUAUUUUUUCCAGGUUUGGCACACUGCGAGCUUUGAUUAGCGAUCGAGGGACGCAUUUUUGCAACAAAGUAAUUGAUAUGCUCUUGAAAAAACAUGGAGUGGUGCAACGAGUCGCUACAGCUUAUCACCCACAAUCGAACGGUCAGGCGGAAGUGUCGAAUCGAGAAAUCAAGUUGAUUUUGGAGAAGACCGUUAAGCCAAAUAGGAAAUACUGGAGUUUGUGACUUAAUGAUACAUUGUGAGCUUACCGAAUAGCUUAUAAAGGAUCUAUAGGUAUGUCUCCUUAUCGACUAAUUAUUGGUAAACCGUGUCAUCUUCCCGUUGAGUUGGAACAUCAGGCGUUUUGGGCGGUCAAACUAUGCAACAUGGAAUUGGAAGCUGCAGGUAAGUAUCGUAAAUUAAAUAUCCAGGAACUUGAGGAAAUUCGACGAGAAGCGUAUGAGAGUGCCCAAAUUUACAAGGAUAAGGUCAAAGCGUACCAUGACCAAAAGAUAAAUCGUAAACAAUUUAUGGUAGGCCAGAAAGUAUUACUUUAUGACCCUACAUUAAGAAUUUUCGCAGGUAAGCUUUGAACUAAGUGGUUGGGGCCUUUUAUUGUUACUCACGUAUUUCUACAUGGUGCAGUCGAGGUCAAAAGCGAAGAAUCUAAAAAAAUUUUCAAAGCCAACGAGCAGCGAUUAAAACCUUUUUACGAAAACUUCUAAGUCCACUUGGUUGAAGAAUUGGUUCUCGAGGAGCUGGCUGAAUAAAUUUACAGGUCAUCAAGCUAACGACGUUAAAAAAAAGCACUCUUUGGGAGGCAACCCAAAUUUAUUUUUAUUUAUUUAAUUUUUAGUUUAAGAAAAAUUUAGGGUGUAAAUAAAUAAACUCCUAUUUUACUCAGUCAAAUUGAUGUUUUCAGGAACAUUAUGGAGGCCGUGAAUUCUCAAGAAGACGAGCAUGAUGGUGGUGUGGGCAUGACUUGCUAAUUGAAAAAAAAAAACCAUCUCUGAAAUCGAUUUCUCGUCUUUGACAUGUACACGAACUGCUUGUGAGAAUAUGGUUUUUCGCCAACGCCCACAUUUUGCUACUCGAGAACAAGAGAAACAACCUCCGACUGUAGAGGCCCGUUUAAGCCGAAUUGAGGCUCGACUUGGAACAAUGGAAACCCAAGUCUCCACAAUCCUCGACAUCUUACAGAAUCGUUACUCCCAACACCAACUACGUCAUUAACAUAUAUGGGGAGUAUUCUUCACUUUUUCUUUUUAUUUUAGGCUGCUAACUUUUAUUUCAUAUAAUAUAUGCUUGAGGACAAGCAUAGUUUAAGUAGGGGGGAUGGAUGGAUGGUAAUGGAUGGUAAAUAUGCAUGCUUUUUGCUGCAUAUCUCUCUUUUGCAUGUGUUCAAUCUUACAUUAAGUUCAUUCGACAGUUUAUUUAACAUUGAGCCUUUAAUCCCAUACUUAGUUAAUUUGGAAAAUUGGGCAAAAUUUGAAUUAAAAUGUUCAAGUAUAUAGGUCAGUCAACAUUUGUGUCUUAAAAUUGAUAUAUGUAGCUUGAUUUUUUCCAUAUAAAUUGAUUGUUUGGAAAAUUAUAUUUGCUUGUGCAUUAAUAAAUAAGUGAAUAAAUAAAGGUUCAAGUUAUGAGUGAAUUUUCGAAAAUGUGACCGGAUUGAGUAACCGGGGUAAAGUUCUUGUGUUGUCAUCUUAUCUCGUGUAAAAAGGUUCGAGUGACAAGUCGAUAACUUAUAAACAUUCCGCUAACUGAGCUUUAUUUUAUAAAAUAUAUAUAAUAAAUAAAUAAAAUUUAAGACGGUUUAAACUGAGUAACCGGGAUAGGGUGCUUGGGUUGUCAUCCUAGUUCACCUUAAAAGGUUUGACCACGUGAAUAAUUUUUUCUAAUGCAUAGUUAAUUAAAUAAUGCCAUACAUUUUAUCGGAUUCAAACUCAAUUUAGUGAAAUUAUUUAGUCCACAUGUUUCAAUUUUAUGACAUUUGUUGAUCAAAUUUUAUAUCUUGAGCAUUUAUUUAUUUUUGCCCGUCGUUGUUUACAUUGAUUAUGUAGCAAAAAGAGGCUCGAUUUUUCAUAAAUUGUAGAACAAAUUUAAUGUUUGAAAGAACAAACAUGCUUGAGGGCAAGCAUGAGCUAAGUAGGGGGAGUUGAUAAACAUGUUAAUUUACAUGAUUCUUGUGUUUAAUUUGGCUUAUUUCUGAAUUAAUCCCUGCUUAAUUGGUGUUUUUAUGGAUUAAUCUUGUCAGGGAUGCAAUUGGUCAAAAACGAGCAAAAAGUGGUCAAAUUGAAAGACAAAUGUUGAGUUGGGGCCAAAUCAUAAAGAUGAGAAAGCCAAGGAUUUAACAUCAAUUUUGACUUUCUAAAAAGCUAAAAAUAGGAGAUUUUAUUUUAUUUUAUUAUUUAUUAUUUAUUAUUUAUUUUUAUUUUAUUAAUUUAGCUUUAGCAUAUUUUUAGUAAACCUUAUGUAUAUAAAUAUGGGCUUUUAGUUCUUAGAAAAUCAUCUCUUAUUUUUGUAUUCCUACUUCUAUUUGGAAUAGAAAUACUCUCUUUUUUCCCUUUUCAAAUUGGAGUUUAGCAUUCUGCCACUUUUUCACUUGGUUUUGUUUCUUUUCUAAAAUUGGGCUAAUUGCCUUUCAAUUGUUUUUCCUUUCCAAUUUCCAUCACCAUAAUCAUCAAUCUUUUUUUCCAAACUCACAAAGCAUGAACAGUUUCAUGCUUAACUAAAUUCCAUCUUAGCUUUAUGCCAGUGUUCUUUUCCGGUCAAGAAUCAUGAAAUUCAUACUCGCACCUAAAAUCUUUCCAAUCGGUAUUCACCUUUUUCCUAAGUAUCGGGAUUGACAACUCAUCCCUUAAGGAUAAUUCGAUUUCAAGUCAAAAAGAGCUCGUUGGGUUGGAGUCGUGUUUUUUGACAGUUGGAGAAAUGAAUCGACCGUGCUGUAUUUAGAUCUCCGAAAACAAAUAGAGGAAGAGGUGAUAGGGUUUAAACGACCCACACAGUUGAGGCCGUUAAUUUGAGUUGGGUUCUUCAGAACGCAAGGCUACCAGAAUCUUGAAUCAGGGACACGUGUAUCUCUGUUAGAUAAUCGGUAAGGGUUGGUUUGCAGGUCGUACCGGGACCAGCUACGAGAGGAAGAAUUGGUGGUUAGGACGUUCUUAACCAUUAUAACCAGCUUAUCGUUUGAAGGAGAAUAUCAAUUUUCGAGGAUCGAUUCUCAACACGGAAUUUACCGAGUCUAAGGCUAAGGCUCAUUACAUUUGAUUGCAAAUCCCAAUUUAAUUUCUGAUUUAUUUAAUUAUUUAUCUUAGCAGUUUUGAUUAUUUAAUUUCUAAUCAAUUUCAAAAUCCCCCGCUUUACUUAUUUAUUUGCUUAUUUUUCAGCUGGUACGUUUUGAGUCGUGGGCACGACUCUAGCCACGACCCUUGACACGACAUUCUGUUUAUAAGCCAAACUCGAAAGUUGAUUAGAGUACCAAUCCCUGUGGACUCGACCCUACUACUACCACUCUUACUACUAUCCAGAGUAUUUAGUAGGAAUUAUAUUUGGUGGAUUUGACGUCCAUCAUUUUCAUUUUCAAAAUAAUUAACAUCAUCAAGUUAAUACAACUUGUUGACUAGACAAGUAAGUUAAAUAAGCACAUAACUAAAUCAGAGGCGAAUAAGUGGCGGCUGGCAGGUCCUUGUCCCCCCUAAAAUGGAAAAUUUCUAUUUAGGCUAUUGAAAUUUUUUUAAAAUUUUAAAUUAAUAAAUGUAAAAUUGUACUUUGCCCCCCUAAAAUUAUAAAAAUUUAACUUAAUCCUUUAAAAAUUAUAAAGAUAUAGACUAUAAAAAAUUAAAAUUUUAUUCGGCCCCCUAAAAAUUUGUUCUAGCUUUACUCCUAAACUGAAUAAAUAAUUAGAAAAUAUCGAAACAAUCGACGAGAAAAUUGAUUAAUUAACUAGGAAAUAUAAUCCAUUAUUGUUUUAAGACAAUAAAAUCUAGUCGUGUUGAAUUGAGAAAAUCACACAAAAAGAAAUUUAAAACAAACUUGCAUAAAUACAAAGUAAUAAGAAAUAAUAUAGAGAGAAAAAUAGUUAUAGAAAAAUAUGACCCUCUUUCUCACGCUAUUACUAAUUAGUUAAGGUAAACAAUUACUUUAUCAUUAAAGAUUAUUGUAAACAAGUUUUGUACUUUCUGGGUGUUUUUAUGAUCCGGUUUUAAGAUUAUCAUCAAGAUCUUCUGAUGUUGGAAUCUUUUGCCUUGGAUUGAUUUGAUUUUAGAUGAUUCACUAGUGGUGUCAAUUGGUCAUAUCUAUUGCAUUUCGAUACUUCCCUUCAGUUUCCUAGCAUUGAUUAGUCACAGCGAAACACUGCAAAAACCAAUAUUCUAACCGUAAUGAAUGGUGGAUGAUUGUAUGUUGUUAUACAAAUCAGUAGCAAGCAUGCAUCCAUGCGGGGGUUGCCCAACGAAUCAGUGAUACCACCCCGCAGCACAUCAGAAGUGCUUAUAGUCAAUUAAGAUUUUUCACCAUAACCAAGUAUCUAAAGAAACUCUCGUAAUGGUUCAUUUGCAUGGAUGCAUUAUGUUACCCUUUUUCGGAGUGAUUCGUCUCAUCGAAAUUCUAUAAAAAGAUCCAUCAUCCUAAUCGGAAUGAAUGAUGAAUGAUUGCAUAUUGAUUUGUAAAUUCACUGGCAAGCUAGCAUCUUUUUUCCUAUGACAGCAAAGGUUGAGCUUGAUGCCCGUUUGAUGUUUUGCCCGCACAAAUUUUGGGGCUGAAACCUAUUGCCAAUUGCUGAAUAUUCUGUCAUUUUCUGCCUUUUUAAUGAAAAACCACGUUGGAACAAAGAAGGUUUUAGAUUUACAUUGGAGCUGCUAUGCUACCACGUAAACCAGAUAAACCCCGUGAACUUUUAGCCCUUUCAAUUUUGCCACCUCAGCUAUUAUCCUCUGCCAUUUCUGAACCACGGAUUCAGAUAGAUGAUGCAAAUAAGAGCUAUAUCAGCUCUCCCCAUCUAAGAAUUAAGACCCAUCAAAUCAUAUCAUUAAAUUUCAGCCCCAGAUAGGGACCCAAAAGGGCAAAAGUCCGCGACACGGAUGUUGAACAUGGGUGCAUUAGAAAAUCGAAGAGUUCGAACAAACAAUCAUAUAACCCAAUGAAGCACAUAAAGGACUGAGAAACAAAGUCAUUAUGAAUCCAAUACUCAAAUGCAGAAAGAAAUUUUAUUAUAUAAAGGCUAUGAAAGCCUAAGCAUAUCAACUUACAACAGCAAGCUAUUUUGGAUAGAGUGGAAACAUAAAAGCUUCCCCUUGGACAAAGAUCAUAGUGCACAAACUAAAUACGACAAAAUAAAUAAUCUUAAACUGAUAUUGGUUGAUACUUUUUGGAUUCAAUGCCAUUAGCAUAGCUAUAUCAUAAUAAAACUUGGUUCCAAAGCAAGUUUACUUCAUUCUUUGCCGUCAGCAGCACGAAGUGACCCGAGCUGGACCGGUGCUUGGGUUCCUACCACCUUAGAUGAUCCAUAAACAGAUAGAUCAAUGCCUUGAGCCUUCUCUUUCUCAAUCUGUUCCUUGAUCCAGAAAUAUGUAAUUCUCAGCCCAUCCUAUAAAAACAGUAAAACCAGAUGCGUCACAAGUGAAUCAGGAACUGAAUGAAACUAGGUAAUAACCGGCCAAAAGCAAUGACUUCAGACUUUUUUACUCUACAGGCAAUGGAGGAAAACCAUUUUCCAAAACCAGAGGUCAUAAAAAUCUUUUUAAACUGGGAAAAUCGUGUGGGGAUAAUAUAAUUCAGUUACCUUCAACCUCAUUGUAGGGGCCCAACCAAGUUUUUCUUUGAUCAAUGUAUUGUCUGAAUUACGACCACGGACACCCUCUGGACCAGGGAUAUGGUGGAUCGGAAGCUUUUUAUCUUCAAAGCUAAGCACAAUCUCCGCCAUCUCGUUCAUGCUAACCAUCUCAUCACUUCCGAUGUUCACAGGCUCACGGAAAUCGGACUUUGUCAAUCUGAAUGCAUAAUAUAGAGAAAGAUUGAUUAAUAUUAGCAAAUCUCAAACUGAAAUCAAGCGGCUAGUAAAUGCCAAAACAAGUGUCUAAAAGUUUUUCUUCUAAAGCAUAAAAUACAGUAUACAAUUUAAAUUCUAAUCACCAAAAUCAUAAUUUCCCAAAUUGCAUACUCAACUAGCAUAGCAAACUAUGAAACCAGGAAAUAUGCCCUAUUUGAUUCCUCAAUGUUUAUAUUAUAAGCCAAAUCCAUGCAGAUUUAACAUUUACUAAAAGCAAGCCCUUUAGUUUUUCUCUUCAAAUUUGUUGUGUAAAAUGAGUUUCAGCAGGAGGAGCUUUGAAAAUUGCCCAAAAACUUACCUAAGUACACCUUCAACACAUUCAUCAAUGAAAGUGAAAGAUCGAGUCUGAAGACCAUCUCCCCACAUCUCAAACUUGUCAAUGGAAGUAAUAGCCUUUCUGCAAAAGGCAGCUGGAGCCUUCUCCCUUCCACCUAUUAAGGUUGAUACAAGAAAAGAAAAAAAAUUAGUAAGUUCCAAAAUCGAAAAAAAUACAUAAGCACUCAUCAAAACUAAGGGUUUACCUUUCCAAGUUCCAAAAGGGCCGUAAAUGUUGUGGAACCUUCCAAUGCGACAUUCAAUUCCAAAGUCUUCGGUGUAAUGCUUGCACAACUCCUCUGUUGCAAGCUUCUCCAAGCCGUAAGCAUCUUGUGGCUAAAACCAAGGUUUAAAACACGACAAUCAGUAGUUAUAUUGGAUUAACUAAUAGAACAUAAGAUUACCGGAUAGUAUUUAAUGAAUUUGAGUCACAAACCUCAGCAGGCCAGGCAUCGGAUUCUUUCAAGCUCACAUUAGUUUCCAAUUGCUUAAAUUCAGGAUAGAUACAAGCACUGGAGGCGUAAAAAAACCUAAACAUACCAAGAUAUUGAGUUUAAACAAACUGUAAACUUAGUGGAAUUGCAAUGAAUGUAAGGCAAUCAUAUGAUACGAUGUACCAAUCCAAACAAACCUCUUAACUCCACUGAUUCGAGCAGCCUCGAGCAUGUUGAAACUGAUCAUUGUGUUGUUGUACAUAAUGACAGAGUGGUUGGACUGGAUGAAGCCCAUGCCACCCAUAUCAGCGGCAAGGUUGAAAACAUGAUCCACUCCAUUGGUAACCUUCAAGCAAUUUUCCAUCACUCGAAGAUCAACAAGAUGGAAUUCGUGACAGAACAUAUCUUCUGUCAUGUGCUCAUUCUUCUUCCAAUCAGAAGCAAUGAUGUAAUGUCCUUCACUCUUCAGACGUCGAGCGAUGUGCGAAGCGAUGAAGCCACCAGCACCGGUGAUGGAAAUUCGGAGUUUCUCGGAUGGCCAGUAAGGCUCCCUCUCCAGGGCAUCAUAGGUGUAAGCACCAUAGCUGGUCCCAUCAGUACUUCCCAUUCUGCAUAUGCUCAAUUGAAAAUUUACGCAACUUAUAUAGUACAAAAUAAAUAUAAAAAUUCAAGCUUUCAUGUAUCUAUCUAUCUAUCUAUAUAUAUAUACUACUUUAUCUAGUAAAUCCAAAUUAGCUGAAAAAAUUUACAUUAUCAUCCAUAUAAUUCACCAAAAAAUAUCCUAAUUCAGAACAAAAAUCAAAGAAACAGAUAACUUAAAUCCACCAAAUUUUAAAAAAGAAAAUCUUGCAAAGCAAAUCUUUAUGAACCCAAAAUUUUGUUCACUAAUAGCAGUAACUAAAGCACCAUAAAAACAAAAUCUUUAUGAAUCGACCGUGCUGUAUUUAGAUCUCCGAAAACAAAUAGAGGAAGAGGUGAUAGGGUUUAAACGACCCACACAGUUGAGGCCGUUAAUUUGAGUUGGGUUCUUCAGAACGCAAGGCUACCAGAAUCUUGAAUCAGGGACACGUGUAUCUCUGUUAGAUAAUCGGUAAGGGUUGGUUUGCAGGUCGUACCGGGACCAGCUACGAGAGGAAGAAUUGGUGGUUAGGACGUUCUUAACCACUAUAACCAGCUUAUCGUUUGAAGGAGAAUAUCAAUUUUCGAGGAUCGAUUCUCAACACGGAAUUUACCGAGUCUAAGGCUAAGGCUCAUUACAUUUGAUUGCAAAUCCCAAUUUAAUUUCUGAUUUAUUUAAUUAUUUAUCUUAGCAGUUUUGAUUAUUUAAUUUCUAGUCAAUUUCAAAAUCCCCCGCUUUACUUAUUUAUUUGCUUAUUUUUCAGCUGGUACGUUUUGAGUCGUGGGCACAACUCUAGCCACGACCCUUGACACGACAUUCUGUUUAUAAGCCAAACUCGAAAGUUGAUUAGAGUACCAAUCCCUGUGGACUCGACCCUACUACUACCACUCUUACUACUAUCCAGAGUAUUUAGUAUGAAUUAUAUUUGGUGGAUUUGACGUCCAUCAUUUUCAUUUUCAAAAUAAUUAACAUCAUCAAGUUAAUACAACUUGUUGACUAGACAAGUAAGUUAAAUAAGCACAUAACUAAAUCAGAGGCGAAUAAGUGGGGGCUGGCAGGUCCUUGUCCCCCCUAAAAUGGAAAAUUUCUAUUUAGGCUAUUGAAAUUUUUUUAAAAUUUUAAAUUAAUAAAUGUAAAAUUGUACUUUGCCCCCCUAAAAUUAUAAAAAUUUAACUUAAUCCUUUAAAAAUUAUAAAGAUAUAGACUAUAAAAAAUUAAAAUUUUAUUCGGCCCCCUAAAAAUUUGUUCUAGCUUUACUCCUAAACUGAAUAAAUAAUUAGAAAAUAUCGAAACAAUCGACGAGAAAAUUGAUUAAUUAACUAGGAAAUAUAAUCCAUUAUUGUUUUAAGACAAUAAAAUCUAGUUCGUGUUGAAUUGAGAAAAUCACACAAAAAGAAAUUUAAAACAAACUUGCAUAAAUACAAAGUAAUAAGAAAUAAUAUAGAGAGAAAAAUAGUUAUAGAAUUUAUGCCGAUUACUCCAAACCUCUUUUUCUUCUAUCUUUGCAAUCUUGAAGUUUUUUUUUGGUGUGAGAGAGUUGUUUCUUAGCCUCCAAGUGAUUUCUUUUUCUUUUCCUUCUUUUUUUUCCUUAAAUCUCAUCACAAUGGAUUGCUUGCUAUCAAAUUUCUAAAUUGAAGAGUAUGCAUGGUCCACUGCAUUGAAUUAAAUCCGGUGGAGCGGAAGGCUUCUCUUCACGACUUCUUACUCUAAACUCUAAGUUUUCCAUACUUCAUCCGAGGCCUACAAUAGAAAAAAGAAAAAUUACAAGUGAAUCUAAGUUAACUCUAAAAAUGAUAAAAACAAGCAAAAUUCAAAUAAAAUAUAAUUAAUUCGAAAAACUAUAAGAUAUAAUAAAAAGUAAUCUAAAUGCUAAAUUUACUUUUUACAAUAAAAUAUUAUGAUUGUUUUUGUUUUUCUUUGUUAUUUUUGGUAUAUUUCAUGUUUCUUCUUUUUACUUGAAUUUUGAGAUUUCUUUUAGGUUAUGUUAGAUUAUAUUUUAGAAUUCUUUGACCUAGAUCUUAAGAAUCAAAUAACAUAAUUUUUUUUAAAAAAAUCAGAUCUUAGGACUUAAAUAGGUUAAAGUUUUAUUUUUCUCAUUUAUAUUUUAGGAUUCAAAUAGGUUAAAUUUUACUUUUCUAAUUUAGAUCUUAAGGUUCAAAUAGGGUAGAAAUUUGUUUUUUCUAAUUUAAAUCUUAGGAUUAAAUUUUAUUUUUUCUAAUUCGGUAAACUAAAAAAUAGUCACUUUUGUUUGUCUCAGAUUACAUUUUAGUCACUUAUGUUUGAAAUAUACAUUUUAGUUACUUACAUUAUCGUUUUGUUACGAAGUGAUCACUCUACCGUUAAACUCUGUUACCUCACUAACGACAAUCCUACAUGGCAAUCCAAAUGGGUUUUAAAUGUCAACUUGGAUGUUUAGUUGUUGGGAUAAAAAUAGGUUUUUAAUUAAAUAAAUUUAAUUUAGACUGUGACUAAAACGUAACAUUUCAAACCUAAGUGACUAAAAUGUAAUGUGAAGCAAACAAAAGUAACUAUUUUUAUGGUUUACCCUUUCUAAUUUAAAUCUCAGGAUUUAAACAGGUUAGAAUUUCUUUUUCUUUUUUUUUUUUAAUUUAGAUGCUAGGUUGAUAUAGGUUAACUUUCUCUUUCCCUACUUAGAUCUUAGGCUAUAGAGGUUAGAAUUUUAAUUUUCUAUCAAUUAAAUCAUAGGUUCUUAUAGGUUAGAAUUUAAACUUCCAUUAUUAGGUUAGAAUUAAAAUUGAUUAGCUCUUAGGAUUCAAUGGGUAUUUUGAUUUUUUUUAAUAGUAUUGAAUUUUGAGCCUGUAAUGACAAUAUAUCGCAAAGAAAAGUGAAAGAAAAAUAAAGAAAAUAGAUUUUUACGUGGAAACUUUUCCGGGAAAAAAUUACGGGCAGAUAAAAUGAAAAUCCACUAUGUCGAAUUCAAAUAAUUACAAGAGGAGUAGACUAUGUCUAUUUAUAGGCUUGUAAAAUCAUAUUCUAAAAGGAGUGUAAUAAGUAAUCAAUAUCAAAUAGAUGGAGUUUAAUAAGAUUUAAAAAACCUUAUUCUAAAAUAAAAUAAAAGAAGUGUAGUUUUAUAUGUAGGGGCGUAGCCAGGGGGCUGGCAUGGGCCCCGGCCCCCCUAAAAUAGAAAAUUACAUUUUAGGCCCUUAAAAUUUUUAAAAAUUUUAAAUUAGUAAAGGUAAAAUUGCACUUUGGCCUCCCCUCUAAAAUUAUAAAAAUUCAAUUUAAUCCUUUACAAAUUAUAAAAAUAUAAACUAUAAAAAAUUAAAAUUUCAUCCGGCCCCCCUAAAAAAAUUUUCUGGCUUCGGCCCUGUUUAUAUGGAUUUUACUUUUAUUUUAUUUUACCACUAUAUUUUAUUUAAAUAAAAAUUCGAGUCACUCAAUUCUAACAGAGCUUUUAAAAGGUUAAAUUUCGAUUUAGGAUUAUUGGAGUCAAUUUUGAGAUUUUUGAAUUAGAAAUAUUAAACACCGAAUUUUGUAAGAUUAUCUUUAGACAGGCGUUGUAGGAAUGCUAUAAUCUUUUUUACAUUUAAUUGUACUCUCGAACUUCAAUUUUGAUACGAGCCCGAAUCUAGUUUUUUAAGAUUUUUCCUUAAGAAUAGUUCUAAAAUUGUAGGCAAUAGGCAACUACCUGACUUAGUUUAAGUUGGUUAGUGAUGAUUCUAUUUAUGUUUAGGUUUCAAAUUGUACAUUAAACUAAAAUUAAUGUAUAAUUUAUAAAUCUGAUAUUUAUUUUUAAAUUUUAUUUAAAAUAAUUUUUUAUUUGAUUUUAUAUUAUGUUGUGUAUUCAAAUUUUAAUGGAUUUACAUAUUCGACGAAUAAUAAUACUUAAUUCAAUAUAAGGUUAGUGAGAGUAUACCACAUGCGAGUCCUCAAACUACCCAAGAGGUGCUCAACUAUAGGUUAUAUAUGUGCAUUAUUUGGACAACUUUCCAUGAAUUCGUCAUUGUUCUCUUUUCGAAAUUUAGAGUUUAAACUUUCUAAUUGUUAUUACAUUGUGAUUUAAACUAAUUUUUUAUUAAAUUAAUCUUUAAACUAAUAAUUGCUCCUAUAUUUAAGUCUUAAUUUUUUUCUUUAAGUUAAUAUUUGAAAUUAAUUGUUUUUAAAUUGAGGUUUGAAUUUUCUUUAUUUAACUUUUUUUUUAAAACAAAUAUAAAGGACUAAUUUUGAUAGAAAAAUUUUAAGCUGUGAAAACAAUUUUUAAAUUCAGGGAUAAGAAAAGGUUACAAAACCAAAUUAAAUAUUAAUAAUUGAGCUUUGAAAGAAAUAAUCUCUUAAUAAAAUAGUUUUUAAUUGAUUGAGGAUAGAGUGAUGUAACUCAGUGGAAUCUUUUCGAAGUUAAAAUUGAAGUAAAUGAUUGAAUAGAAUUUAUAAAAGUAUUUUUUUGAAGUUCUUGAGAAAAGUUAAAUGAUAUUUUCAUUAAAAAUUAAGUAAUUACUUAAUUAAUGCAUGACAAUGACUAUAUUGGGCUAUAAGUAACUUGUUUUAGUAGUAUGUUAGUCAAUUCAAAUGAGAGAAAAGAAGAGAUCAAGAACUAUAUUAGAACAAUAAAAACAUACAUUGAUUAAACAAUAGCUACAACUCUAUUCGUCCAAGUAAACACGAUACAAAAUAUGACGCAACACCAUCAUCAACACUGAACCCUCCAUUAAUGACAAUCCAAAGCUUUAGUAUGUUUCUUGGGAAAUCCAUUCAUCCCAACACCCAUGAAACUUUGCUUCUAAACCUAGGCGCUCUUCUUUGGUGGUGUAUUGCCAUAUUUCCAAGUGAAUUGCUUUAAAUCAUCAGGAUAAGUACCCCCUGCAACCUCUUGGAUUGGGA
rnacentral:lncRNA from 1 species